rnacentral:lncRNA from 1 species
GCGUUGAAAGUCGAUUACGCCAAUAGACAUAGAGUUGUGCUGCCUAGCCUUGUUUCCUAUCCUACUAUCAUAGACCUUUGUCAAGUUAUUACCCCGCCCUCUUGAAUUUGCACCUUAUCUGUGAGGCUGAAUGGUGUUAACGUUUUGGAUUGUCUCGAUGAGUUUAUUUAUAAUGAAUGGUACUUAUGUUGGUUCUUGUCACUUAGUUUUCUCAUGCAACUGGCGCCAAGGCGAUGGAUCUUUAUAGGGUUGCCGUUGCUCUGUAGGUCCUCUAGCUGAUUAUUCUAUAGCUUCUAAGUCUUGCUAUAGCUGAUUCUAAGAAGUUCCUGGUCUCCCGUCCUAAUUCUAUAGCUUCUAAGUCUUGCUAUAUAUACUUCGAAAAUCAAACCUUGCUACCUUAUGUAUGAUCAUAUACCUGUUACUAUAAUGAUCAAUGAGAUUUAUAGGAGCAAGGGCAUCGAUUGGUUUCACCUCCUGCAAGGGCAUCGAUUGGUUUCACCUCCUCAUUCGCGCACAGGUAAUGGUUUGGCACCUUGUGAAUACUCCCUCUGUUCUGAAUUACUUGUCGCAGGUAUGGAUGUAUCUAGAUGUAUUUUAGUUCUAGAUACAUCUAUUUCUGCGACGAAUAAUUUGAAACGGAGGGAGUAGAAGUGAGGCGGUGGUGGUUCUAGAUCCAGGGUGUUUGCUGGCGAUUUCGUCGCUCCCCUUCCCCUCCUAUCAUCGUAUUGGCAUCGCGAGGGGGAGGGGAGCUCCGGUCUCUCGUCCAGGCGCGUUUUAAUCUUUAGAGAGGUUUUUGAGUUUCCUCCGCCGAUGUCAUGUGGUGGUGCUCAUUGGAAUAAUGAUCUCUCAGCCCGUGCUCCUGCUCGUUGUAGGUGUUGCUGGUGCCGACGAGAGCUUAUGGGGUCCAAGCUGUCAGUGCGGUUACGAUCUGGUGUUGCAUCUUGGCAUGGCGGUGGCGAUGCUCUUGGAGUGCGGCGGUGAUGACUGGUGCGGAUUUGAGGAAGAUGGUGGAGAAUACGACCACCUAUUGAAGGGCGGGUUGGCGUUGACCCUGAAGCCGGCGUUGAAGAGGCUUGGACUCGUUCCUUAUCGGGCUAGAUCCAGAAGCCGGUGUUGAAGAGGCUCGGACCCCAAUUAAUGUUCCUUAUCGGGCUAGAUCCAGCCUUUAGCUCAUUAACGGACUUCGAUUGAUGUUCCUUAUCAGGCUAGAUUCAGCCUUUAGCUCAUUAACGCCUCCUGGCUAGGGAUGGUAUGCAGGUGUACAACCGCUUGUAUUCUCUUUGUUUUCUGUUGUUUGUCAUAUCAUCCAUGUAUCCUUAAAUAAAAGUAAUGUGUGCCUACGGGCGUGCAUCCUUUUUUCUGGCUUUGCAUUAUUCACAUCGUUAUGACAAAAUUGGCUACAGAGUAAUUAACAUCAUUCUCUCGGUCCAUGGACCCGAGCAUCACUCUAUAGCUAGCAGUGUCAGCAGUCGACGACACUGCAAGCGGGCAAUUUCCUCACACGCCUAUCCUCCAUCCGCUGCCUGACCUCCAUGGCGUCGCUCCAUCUAUCAGCCCCCGCAUACGCAUUGCUCAUCAGCGUGUAGUCCCCGCCGUUCCCGCCGUCCAGCUCCCUGAGCCUCUCGGCGGCCACCUCGGCGACGCCCAAAUCACCGUGCGUUCUGGCCGCCCCCAGCAGUAUCCUGUAGACGACGGGCUCAGGAGCGACGGGCAUCUCGGCGAUGAACCCCAGCGCUUUCGUCAGCCGACCGGCGCGCCCCAGGAGGUCGACGACGACGCCGUAGUGCUUCAUCUGCGGCUCCACGCCGUGGACCGACCUCAUGCUCUCGAAGUGGCCGAGCCCCUCCUCGACGAGCUCCGCGUUGGCGCACGCGAUCAGCACACCGAGGAAGGUGACCUCGUUCGGCCUGAACCCUUCGGCGAGCAUGGCGCGGAAGGCGCCCAGGGCUUCGUGUUCGGAGCCGUUGUUCGCCAGCCCCAUUAUGAUCGAGUUCCAUGACAGGGUGUCCUUCUCUUUCGUUUCUCUGAAGACCUGCAGCGCCUCCUUGGUGCUUCCGCAUUUCGCGUACAUGUCGAUCAGAGAAUUGUGCAGGAUGGUGUCGGCUUCGAUGCCGUGUCGCCUCACGUAGUCGUGGAUCCACUUGCCGAGAUCGAGAGCGCCUAGGUGCGCGCAGGCAGAGAGUACACUCGCGAGCACGACCGCGUCCGGUUUCACCUUGGCUCUCUGCAUCUGCCUGAAGAGUUCCAAGGCGUCAGAGAACUGACUGGCUUGUGAAUAGCCGGAUAUCAUAGAGCUCCAUGAGAUCAGAUCUUUGCUAGGAAUUUCCUCGAAUAACCUUCUUGCGGAGACCAGAUCCCCCGCUUUCGAAUAUGCGGUGAUCAUUGCGUUCAUUGUCACGGUGUUCCUAUCCUUCAUGUUGAAGAAAACCUUUUCAGCCGAUUGCAGCUGCCCACGUCUGCCAUAGUAAUCUAUCAAAGUAUUGCCCAAGUAGAUAUCCACCUCUAUGCAGUAAUCCUCUAUGUACUUGACCAAGCAAUCUGCCAUGCUCCAAUCUCCUAGACGAGUGCACGCAGAAACAACCUUGACCAUAGUGACCUUAUCAGCUCUCACUCCUUCGCCGUGCAUCAACCUGAAUAACUUCAAGACCUCUUGUAAUCUAUUGCACUGGCUGUAUCCACAUAUCAAAGAGUUCCAGGACACCACAUCCUUAACCAGCAUCUCAUGGAAAACAGAUCUUGCGCAGCACAAAUCACCACAGGCAGCAUAUAGAUGAAUCAGCGAAUUGGAAACGAAGAUAUCCGAAAGAAGCCCGAAUUUCAGUACAUGGUUGUGCAUCUGUUUCCCUUCCUUAAGAGCACUAAUCCUUGCACAAGCCUUCACUACAAAUGGGAACGUCAGGUUGUCCGGCUCCAUACCUUCUCCUCGAGCCUUCUUGUAGAAAGCAAUUGCAUCUUCUGGUGCAUCGCUUUGAGCAAGCCCCCUGAGUAUGAUAUUCCGAAGGUAAGUUGUUGGUGCUUCAAUCUGCCCAUAUACUUUAUGAGCAAGAGCCAAAUCUGGUUGUAGAAUAGCAUAGAAUCUGAGAAUCUUAGACAUUGCAUAUUGGCAAUUGUACAGACCAGAAACAAUGAGAUGGCCAUGAAGCUUCUUUAUGGCUUCCAUCAUUACAAUGCUGAAAGAAAACUGGAUUUUUUUCAUGAACAGUGGAUCAGUGAGGGGAAAUGCAGUAUGGCACAUGUCACUCAACACAUCUGCUUCCUGGAAGGGAUUAACAAGAUAAGUAAAAGAGCAACAAAAAGUAAUACUGUGAACUAGUACAAAAGCGGCAAAGAAUAAUACCGUGAACUAGUCUUUUUGAAAAUGGAACAAAUGACCAUAUUGUCGAUGCUUAUUAACAACAUAUUAUACAAAAAAACGAAUAGUGGAUAAUGAGAUUGUGAUUUUUAAAUACAAAGGUCAUAUGAUUCAACAAUCAUUCAGCAACAACAACAAAGCCUUUAGUCCCAAACAUGUUGGGGUAGGCUAGAUUUGAAACCCAUAAGAUAAAAAACUCUCAGUUCUUCUAUCUUUGCACGAAAGAUAUAAAAGGUAAAAGAACACAAUAAACCCACCAUAAAGUAGGAAGAUCUAAUCGCAUUUGGUAUAAUGCAGGGAGACAAUUGUAAUGAUGGAACAAAAACUCUUAAAACUGCAUGGAGCUUCUUCCCAUGAUUUGGUUCUGAAUUACUGACUCUCAUCAACCAAAGCAAGCCCAGGAACCUUAACAGCAUUUCUCUCAUCUACUAGCUUUCGUGCUCUUUCAGCAUCACUAAACCUACCGAGCUCAGUAAGCAUAUUGGAUACCACCACAAAAUCACCUCCAGAUUCUCUUUCAAUGUCUAGUAUUUUCUUCAUUGCCCUCUUCCCCAUCUCCACUUCUCCAUACUUACUGCAACAACCCAGCAGUGUCCUCCACACAACUGAAUUAACCUCCAUAGGCAGACCACUUAUUACUUGCUCAGCCUCACAUAAUCGUCCAGCCCUCCCUAGCAUGUCUAUGAUACAACCAAAAUGUUUGAUCUCUGGAGUUAGAUUGUAUUCAUAAACCAUGCUUCUGAAAAACAGUACUCCUUGCUCGACCAGCCCGCCAUGGUUGCAAGCAUUGAGAACACUUAAGAAGGUGACUCUGUUAGGCCUGAUUCCAGCUCUUCUCAUCUCUGCAAACAGUUCAACUGCCUCAGUUGACAACCCGUGCAUUGCAAGCCCUGAAAUUAUUGAUGUCCAUGACACCAAGUUUCUCCUACCCAGCAUUUCAUGGAAAAUCUUCAGUGAGUUGUUUAUAGACCCAAGCUUGGCAUACAAGUCUAUGAGCGAAUUCCCAACUCGGAUAUCCAACACAAGAAGACCCUUCUUCUCACAAUAGCCGUGCAAGGCCUCGCCCAAAAGAAUCCUUCCAAUAUUUGAUACCGCAGGUACAACCGCUAAAACAGUUAUCUCGCUUGGAUCAACGCCUUCAGCCAUCAUGCGGCGAAAGAGAGCAACGGCCUCCACAGACCGACAGGAGCGUGUGUACCCAUCAAUCAUCCCGGUCCACGAGACAACAUUCCUACAGGGCAUCCGCUCAAAGAGCAGCCUCGCGUACUCAACCUCGCCCCGCGCAGCAAACCCGGUGAUCACCACGUUCCAAGUAACCGCAUUCUUCGCCGGCAUCUCCUCGAACGCAAUCCGAGCAUCCGCCAGGCACCCGCACACGACAUAUGCGUUGACAAGGGCGGUAUGCACGUAGGCGUGGAUCUCGAACCCCUUGCGGACGGCGAGCCCGUGCAGCUGCGCGCCGGCCCGCGGCCACGCCAGGGCCGCGCAGGCCCCGAGGGCGUGCACGAAGGCGUAGGUGUCGUCGGCCGCGUGCCGGCGCGCGUCCCUGAAGAGGCUCAGGGCCUCCUGGGGGAGAGGGCCGCGGGAGUAGGCCUUGAGGAGCGCGUGCCAGGGCGUGGGACGGCGAUCGAACACCUGGCGGGCAACGAGCUGGGCGUGGAUCUGGAGGAGCGGGCGCCUCUCCGCCUGGUGCCUCAGGAGGAGGGCGACCAGGCCCCGGACGUGGGCGGCGGCGGCGUCGUGGGAGGGCGCGCAGCCCUGCCGCAAGAGGUCAGCCGGGAACCGCGCCAUGAGGGGGGCUCCGUCUUCUCCAGCCCUACCAACGCCUCUCUCGUCUACUUAGAAUAUGUCAUGGUGCAAUGGAGUGAGAGAGAGAGAGAGAGAGAGAGAGAGAGAGAGAGAGAGAGGCAUUACCUUGUCUGGAGAGAAGGUGGAGGAGGCUCGACUCGAAAUCGUCCUAGGCUUUCUCCCUCCCGCGCCGGCGUCCAGGACAAAAAGAAUGUGCUUUUGCUUGCGCUUCCCGGGCGGACCACGUUGCUCUGUUGACAGUUGACACGAGGCAACUCGCCGCCCGAUCCUCACUCGUCGCUCCUCCUCGAUGUUGCGCAGGGUCCUCGCCGGAGCGAUCACGCGCCUCUCCGGCCCCGGAUUCUCCAGCCCACCGCCGAGGAGACGGCCUCUCCUCCCGCCCAACGCCCCGCGCCUCUCCACCGCGCGGGUGCCGUCCGGCGGCGGCGAGGGCAGCGAGGGGGAGGAUGACGACGACCCGUUCUCCUUCCCGGACCAGCAGCAGCUCCCGCCGGACGUGGCGCGGGGCGUGGACGCCGUCGUCGCGGCGGCCGAGGGCGCCCACUUGGACGCCGCGCGCGCCGGGGCCCUCCUGGAGCAAUGCGGCGCCGCGGCUUCCGAGACGCUCGUGGUGGCCGCGCUCUCGCGCCUCCGCAACAGCUGGGCCGCCGCGCACGCCGCGUUCCGGUGGGCGGCCUCGCGGGGGCGGCCGCAGCCCGGGUACGCCCCGGGGCGCCACGCGUGCCACUCCAUGCUCGCCAUCCUCGCCAGGCACCACCGCUUCGACGACGCCCGCGCCCUGCUCGACGAAAUGCGCCGCAGGUCGCUCGCGUCGCCGAGGGCGGUGCUCCUCCUAAUCCGGCGCUACUGCGCCGCGCGUGACGUUGCUAGCGCGAUCGCCGCGUUCCGCUCGCUCCCGAGCUUCGGCAUUGAGCCCGGGGUCACCCAGUUCCAUGGCCUCCUCAGCGCCCUCUGCCGGUACAAGAACGUCAAGGACGCGGAGCACCUGCUUCUGUCGAGCGGGAAGGAGUUCCCGUUCGAGACCAAGGGCUUCAACAUCGUGCUCAACGGCUGGUGCAACAUGGUCUGCAGCACGCGGGAGGCCAAGAGGUUUUGGGUCGUCAUGGAGCUCAGGGGCAUCGCGAGGGACGUUGUGUCUUAUGGGAGCAUGAUCUCGUGCUUCUCGAAGGCCGGGAGCUUGGACUCGGUCAUGAAGCUCUUUAACCGCAUGAAGGAGGCUGGCAUUGUGCCUGACCGGAAGGUGUACAAUGCAGUUGUGCACGCGCUCGCCAAGGGACGGUGCGUGGAUGAGGCAAGAGCGCUCGUCCGGAGUAUGGAGGAGAAGGGGGUUGCACCAGACACGGCCACUUACAACUCCCUCAUUCGGCCUCUUUGCAAGGCUCGUCAGGUCCAGGAGGCAAGGGAGAUGUUUGAUGAGAUGGUAGGAAGGGGGCUGUUGGCAUCGGUGAGGACAUUCCAUGCAUUGUUCGAUGUUGCUACAAGCCCCACUGAGGUCUUUGAUCUGUUGGACAAGAUGAAGGCACUACAUUGCAAGCCAGAGAUGGACACUUAUAUUAUGUUGAUCCGGAAGUUCUGCAGGUGGAAGCAGCACGACAGUGUGGAGAAACUGUGGAACGCAAUGCCUGCAAACGGACUGACCCCUGAUCGGAGUGCAUACAUCGUGUUCAUACAUGGAUUGUUCCUGAAUGGGAAGCUAGAGGAGGCUGCAAAGUAUUUUGAGGAGAUGAAAGUCAAGGGAUUUUCACCAGAGGAGAAGACUGAAUCAAUGAUACAGGCGUGGCGUUCAGGCAGAGAGCUUGCCAAGGCAUCGGCUUCUGUCGGUUCAAAACAUGGUUCUGUGUCUCUCAAAGUAACUCGUAGAGAGUGGUAAAGAUGAAGAGCACUUGAAAGUGAUCUAUAGAAAGAAACACAGCUGUUGUUUUCGAGUAACUGCUAGACACUGGAGAGAGAUUAUUUGGUUAUUCAGAAAGAUGAGUCUGAUUACUUUCAAGUGAUCUUCAUCUACUUUGUUGUGGUUGGUUUGGUCAAGGAAGCCACGCUCGCAAGGGCCCUUGCUUUCGUUAGAGUUAUUGUCAGCGAUGACCUCAGCUGAGGGUAUGCUGUUUGGUUUCCUUUGUUCCAGUCUGUAAUCAAACUUUGUUCCUUCUAACAAGAAGGCGCAGAGCUCCUACCGUAUUUGAAAAGAGUAUGUUUACCCAGUUAUUUUCGUUCUCACUAGAUUGCUUGGCUGUAGAUUGGAAUUAGAAAGUGCAACCUAGGGUUUGUCCUUUUGAAACUUGGAUAGGCAUCACUUUGCUAUGACCCUUCUUUUGUAGCUCAUAGUUUGUACUGGGUACAUGUUCAAUGAUUGGUUCACAACAUAUAAUGACUGUCCACUAUAUUCAUACUGGUCCGACUCCUAUACUUUCACAUAAUAAUAUGUGCAGAGAUUUUACAAAAUAGUGAGAGCUCAUUUCAUAUGGUUUGAUACUAGUACUAAAUACACACUUCAAUAUGUAGCUGUAUUCAAUAUUAGCAGUUCCAUUUUCAUGCUUCCAUUGUUUGCAGAGUGUACUGGCAUAUUUAUUCACAUAUAACCAUUUAGUGACCACUCAUCGCACUGCAGAAUUGGCCGCUGUGUGAAGGUUUAGGUCAUAUAAUUUUCUUCUUGACAAACAUAUUGUUUUCUUUCUGCCAGCCAGCCAUUGCAACCUUUCUGAUAGCAUUAAUUCAGUGCAUGUGCACACUAAAUAGUCCAGCUACAAGAGCACAUUGGAUCGAAGCUGGGGCGGGUUGCCGCCAGCCUGCUUGUAAUCAAUGAAUCUGUUGAUUCUGAGGUGAGCGUCUACCAGAAUUCCAGUUAUAUCUGAUCAGUUAGGCGUUAUUUUCUCUGCUAUCCUGUGGCUUCAGUUAGGCCUAGUAGCUAGUGGAUUCGAUCAUACCGACGAUAAAUAUUGUACGCGUCAAAAAUUUAUCUUCGCAUGUGAUGUUUCAAGACCUUUCUGUAAUAUCCUGUAGGAUAUCCCUGCUAACAGCAAGUAGCUUGUUCUGUCAGUUGUCGCUACAUAUAUCCUGAUCUCUGUUAUGCAAGUCCAGUCUCCAAAAGAUGGUGUUGAUGCAAGUUGCUUUAAAUUUUGUUGAUAAGACGAUGACAGGUAAUGGAUACAGUUAUGGUGAAAACAACUUAUUUUCUCUGUACAAGCUACAGCCAACUGAGCCAUGCUUGUCAUGCUAGUGUCCACUGUCAAUUUCAUGGCAUCUUAUGGCUGCUAGCCUGCAAGUGUCGCUAACUCAUAUGACUCGUGAUGCAGACUAACAUAGUGCAUGAUCACGUCCCAACUUUAACCGAUAGCUGCGUGGUCGACAACCAGUUGCAGUCUGCCUGUUCAUGUAUGCACUGAAUGUUACCAUUAUGCUGUUAAUAUCUGAACCCACUGUAACCAAAUUCGGAUAAACACCAAAUAUUCUUUUUUAAAUAAUUGGAAGAGGUGAAAAAUGAAAUAUCAGCUGUGAAAUAAUCAUAUAUUACCUCCGUCCCAAAUUACCUGUCUUAGAUUUUUGUAGAUACAGCUAACACUAAAACUGUCUAGAUACAUCCAAGACAAGUAAUACUGGACGGAGGGAAUAUGUGUUUCAGAUUUGUUUCAGAUUGAUCAAGGGUCAGAAGAAUAAGUUUGGUGUUUAGACUUGAGAUUAUUUUGAGAACAAAAUCACAUGUUUGUUCAGAAUACCAAAUUUAUAGAUCGAAACCAAAGAAUAAAUACUGCUACAAGCUUACCACCACAUCUUCAGAAUCAUGCCUGGGAAAUUUCUACCUCUUUCUAGUUCAACAAAGUAAGUAUUUGUCUAAUCACUUCUAUUUCCAAUAAUUUACACCAUAUCUUAUUCCAUCUCAGAAUGGUGGCAAGAUUGUUUGCCACAUCGGCCUCAUCAUCUGCGGCGAGCUCAUCGGCUGCAGGUAGCCGCUGCCGUUCUGCCCAGGCAUCGUUGUUGGGUUCACCAUCUGCCCCAUGUUCAUAUAACAAGUCUGCAGGUCGUCCAUACUCAGGCCGGUGAACCAGUCGCUGUCCUCCUUCACCGUCACCAUCCUCGCCUGCUGCUGCGCCAUGUCCAUGAAACCAUGCUGCUGCAGGCCGGAGGCGCUGUCGAUCUCGGAGGAGUCGUGCGUCUGGAAGCUGUCGGACAUGGCGUCGGUCGCCAGCGCGUCCAUGACCUCCCCGUUCGGCCCGGCCUCCACAGCCAUGUCCUGCUCCACCUUGAGCUUCUCCCAGUUGUUCUUCUUGUUGUACAGCCGGCACAGCACCCAUUCGUCCAGCUGUAAUAGCCGCACAUCACAGAGAGAGAAGGAUCAGUAUUCAGUAUCGAUUGAUUGAUCAGUAUUGUUGGUGAGCAAAGUGCAAACUGAAAGGAAGACGCUGGGGUUACCUUGAGGGAUCCCUUCUUGCCGGGUGCGCGGUCGGCUUCGGCGAUGCGGUACUCGUGCAUGAUCCAGUCGGUCUUGACGCCCCUGGGCGCCCUGCCGGAGUAGAAGACGAGCGCUUUCUUGAUGCCGACCGUCCUGCCGCCGCUCUCCCUGGGCGCCACCGGCUUGUCGGCGCCCGUGGCCUUCCAGUAGCCGGUGCCGGCGGAGCGGUUGGGGCGCGAGCCGUUGGGGUACUUGCGGUCGCGCGGCGUGAAGAAGUACCACUCCCUGCUCCCGAACAGCGCCCUCUCUGCACGAACGCCAAGGUCAGCACAGCACACACUGAAGGAGCAAGAACGAGGAAGCCAAGAAGGAGGAAGGAGGAGAGGAAAAAACAGGGGAGGGGAGGGGAGAGAGGAGGAAGAGAAGGCGCACCGGGCAGAUCCCAGGGGUUGAACUUGUAGAGAUCGACCUCGGCGAUGAUGGGCACGGGCUGCGGCUGGCCGGCCACCUUCCUGCAGAGGUAGUGCACGACGAGCUCGUCGUCCGUGGGGUGGAACCGGAAGCCCGGCGGCAGGUUGAGCUCCGCCUCCGCGUCCCUCCGCCCGCUGCUCCCCUCCGCCCCCGCCGCCGCCCCCGUCGGCUCAGCCUUCACCAUUGCCGUCAUCAUCCUCCUCCUCCUCGCGUUCGCUCGCUCGCUCGCUCGCUCCACCACCUUGGAGAAAAGCCCAGCCCUCGCGCGGUGGUGCCGCGGUGUUGGAAGGGAAGAGAAAGGCGGCUGGUUGUGAUACCGCCUCCUGGGACCUGGAGCCCUUCUCUUUAGUCGAUGGCUCGUUUCCUUGGCGACCAAGUACGUUUGUAGGGCGGGGCGCCCGGGGCGGCUAUAUACGGGCCCCCGCCCGCGCCACGUGGGCCGCGGCGGGCCCGCGCGUGCCCCCGAGCUGCUCGUGGCGUGGGCUUGGAUGAGGACGGCCGGCCGUGCGCUGCUGCGCGGAAGUUUCCCGCGGCGACAAGAGUUUGACCCCUCCCGACGGCUGCGCUGAAAGGGACGGAAGGGUCAAAAGCGCGCGGGAGGGAUUUUCCGGCGGGAAAAUAUAUCCCCGCGACCAGCCUCGGCGGCCCGUCGAAUGGCCGCGCGUCUAGGUGCGUCGGCAGGCGCGGGCUGGUCCUCCGUGUUCUCGACCUCUCAUCUGCUGCAUUGCACCACGUGCGAGUUGCGGCGGCCAUGCACUACUAUGUCGUGAUACGUGGAGGAAGGUAUGAGGACAUGAGGUUACGACCCGCGCAUGCGCAUGGCAUGCCUGCAUGCGUGAAGGUUUUCUUUCCAUCGCGCCUUGGAUUUUUCUCCGGGGAAAACUUUUAAAAGUUGAGGGAUCACGCUAAGCUAGAAUGCUACGUGACCCUUCAAAGAUGCCAUUGUUUAGUUUCGGCCUAUAAACGUGGAUACAUGACCACGUCAAGUCCUACUCUCUGUGUAUAGAAGAAAAUAAACGUGGAUGCAAUUUUUUUCUAAAAAUUAAGACAUUAAUCCAGGCGGUCUAUAUUAAUGUCUAUAUUAAACUAUAUUGAAACGAGUAACACAUACACUAAAGCAUGUCUAUGUACAUUUAAUUCAGAAAAAAAGUUACAACAUCUUAUAUUCAUGAACGAAGGAAGUACAUAUGUCAUUUUUUUCUUUUUUUUUGCGGGAAAAACUUUCAAUCUAUUUAUCUUCAAUCAUGGUAAUACAACGAACACUAGAAAUAAUAAAAAUUACAUCAAGGUCCGUAGACCACCUAGCGACGACUACAAGCACUGAAGCGAGCUGAAGGCGCGCCGCUGUCAUCGCCCCUCCCUUGCCGGAGCCGGGCAGACGUUGUUGUAGUAGACAGUCGGGAAGUCGUCAUGCUAAGACCCCAUAGAACCAACGCACCAGAACAGCAAACCGCCGCAGAUGAAGAGUGUAGAUCAAAGGAUCCACCCUAAAGAUACACGAACGAAGACGAACGACGAACAGAUCCGAGCAAAUAUAUCCACCAAAGAUAGAUCUGCCGGAGACACACCUCCAUAGGCCCAUCAAUGAUGCUAGACAACUCACCGGAACGGAGGCUAGGCGGGGAGACCUUUAUUCUAUCUUCAGGGAGCCGCAGCCGUCUCGCUUUCAUGAAUAGGACGCAAACCCUAAUAAAACUCAAAAAAAGAUCUAAAAACGGAGCCCUCUCACCGGCAAAGGCCGAGAUCCACUCCAUCUCCAUGGCCUAAGGCCACCGGAGACGGGGCGGACCGGCGCCGGCGCCGGCGGGAGGCAGAGAACCCUAACUUUUUGAAGGCGGCGGCUGGCUAGGAAGACCGUGGCUCAAUCCUGGACCACUUUUUAUUUCUGCGAAAGGAAAUAAUUCACAACUAAAUGGGAAGUACAUAUGACAUUUCAAUUGCGUCCAACAUGGAUUAUCACCGUCCUACGGGCCAACAUAGUUAAUUCCCAUGUCGGCCACGGAAGGAUAUGCUUGAAACAUUAUCUAUCUUCACAAUUCAUAAUUCUCAAGUCGAUCCACAGAACAGAAGGAUAUGCUUGAAACAUUAUCUAUCUUCACAGUUCAAAAUUCUCAUGCCGAUCCACAGAAGAACAGAAGGAUAUGCUUGGAACAUCACAACAUUUAAACAAUUCAAGUUCCCCAAAAAGGAAAUUUUAAACAAUUCGAGAGGAUAAUGCUCAAGCUUGGCCUGUUCAUACCGAAGCAUACCACAUACUCCUACCUAGUACCGCCAUCUGUUUACCUAGUCAGGGACACCUAGAGAGACAGAGUAGGUCUAUCUCCUCUUGUCUGUAUAGUACAGUAAAAUAAAGAAAUCUGGCCCAAUCUGCACGUGCCUCCCUCCUCCUGGAUGGCCACCUACGUGCACUGAACCUGAACCUCACCCGGGCGCGCCUCCAGCCGCGACGGCGGGGGUGGGGUGGCGAGCAAAUCCUCGACCCGGGCCACCCGGCGGAGGUGCGGUUGGUCGGCCAGCCGUAUGGCAGAUAAAAGAAAAAGGAUAGCGCCUUGUCGGCGGCCGAGGUUUCUCAUUCCCCCGGCGGUGGACUAUGGUAUGAAAUUCCAGCCGAAAAGGACGGACGGGCGGGCAGUUCCGGGGAAAGCGAUGGACUUUUUGUCGUGGUGACAGUGAGCUUACGUUUUCCCAUGGGCCAAAACUGGAUUGGGCUGGGGAUUUUCUUCAGUUUAAUUUACAAGAUUGCUGUGUUGAUUCGCUGUCAGGUUACCGCUCUUGGUAUCGCACAGCUGGUGACUGCCGGGAUUAGCUGUGAUCCGGUGAGUGGCAUGUCGCGUUGCAUACAUCACUGGCCGCGUCUCGGCUAUCGGAAUGACGGGGAGCACUCGAGAUAUUAUUAUCCGCCGAUACUUUGGUGGGCCCUUGAUGGAUUUCUGUGGAAGCUUUGUUUCUGUCCUGUUCCGUAAACUAUUGCGGAGAUUGAAAUUAAGACAUGUGGGAGGAGGUGUGUGGGCAAGUUAACUGCAAUUGGGCAUCGCAGUUGAUUUUACAUGUGGUGUGCUUUUAGAAAAUGAAAACUAAGUUACCACCAGCUUGCCAAACAGGGGAGUAUCCAAACUCCACACCACAGCCAGCAGUGUCGACGUUGGGGCUAUGGAGCCAGUCCUGUCAGCGCCUCAGGCAGCGCCAUAGAUGAUCAGGAAGCAGCGACAACAGGCGAAGACCCCGUUCAUCGUCCGACAAGCAGACGAAGGGCGGCAGAGUUCAAAUCAUCUCGUGGGCCUGCGGCACGGCCCACUCGAGUGAAGACGAAGCCCAUCUGGAACGUCGGCCCGGAAUGGACGUCCUAGUUUAAAUACCCCUUGUAACGUUUGAAUCGAGUUGGCUUGGAUCGGACGGCGGCUUCGGCCGAUUGUAACUAGCUGUAGCAGUGAGGGAGGUUGGGAGGAUAAACACGCUACCGAAUUUCCCCAUUUCGCCAUGAACUCUAGUUUCCUCUCAUAGAUCGAUCGCGACCCUUACACUUGGUAUCAGAUUCGGCGGUCCUGGCGCUUCCCCAACAUCACCACGAGACGCGGUGCACCAGUUCAGCCACGCGCCAUGGAGCCACCUCGUGUAAAUACAGCUCCUCCUCGUUAUGUGUCAACACCUCCGGGUCACUUCUCCAACCCCCUGGAAAACCUCAUCGCGGCAUCGGCUCGUUUGGCGGCUCUCCCAAUGGAAGGCGACUCGCCAGCAGCAAUUGAAACCCGAAGGGUGAGAGAACUGUUGGGGAACGUAGCCGAAAUUCAAAAUUUUCUACGCAUCACCAAGAUCAAUCUAUGGAGAAGUCUACCAACGAGGGAAGGAGAGUGCAUCUACAUACCCUUGUAGAUCGCUACGCGGAAGCGUUCAAGAGAACGGGGUUGAUGGAGUCGUACUCGUCGUGAUCCAAAUCACCGAUGAUCCUAGUGCCGAACGGACGGUACCUCCGUGUUCAACACACGUACAGCCCGGUGACGUCUCACAUGCCUUGAUCCAGCAAGGAGAGAGGGAGAGGUUGAGGAAGACUCCAUCCAGCAGCAGCACAAUGGCGUGGUGGUGGUGGAGGAGCGUGGCACUCUAGCAGGGCUUCGCCAAGCACUGCAAGAGACGAGGAGGGAGAGGGGUAGGGCUGCGCCAAGAAGGAGAGGAACUCGUGUGUGUUGGGCAGCCCAAACCUCAAGUAUAUAUAGGGGAAGGGGAGGGGCUGCGCCCCCACCUAGGGUUCCCUCCCUAGGGGUGGCGGCAGCCCCCAGAUCCCAUCUGGGUGGCGGCCACAAGGGGGAGAGGGGGAGGCGCACCUGGGGUGGGCCUUGGGGCCCAUCUGCCCUAGGGUUUGCCCCCUUUCCCUCUUGGAGGCGCCUUGGGCCUUGGUGGGAGGUGCCCCAGCCCACCUAGGGGCUGGUCCCUUCCCACUAUUGGCCCAUGUAGGCCUCCGGGGCUGGUGGCCCCACUUGGUGGACCCCUGAGACCCUCCCGGUGGUCCCGGUACGUUACCGAUGAACCCCGAAAGUUUUCCGGUGACCAAAAUAGGACUUCCCAUAUAUAAAUCUUUACCUUCGGACCAUUCCGGAACUCCUCGUGAUGUCCGAGAUCUCAUCCGGGACUCCGAACAACAUUCGGUAACCACGUAUAUCUAUUCCCUAUAACCCUAGCGUCAUCGAACCUUAAGUGUGUAGACCCUACGUGUUCGGGAAACAUGCAGACAUGACCGAGACACCUCUUCGGUCAAUAACCAACAGCGGGAUCUGGAUACCCAUGUUGGUUCCCACAUGUUCCACGAUGAUCUCAUCGGAUGAACCACGAUGUCGAGGAUUCGAUCAAUCCCGUAUACAAUUCCCUUUGUCUAGCGGUAUUGUACUUGCCCGAGAUUCGAUCGUCGGUAUCCCAAUACCUUGUUCAAUCUCGUUACCGGCAAGUCUCUUUACUCGUUCCAUAACACAUCAUCCCGUGAUCAACUCCUUGAUCACAUUGUGCACAUUAUGAUGAUGUCCUACCGAGUGGGCCCAGAGAUACCUCUCCGUCACACGGAGUGACAAAUCCCAGUCUCGAUUCGUGCCAACCCAACAGACACUUUCGGAGAUACCUGUAGUGUACCUUUAUAGCCACCCAGUUACGUUGUGACGUUUGGCACACCCAAAGUAUUCCUACGGUAUCCGGAAGUUGCACAAUCUCAUGGUCUAAGGAAAUGAUACUUGACAUUAGAAAAGCUUUAGCAUGCGAACUACAUGAUCUUGUGCUAUGCUUAGGAUUGGGUCUUGUCCAUCACAUCAUUCUCCUAAUGAUGUGAUCCCGUUAUCAAUGACAUCCAAUGUCCAUGGUCAGGAAACCGUAACCAUCCAUUGAUCAACGAGCUAGUCAACUAGAGGCUUACUAGGGACAUGGUGUUGUCUAUGUAUCCACACAUGUAUCUGAGUUUCCUAUCAAUACAAUUCUAGCAUGGAUAAUAAAAGAUUAUCAUGAACAAGGAAAUAUAAUAAUAACUAAUUUAUUAUUGCCUCUAGGGCAUAUUUCCAACAGUCUCCCACUUGCACUAGAGUCAAUAAUCCAGUUCACAUCGAUAUGUGAUUAACACUCAAGGUCACAUCCCCAUGUGACUAACACCCAAAGAGUUCUGGGUUUGAUCAUGUUAUGCUUGUGAGAGAGGUUUCAGUCAAUGGGUCUGCAACAUUCAGAUCCGUAUGUACUUCGCAAAUCUCUAUGUCAUCUUGUAGAUGCAACUACUACGCUACAUUUGGAGCUAUUUCAAAUAACUGUUCUACUUGGAGCUAUUCCAUUAUACGUAUCCGGUAUCUCUACUCAGAGCUAUCCGGAUAGGUGUUAAGCUUGCAUCGACGUAACUCUUUACGUCGAACUCUUUAUCACUUCCAUAACCGAGAAACAUAUCCUUAUUCCUCUAAGGAUAAUUUAGACCGCUACCUGGUGAUCUACUCCUAGAUUACCUUUGUACCCUCUUGCCAGAUAUGUGGCAAGGCACACAUCAGGUGCGGUACUCAGCAUGGCAUACCGUAUAGAGCCUAUGACAAAAGCAUAGGGGACGACCUUCGUCCUUCCUCUUUCUUCUGCCGUGGUCGAGCUUUAAGUCUUAACUUCAUACCUUACAACUCAGGCAAGAACUCCUUCUUUGACUGAUCCAUCUUGAACACCUUCAAGAUCAUGUCAAGGUAUGUCCUCAUUUGAAAGUACCAUUAAGCGUUUUGAUCUAUCCUUAUAGAUCUUGAUGCUCAAUGUUCAAGUAGCUUAAUCCAGGCUUUCCAUUGAAAAACACUUUCCAAAUAACCCUAUAUGCUUUCCAGAAAUUCUACGUCAUUUUUGAUCAACAACAUAUAUUCAUCAGAAAUUCUAUAGUGCUCCCACUCACUUCUUUGGAAAUACAAGUUUCUCAUAAACUUUUUAUACACCCAAAAUCUUUGAUCAUCUCAUCAAAGCAUACAUUCCAACUCCGAGAUGCUUACUCCAGUCCUUAGAAGGAUUGCUAGAGCUUUGCAUACUUAUUAGCAUCUUUCAGGAUUGACAAAACCUUCCAGUUGUAUCACAUACAACCUUUCCUCAAAAAAUCAUCGAGGAAACAAUGUUUGACAUCCUAUCUGCAAGAUUUCAUAAAUAAUGCAGUAAUCUCUAAUAUAAUUCCAAUAGACUCUUAGCAUUGCUACGAGUGAGAAAGUCUCAUCAUAGUCAACUCCUUGAACUUGUCGGAAAAAAUCUUAACGACAAGUCAAGCUUACUUAAUGGUGAUACUUACCAUCAUUGUCCGUCUUCCUUUUAAAAUCCAUCUGUACUCAAUAGCCUUACGACCAUCGAGCCGUUCUGCCAAAGUCUACACUUUGUUUUCAUACAUGGAUCCUCUCUCGGAUUUUAUGGACUCGAGCCAUUUAUCGGAAUCCGGGCCCACCAUCGCUUCUCCAUAGCUCGUAGGUUCAUUGUUGUCUAGCAACAUGACUUUCAAGACAGGAUUACGUACCACUCUGAAGUAGUACGCAUCCUUGUCAUCCUACGAGGUUUGGGAGUGACUUGAUCCAAAGUCUCAUGAUCAAUAUCAUAAGCUUCCACUUCAAUUGGUGUAGGUGCCACAUGAACAACUCUUUGUGCCCUGCUAUACACUAGUUGAAGUGACGGUUCAAUAACCUCAUCAAGUCUCCACCAUCCUCCCACUCAAUUCCUCCGAGAGAAACUUUUCCUCGAGAAAGGACCCGAUUCUAGAAACAAUCCCUUAUUGCUUUCAGAUCUGAGAUAGGAGGUAUACCCAACUGUUUUGGUUGUCCUAUGAAGAUGCAUUUAUCCGCUUUGGGUUCGAGCUUAUCAGCCUGAAACUUUUUCACAUAAGCGUCGCAGCCCCAAACUUUUAAGAAAUGACAGCUUAGGUUUCUCUAAACCAUAGUUCAUACGAUGUCAUCUCAUCGGAAUUACGUGGUGCCCUAUUUAAAGUAAAUGUGGUUGUCUCUAAUGCCUAACCCAUAAACUAUCGUGGUAAUUGGAUAAGAGACAUCAUGGUAUGCAUCAUAUCCAAUAGGGUGCAGUUAUGAUGUUCGGACACACCAUCACACUAUGGUGUUCCAGGCUGUAUUAGUUGUGAAACAAUUUCCACAAUGUCUUAAUUCUGUGCCAAACUCGUAAUUCAGAUAUUCAUCUCUAUGAUCGUAUCAUAGAUGUUUUAUCCUCUUGUCACGACGAUCUUUCAACUUCACCCUGAAAUUACUUGAACCUUUCAAUAAUUCAGACUCAUGAUUCAUCAAGUAAAUAUACUCAACAUCUACUCAAAUCAUCUGUGAAGUAAGAACAUAACGAUAUCCACUACAUGCCUCAGCACUCAUUGGACCGCACACAUCAAAAUGUAUUACUUCCAACAAGUUGCUUUCUAGUUCCAUUUUACUGAAAACGAGGCUUUCAGUCAUCUUGCCCAUGUGGUAUGAUUUGCAUGUCUCAAGUGAUUCAAAAUCAAGUGAGUCCAAAUGGUCCAUUUGCAUGGAGUUUCUUCAUGCAUAUACACCAAUAGACAUGGUUCGCAUGUCUCAAACUUUUCAAAACGAGUGAGCCCAAAGAUCCAUCAACAUGGAGCUUCUUCAUGCGUUUCAUACCGAUAUGACUCAAAUUGCAGUGCUACAUUUGUGUGGUACUAUCAUUACUAUCUUAUACCUUUGGCAUGAAAAUGUGUAUCACUACGAUUGGGAUGGUAUUAUUCAAAUAAACAGAGUAACCAUUAUUCUCGUUAAAUGAAUAACCGUAUCGCGAUAGACAUAAUCCAAUCAUGUCUAUGCUCAACGCAAACACCAAAUAACAAUUAUUUAGGUUUUAAUACCAAUCUCGAUGGUAGAGGGAGCGUACGAUAUUUGAUCAACCUUGGAAAUACUUCCAACACAUAUCGUCAUCUCACCUUUUAGCUAGUCUCUGUUUAUUCUGUAGCCUUUUGUUUCGAGUUACUAACACUUAGCAACCGAACCGGUAUCUAAUACCCUGGUGCUACUAGGAGUACUAGUAAAGUACACAUCAACACAAUGUAUAUCCAAUAUACUUCUAUCGACAUUGCCAGCCUUCUUAUCUACCAAGUAUCUAGGGUAAUUCUGCUCCAGUGGCUGUUCCCCUUAUUACAGAAGCACUUAGUCUAGGGUUUGGGUUCAACCUUGGGUUUCUUCACUAGAGCAGCAGCUGAUUUGCCGUUUCAUGAAGUAUCCCCUUUUGCCCUUGCCCUUCUUGAAACUAGUGGUUUCACCAACCAUCAACAAUUGAUGCUCCUUCUUGAUUUCUACUUUUGUGGUGUCAAACAUCGCGAAUAUCUCAAGGAUCAUCAUAUAUGUCCCUGAUAUAUUAUAGUUCAUCACGAAGCUCUAGCAGCUUGGUGGUAAUGACUUCAGAGAAACAUCACUAUCUCAUCUGGAAGAUCAACUCCCACUCGAUUCAAAUGAUUGUUGUACUCAGACAAUCUGAGCACAAGCUCAACAAUUGAGCUUUUCUCCCUUAGUUUGCAGGCUAAGAAAAUCGUCGGAGGUCUUAUACCUCUUGACGUGGGCAUGAGCCUGAAAUCCCAAUUUCAGCCCUCGAAACAUCUCAUAUGUUUCACGACGUUUUAAAACAUCUUCGGUGCCUCAACUCUAAACCGUUUAACUGAACUAUCACGCAAUUACCAAAAUGUGUAUGUCAGAUGUUCGCAACAUCCACAGACGACGUUCGAGGUUCAGCACACUGAGUGGUGCAUUAAGGACAUAAGCCUUCUACUGUCUGCAUAAUCGCUACUAUCAACUUUCAACUAAUUUUCUGUAAGAACAUAUCUAAACAGCAGAACUAAAGCGCGAGCUAUGACAUAAUUUGCGAAGACCUUUUGACUAUGUUCAGGAUAAUUAAGUUCAUCUUAUGAACUCCCACUCAGAUAGACAUCCCUCUAGUCAUCUAAGUGAUCACAUGAUCCGAGUCAACUAGGCCGUGUCCGAUCAUCACGUGAGACGGACCAGUCAUCAUCGGUGAACAUCUUCAUGUUGAUCGUAUCUACCAUACGACUCAUGCUCGACCUUUCUGAUGGGGAACGUUGCAGAAAACAAAAUUUUCCUACGGUUUCACCAAGAUCCAUCUAGGAGUUCAUCUAGCAACGAGUGAUCGGAUUGCAUCUACAUACCUUUGUAGAUCACGCGCGGAAGCGUUCAAAGAACGGGGAUGAGGAAGGCGUACUCGACGUGAUCCAAAUCACCGGAGAUCCUAGCGCCGAAUGGACGGCACCUCCGCGUUCAACACACGUACGGUCAGCGUAACGUCUCCUUCUUCUUGAUCCAGCAAGGGGGAAAGAGAGGUUGAGGAAGAUGGCUCCAGCAGCAGCACAACGGCGUGGUGGUGAUAGAGCUGCAGUACUCCAGCAGGGCUUCGCCAAGCACUAUGGAGGAGGAGGAGGUGUUGGAGAGGGAGAGGGAGGCACCAAAGGCAAGGGUGAGAGGUCCUCCCUUCCCCCCACUAUAUAUAGGGGGCCUAGGGGGGGCGCCGGCCCUAGGAGAUCCAAUCUCCUAGGGGGGCGGCGGCCAAGGGAGGAAUCCCUCCUCCCCAAGGCACCUAGGAGGUGCCUUCCCCUUCUAGGACUCUUCCUUUAGGGUUUCCCCCACCCUAGGCGCAUGGGCCCUAGGGGGAAGUGGCGCCCCAGCCCACUUUGGGCUGGAUCCCUUCCCACUUCAGCCCAUGGGGCCCUCCGGGAUAGGUGGCCCCACCUGGUGGACCCCCGGGACCCUUCCGGUGGUCCCGGUACAAUACCGGUGACCCCGAAACUUGUCCCGAUGGCCGAAAUAGCACUUCCUAUAUAUAAUUCUUUACCUUCGGACCAUUCCGGAACUCCUCAUGAUGUCCGGGAUCUCAUCCGGGACUCCGAACAACAUUCGGGUUACUGCAUAUACAUAUCCCUACGACCCUAGCGUCACCGAACCUUAAGUGUGUAGACCCUACGGGUUCGGGAGACAUGUAGACAUGACCGAGAUUGCUCUCCGGUCAAUAACCAACAGCAGGAUCUGGAUACCCAUGUUGGCUCCUACAUGCUCCUCGAUGAUCUCAUCAUAUGAACCACGAUGUCGAGGAUUCAAGCAACCCCGUAUACAAUUCCCUUUGUCAAUCGGUAUGUUACUUGCCCGAGAUCUGAUCGUCGGUAUCCCAAUACCUCGUUCAAUCUCGUUACCGGCAAGUCACUUUACUCGUACCGUAAUGCAUGAUCCCGUGACCAGACACUUGGUCACUUUGAGCUCAUUAUGAUGAUGCAUUACCGAGUGGGCCCAGUGAUACCUCUUCGUCAUACGGAGUGACAAAUCCCAGUCUUGAUCUGUGUCAACCCAACAGACACUUUCGGAGAUACCCGUAGCAUACCUUUAUAGUCACCCAGUUACGUUGUGACAUUUGGUAUACCCAAAGCACUCCUACGGUAUCUGGGAGUUACACGAUCUCACGGUCUAAGGAAAGGAUACUUGACAUUGGAAAACUCUAGCAAACGAACUAUACGAUCUUGUGCUAUGUUUAGGAUUGGGUCUUGUCCAUCACAUCAUUCUCCUAAUGAUGUGAUCUCGUUAUCAAUGACAUCCAAUGUCCAUAGUCAGGAAACCAUGACUAUCCGUUGAUCAACGAGAUAGUCAACUAGAGGCUUACUAGGGACAUGUUGGUGUCUAUUAUUCACACAUGUAUUGCGAUUUCCGGAUAAUACAAUUAUAGCAUGAAUAAAGACAAUUAUCAUGAACAAGGAAAUAUAAUAAUAAUGAUUUUAUUAUUGCCUCUAGGGCAUAUUUCCAACAGUCUCCCACUUGCACUAGAGUCAAUAAUCUAGUUACAUUGUGAUGAAUCGAACACCCAAGGAAUUCUGGUGUUGAUCAUGUUUUGCUCUAGGGAGAGGUUUAGUCAACGGAUCUGCUACAUUCAGGUCCGUAUGUACUUUACAAAUAUCUAUGUCUCCAUCUUGAACAUUUUCACGAAUGGAGUUGAAGCGACGCUUGAUGUGCCUUGUCUUCUUGUGAAACCUGGGCUCCUUGGCAAGUGCAAUAGCUCCAGUGUUGUCACAAAAGAGCUUGAUCGGCCCCGACGCAUUGGGUAUUACUCCUAGGUCGGUGGUGAACUCCUUCACCCAAAUUUCUUCAUGCGCUGCCUCCGAGGCUGCCAUGUACUCCGCUUCACAUGUAGAUCCUGCCACGACGCUUUGCUUGCAACUGCACCAGCUUACUGCCCCACCAUUCAAAAUAUACACGUAUCCGGUUUGUGACUUAGAGUCAUCCAGAUCUGUGUCGAAGCUAGCGUUGACGUAACCUUUUACGACGAUCUCUUCAUCACCUCCAUAAAUGAGAAAUAUUUCCUUAGUCCUUUUCAGGUACUUCAGGAUAUUCUUGACCGCUAUCCAGUGUUCCUUGCCGGGAUUACUUUGGUACCUUCCUACCAAACUUACGGCAAGGUUUACAUCAGGUCUGGUACACAGCAUGGCAUACAUAAUAGAACCUAUGGCUGAGGCAUAGGGGAUGACACUCAUCUCUUCUAUAUCUUCUGCCGUGGUCGGACAUUGAGCUGAGCUCAAUUUCACACCUUGUAACACAGGCAAGAACCCCUUCUUAGACUGAUCCAUAUUGAAUUUCUUCAAUAUCUUAUCAAGGUAUGUGCUUUGUGAAAGACCUAUGAGGCGUCUUGAUCUAUCUCUAUAGAUCUUGAUGCCUAAUAUAUAUGCAGCUUCUCCAAGGUCCUUCAUUGAAAAACUCUUAUUCAAGUAGGCCUUAAUGUUGUCCAAGAGUUCUAUAUCAUUUCCCAUCAAAAGUAUGUCAUCUACAUAUAAUAUGAGAAAUGCUACAGAGCUCCCACUCACUUUCUUGUAAACACAGGCUUCUCCAUAAGUCUGCGUAAACCCAAACGCUUUGAUCAUCUCAUCAAAGCGAAUGUUCCAACUCCGAGAUGCUUGCACCAGCCCAUAAAUCGAGCGUUGGAGCUUGCAUACCUUGUCAGCAUUCUUAGGAUCGACAAAACCUUCCGGCUGCAUCAUAUACAAUUCUUCCUUAAGGAAACCAUUAAGGAAUGCCGUUUUGACGUCCAUUUGCCAUAUCUCAUAAUCAUAGAAUGCGACAAUUGCUAACAUGAUUCAGACGGACUUUAGCUUCGCUACCAGUGAGAAAGUCUCAUCGUAGUCAACCCCUUGAACUUGUCGAUAACCCUUAGCGACAAGCCGAGCUUUAUAGAUGGUCACAUUACCAUCCGCGUCUGUCUUCUUCUUAAAGAUCCAUUUAUUUUCUAUGGCUCGCCGCUCAACAGGCAAGUCAGUCAAAGUCCAUACUUCGUUUUCAUACAUGGAUCCUAUCUCAGAUUUCAUGGCUUCUAGCCAUUUGUCGGAAUCCGGGCCCGCCAUCGCUUCUUCAUAGUUUGAAGGUUCACCGUUGUCUAACAACAUGAUUUCCAAGACAGGGUUGCCGUACCACUCUGGUGCGGAACGUGUCCUUGUGGACCUACGAAGUUCAGUAGCAACUUGAUCUGAAGUUUCAUGAUCAUCAUCAUUAACUUCCUCUCUAGUCAGUGCAGGCACCUCAGGAACAUUUUCUUGAGUUGCGCCAUUUUCCGGUUCAAGAGGUAAUACUUCAUCAAGUUCUACUUUCCUCCCACUUACUUCUUUCGAGAGAAACUCUUUCUCUAGAAAGGAUCCAUUCUUGGCAACAAAGAUCUUGCCUUCAGAUCUGAGGUAGAAGGUAUACCCAAUAGUUUCUUUAGGGUAUCCUAUGAAGACACAUUUUUCUGACUUGGGUUCGAGCUUUUCAGGUUGAAGUUUCCUGACAUAAGCAUCGCAUCCCCAAACUUUCAGAAACGACAGCUUAGGUUUCUUCCCAAACCAUAAUUCAUACGGUGUCGUCUCAACGGAUUUCGAUGGAGCCCUAUUUAAAGUGAAUGCGACAGUCUCUAAAGCAUAGCCCCAAAAAGAUAGCGGUAAAUCGGCAAGAGACAUCAUAGAUCGCACCAUAUCUAAUAGAGUGCGAUUACGAUGUUCGGACACACCAUUACGCCGAGGUGUUCCAGGCGACGUGAGUUGUGAAACUAUUCCACAUUUUCUUAAGUGUGUGCCAAACUCGUGACUCAAGUAUUCUCCUCCACGAUCUGAUCGCAGGAACUUGAUUUUCCUGUCACGUUGAUUCUCAACCUCACUCUGAAAUUCUUUGAACUUUUCAAAGGUCUUAGACUUGUGUUUCAUUAAAUAGACAUACCCAUAUCUACUCAAUUCAUCAGUGAGGGUGAGAACAUAACGAUAGCCACCGCGAGCCUCAACACUCAUUGGACCGCACACAUCAGUAUGUAUGAUUUCCAAUAAGUUGGUUGCUUGCUCCAUUGUUCCUGAGAACGGAGUCUUGGUCAUUUUACCCAUGAGGCAUGGUUCGCACGUGUCAAAUGAUUCGUAAUCAAGAGACUCUAAAAGUCCAUCAGCAUGGAGCUUCUUCAUGCGUUUGACACCUAUGUGACCAAGGCGGCAGUGCCACAAGUAUGUGGGACUAUCAUUAUCAAUCUUACAUCUCUUGGUACUCACACUAUGAAUAUGUGUAGCAUUACGCUCGAGAUUCAUUAAGAAUAAACCAUUCACCAUCGGAGCAUGACCAUAAAACAUAUCUCUCAUAUAAAUAGAACAACCAUUAUUCUCGGAUUUAAAUGAGUAGCCAUCUCGUAUUAAAUGAGAUCCUGAUACAAUGUUCAUGCUCAAAGCUGGUACUAAAUAAAAAUUAUUGAGGUUUAAAACUAAUCCCGUAGGUAAAUGAAGAGGCAGCGUCCCGACGGCGAUCACAUCGACCUUGGAACCAUUCCCGACGCGCAUCGUCACCUCGUCCUUCGCUAGUCUCCGCUUAUUCCGCAGCUCCUGCUUUGAGUUACAAAUGUGAGCAACUGCACCGGUAUCAAAUACCCAGGAGCUACUACGAGUACUGGUAAGGUACACAUCAAUAACAUGUAUAUCAGAUAUACCUUUCGUUUUGCCGGCCUUCUUGUCUGCUAAGUAUUUGGGGCAGUUCCGCUUCCAGUGACCACUUUCCUUGCAAUAAAAGCACUCAGUCUCGGGCUUGGGUCCAUUCUUUGGCUUCUUCCCGGCAGCUUGCUUGCCGGGCGCGGCAACUCCCUUGCCAUCCUUCUUGAAAGCUUUCUUUUCCUUGCCCUUCUUGAACUUAGUGGUUUUAUUCACCAUCAACACUUGAUGUUCCUUUUUGACUUCUACCUCUGCUGAUUUCAGCAUUGCAAAUACUUCAGGAAUGGUCUUUUCCAUCCCCUGCAUAUUGAAGUUCAUCACAAAGCUCUUGUAGCUCGGUGGAAGCAACUGAAGGAUUCUGUCAAUGACUGCGUCAUCCGGGAGAUUAACUCCCAGCUGAGCCAAGCGGUUAUGUAACCCAGACAUAGUGAGUAUGUGCUCACUGACAGAACUGUUUUCCUCCAUCUUACAGCUGAAGAACUUGUCGGAGACUUGAUAUCUCUCGACCCGGGCAUGAGCUUGGAAAACCAUUUUCAGCUCUUCGAACAUCUCAUAUGCUCCGUGUCUCUCAAAACGCUUUUGGAGGCCCGGCUCUAAGCUGUAAAGCAUGCCGCACUGAACGAGGGAGUAGUCAUCGGUACGUGCCUGCCAAGCGUUCAUAACGUCUUGUUCUGCAGGGAGAACAGGUGCGUCACCUAGCGGUGCUUAUAGGACAUAAUCUUUCUUGGCAGCUAUGAGGAUGAUCCUCAGGUUCCGGACCCAGUCCGUGUAGUUGCUGCCAUCGUCUUUCAGCUUGGUUUUCUCUAGGAACGCAUUGAAGUUGAGGACUACGUUGGCCAUUUGAUCUACAAGACAUAUUGUAAAAUAUUUAGACUAAGUUCAUGAUAAUUAAGUUCAUCUAAUCAAAUUAUUCAAUGAACUCCCACUUAGAUAGACAUCCCUCCUGUAAUCUAAGUAUAACAUGAUCCGAGUUAACUAGGCCGUGUCCGAUCAUCACGUGAGAUGGACUAGUCAACAUCGGUGAACAUCUUCAUGUUGAUCGUAUCUUCUAUACGACUCAUGCUCGACCUUUCGGUCUUCUGUGUUCUGAGGCCAUGUCUGUACAUGCUAGGCUCGUCAAGUCAACCUAAGUGUUUGCAUGUGUAAAUCUGUCUUACACCCGUUGUAUGUGAACAUUAGAAUCUAUCACACCCGAUCAUAACGUGGUGCUUCGAAACAACGAACUGUCGCAACGGUGCACAGUUAGGGGGAACACUUUCUUGAAAUUAUUAUGAGGGAUCAUCUUAUUUACUACCGUCGUUCUAAGUAAACAAGAUGCAAAAACAUGAUAAACAUCACAUGCAAUCAAAUAAUAAUAGUGACAUGAUAUGGCCAAUAUCACAUAGCUCCUUUGAUCUCCAUCUUAGGGCUCCAUGAUCAUAUUGUCACCGGCAUGACACCAUGAUCUCCAUCAUCAUGAUCUCCAUCAUCGUGUCUCCAUGAAGUUUCUCGCCAACUAUUACUUCUACUACUAUGGCUAACACGUUUAGCAAUAAAGUAAAGUAAUUUACAUGGCGUUUCUCAAUGACACGCAGGUCAUACAAAAAAUAAAGACAACUCCUAUGGCUCCUGCCGGUUGUCAUACUCAUCGACAUGCAAGUCGUGAUUCCUAUUACAAUAGCAUGAACAUCUCAUACAUCACAUAUAUAUCAUUCAUCAUUCAUCACAACUUUGGCCAUAUCAUAUCACAAAGCACUUGCUGCAAAAACAAGUUAGACGUCCUCUAAUUGUUGUUGCAUGUUUUACGUGGCUGAAGUAGGGUUCUAGCAAGAACGUUUUCUUACCUACAUGAAAGCCACAACAUGAUUUGUCAACUUCUAUUUACCCUUCAUAAGGACCCUUUUCAUCGAAUCCGCUCCAACUAAAGUGGGAGAGACAGACACCCGCCAGCCACCUUAUGCAACUAGUGCAUGUUAGUCGGUGGAACCGGUCUCACGUAAGCGUACGUGUAAGGUUGGUCCGGGCCGCUUCAUCCCACAAUACCGUUGAAGCAAGAUAAGACUAGUAGCAGCAAGAAAGUUGACAACAUCAACGCCCACAACAAAUUGUGUUCUACUCGUGCAAGAGAACUACGCAUAGACCUAGCUCAUGAUGCCACUGAUGGGGAACGUUGCAGAAAACAAAAUUUUCCUACGGUUUCACCAAGAUCCAUCUAGGAGUUCAUCUAGCAACGAGUGAUCGGAUUGCAUCUACAUACCUUUGUAGAUCACGCGCGGAAGCGUUCAAAGAACGGGGAUGAGGAAGGCGUACUCGACAUGAUCCAAAUCACCGGAGAUCCUAGCGCCGAACGGAUGGCACCUCCGCGUUCAACACAUGUACGGUCAGCGUAACGUCUCCUUCUUCUUGAUCCAGCAAGGGGGAAAGAGAGGUUGAGGAAGAUGGCUCCAGCAGCAGCACGACGGCGUGGUGGUGAUGGAGCUGCAGUACUCCGGCAGGGCUUCACCAAGCACUAUGGAGGAGGAGGAGGUGUUGGAGAGGGAGAGGGAGGCACCAAAGGCAAGGGUGAGAGGUCCUCCCUUCCCCCCACUAUAUAUAGGGGGCCUAGGGGGGGGGGCGCCAGCCCUAGGAGAUCCAAUCUCCUAGGGGGGCGGCGGCCAAGGGAGGAAUCCCUCCUCCCCAUGGCACAUAGGAGGUGCCUUCCCCUUCUAGGACUCUUCCUUUAGGGUUUCCCCCACCCUAGGCACAUGGGCCCUAGGGGGAAGUGGCGCCACAGCCCACUUUGGGUUGGAUCCCUUCCCACUUCAGCCCAUGGGGCCCUCCGGGAUAGGUGGCCCCACCCGGUGGACCCCCGGGACCCUUCCGGUGGUCCCGGUACAAUACCGGUGACCCCGAAACUUGUCCCGAUGGCCGAAAUAGCACUUCCUAUAUAUAAUUCUUUACCUCCGGACCAUUCCGGAACUCCUCGUGACGUCCGGGAUCUCAUCCGGGACUCCGAACAACAUUCGGGUUACUGCAUAUACAUAUCCCUACAACCCUAGCGUCACCGAACCUUAAGUGUGUAGACCCUACGGGUUCGGGAGACAUGUAGACAUGACCGAGAUUGCUCUCCGGUCAAUAACCAACAGCGGGAUCUGGAUACCCAUGUUGGCUCCCACAUGCUCCUCGAUGAUCUCAUCGGAUGAACCACGAUGUCGAGGAUUCAAGCAACCCCGUAUACAAUUCCCUUUGUCAAUCGGUAUGUUACUUGCCCGAGAUCUGAUCGUCGGUAUCCCAAUACCUCGUUCAAUCUCGUUACCGGCAAGUCACUUUACUCAUACCAUAAUGCAUGAUCCCGUGACCAGACACUUGGUCACUUUGAGCUCAUUAUGAUGAUGCAUUACCGAGUGGGCCCAGUGAUACCUCUCCGUCAUACGGAGUGACAAAUCCCAGUCUUGAUCCGUGUCAACCCAAUAGACACUUUCGAAGAUACCCGUAGUAUACCUUUAUAGUGACCCAGUUACGUUGUGACGUUUGGUAUACCCAAAGCACUCCUACGGUAUCCGGGAGUUACACGAUCUCAUGGUCUAAGGAAAGGAUACUUGACAUUGGAAAACUCUAGCAAACGAACUAUACGAUCUUGUGCUAUGUUUAGGAUUGGGUCUUGUCCAUCACAUCAUUCUCCUAAUGAUGUGAUCUCGUUAUCAAUGACAUCCAAUGUCCAUAGUCAGGAAACCAUGACUAUCCGUUGAUCAACGAGCUAGUCAACUAGAGGCUUACUAGGGACAUGUUGGUGUCUAUUAUUCACACAUGUAUUACGAUUUCCGGAUAAUACAAUUAUAGCAUGAAUAAAGACAAUUAUCAUGAACAAGGAAAUAUAAUAAUAAUGAUUUUAUUAUUGCCUCUAGGGCAUAUUUCCAACAGUCUCCCACUUGCACUAGAGUCAAUAAUCUAGUUACAUUGUGAUGAAUCGAACACCCAUGGAAUUCUGGUGUUGAUCAUGUUUUGCUCUAGGGAGAGGUUUAGUCAACGAAUCUGCUACAUUCAGGUCCAUAUGUACUUUACAAAUAUCUAUGUCUCCAUCUUGAACAUUUUCACGAAUGGAGUUGAAGCGACGCUUGAUGUGCCUUGUCUUCUUGUGAAACCUGGGCUCCUUGGCAAGUGCAAUAGCUCCAGUGUUGUCACAGAAGAGCUUGAUCGGCCCCGACGCAUUGGGCAUGACUCCUAGGUCGGUGGUGAACUCCUUCACCCAAAUUGCUUCAUGCGCUGCCUCCGAGGCUGCCAUGUACUCCGCUUCACAUGUAGAUCCUGCCACUUCGCUUUGCUUGCAACUGCACCAGCUUACUGCCCCACCAUUCAAAAUAUACACGUAUCCGGUUUGUGACUUAGAGUCAUCCAGAUCUGUGUCGAAGCUAGCGUCGACGUAACCUUUUACGACAAGCUCUUCAUCACCUCCAUAAAUGAGAAAUAUUUCCUUAGUCCUUUUCAGGUACUUCAGGAUAUUCUUGACCGCUAUCCAGUGUUCCUUGCCGGGAUUACUUUGGUACCUUCCUACCAAACUUACGGCAAGGUUUACAUCAGGUCUGGUACACAGCAUGGCAUACAUAAUAGAACCUAUGGCUGAGGCAUAGGGGAUGACACUCAUCUCUUCUAUAUCUUCUGCCGUGGUCGGACAUUGAGCUGAGCUCAAUUUCACACCUUGUAACACAGCCAAGAACCCCUUCUUAGACUGAUCCAUAUUGAAUUUCUUCAAUAUCUUAUCAAGGUAUGUGCUUUGUGAAAGACCUAUGAGGCGUCUUGAUCUAUCUCUAUAGAUCUUGAUGCCUAAUAUAUAUGCAGCUUCUCCAAGGUCCUUCAUUGAAAAACUCUUAUUCAAGUAGGCCUUAAUGUUGUCCAAGAGUUCUAUAUCAUUUCCCAUCAAAAGUAUGUCAUCUACAUAUAAUAUGAGAAAUGCUACAGAGCUCCCACUCACUUUCUUGUAAACACAGGCUUCUCCAUAAGUCUGCGUAAACCCAAACGCUUUGAUCAUCUCAUCAAAGCGAAUGUUCCAACUCCGAGAUGCUUGCACCAGCCCAUAAAUCGAGCGUUGGAGCUUGCGUACCUUGUCAGCAUUCUUAGGAUCGACAAAACCUUCCGGCUGCAUCAUAUACAAUUCUUCCUUAAGAAAACCAUUAAGGAAUGCCGUUUUGAUGUCCAUUUGCCAUAUCUCAUAAUCAUAGAAUGCGACAAUUGCUAACAUGAUUUGGACGGACUUUAGCUUCGCUACCGGUGAGAAAGUCUCAUCGUAGUCAACCCCUUGAACUUGUCGAUAACCCUUAGCGACAAGCCGAGCUUUAUAUAUGGUCACAUUACCAUCCGCGUCUGUCUUCUUCUUAAAGAUCCAUUUAUUUUCUAUGGCUCGCCGCUCAACAGGCAAGUCAGUCAAAGUCCAUACUUCGUUUUCAUACAUGGAUCCUAUCUCAGAUUUCAUGGCUUCUAGCCAUUUGUCGGAAUCCGGGCCCGCCAUCGCUUCUUCAUAGUUUGAAGGUUCACCGUUGUCUAACAACAUGAUUUCCAAGACAGGGUUGCCGUACCACUCUGGUGCGGAACAUGUCCUUGUGGACCUACGAAGUUCAGUAGCAACUUGAUCUGAAGUUUCAUGAUCAUCAUCAUUAACUUCCUCUCUAGUCGGUGCAGGCACCUUAGGAACAUUUUCUUGAGUUGCGCCAUUUUCCGGUUCAAGAGGUAAUACUUCAUCAAGUUCUACUUUCCUCCCACUUACUUCUUUCGAGAGAAUCUCUUUCUCUAGAAAGGAUCCAUUCUUGGCAACAAAGAUCUUGCCUUCGGAUCUGAGGUAGAAGGUAUACCCAAUAGUUUAUUUAGGGUAUCCUAUGAAGACGCAUUUUUCCGACUUGGGUUCGAGCUUUUCAGGUUGAAGUUUCCUGACAUAAGCAUCGCAUCCCCAAACUUUCAGAAAUGACAGCUUAGGUUUCUUCCCAAACCAUAAUUCAUACGGUGUCGUCUCAACGGAUUUCGAUGGAGCCCUAUUUAAAGUGAAUGCGGCAGUCUCUAAAGCAUAGCCCCAAAAAGAUAGCGGUAAAUCGGCAAGAGACAUCAUAGAUCGCACCAUAUCUAAUAGAGUGCGAUUACGACGUUCGGACACACCAUUACGCCGAGGUGUUCCAGGCGGCGUGAGUUGUGAAACUAUUCCACAUUUUCUUAAGUGUGUGCCAAACUCGUGACUCAAGUAUUCUCCUCCACGAUCUGAUCGCAGGAACUUGAUUUUCUUGUCACGUUGAUUGUCAACCUCACUCUGAAAUUCUUUGAACUUUUCAAAGGUCUCAGACUUGUGUUUCAUUAAGUAGACAUACCCAUAUCUACUCAAGUCAUCAGUGAGGGUGAGAACAUAACGAUAGCCACCGCGAGCCUCAACACUCAUUGGACCGCACACAUCAGUAUGUAUGAUUUCCAAUAAGUUGGUUGCUUGCUCCAUUGUUCCUGAGAAUGGAGUCUUGGUCAUUUUACCCAUGAGGCAUGGUUCGCACGUGUCAAAUGAUUCAUAAUCAAGAGACUCUAAAAGUCCAUCAGCAUGGAGCUUCUUCAUGCGUUUGACACCUAUGUGACCAAGGCGGCAGUGCCACAAGUAUGUGGGACUAUCAUUAUCAAUCUUACAUCUCUUGGUACUCACACUAUGAAUAUGUGUAGCAUUACGCUCGAGAUUCAUUAAGAAUAAACCAUUCACCAUCGGAGCAUGACCAUAAAACAUAUCUCUCAUAUAAAUAGAACAACCAUUAUUCUCGGAUUUAAAUGAGUAGCCAUCUCGUAUUAAACGAGAUCCUGAUACAAUGUUCAUGCUCAAAGCUGGUACUAAAUAACAAUUAUUGAGGUUUAAAACUAAUCCCGUAGGUAAAUGAAGAGGCAGCGUCCCGACGGCGAUCACAUCGACCUUGGAACCUUUCCCGACGUGCAUCGUCACCUCGUCCUUCGCUAGUCUCCGCUUAUUCCGCAGCUCCUGCUUUGAGUUACAAAUGUGAGCAACUGCACCGGUAUCAAAUACCCAGGAGCUACUACGAGUACUGGUAAGGUACACAUCAAUAACAUGUAUAUCACAUAUACCUUUCGUUUUGCCGGCCUUCUUGUCUGCUAAGUAUUUGGGGCAGUUCCGCUUCCAGUGACCACUUUCCUUGCAAUAAAAGCACUCAGUCUCGUGCUUGGGUCCAUUCUUUGGCUUCUUCCCGGCAGCUUGCUUGCCGGGCGCGGCAACUCCCUUGCCAUCCUUCUUGAAAGCUUUCUUUUCCUUGCCCUUCUUGAACUUAGUGGUUUUAUUCACCAUCAACACUUGAUGUUCCUUUUUGACUUCUACCUCUGCUUAUUCCAGCAUUGCAAAUACUUCAGGAAUGGUCUUUUCCAUCCCCUGCAUAUUGAAGUUCAUCACAAAGCUCUUGUAGCUCGGUGGAAGCGACUGAAGGAUUCUGUCAAUGACUGCGUCAUCCGGGAGAUUAACUCCCAGCUGAGCCAAGCGGUUAUGUAACCCAGACAUAGUGAGUAUGUGCUCACUGACAGAACUGUUUUCCUCCAUCUUACAGCUGAAGAACUUGUCGGAGACUUGAUAUCUCUCGACCCGGGCAUGAGCUUGGAAAACCAUUUUCAGCUCUUCGAACAUCUCAUAUGCUCCGUGUCUCUCAAAACGCUUUUGGAGGCCCGGCUCUAAGCUGUAAAGCAUGCCGCACUGAACGAGGGAGUAGUCAUCGGUACGUGCCUGCCAAGCGUUCAUAACGUCUUGUUCUGCAGGGAGAACAGGUGCGUCACCUAGCGGUGCUUGUAGGACAUAAUCUUUCUUGGCAGCUAUGAGGAUGAUCCUUAGGUUCUGGACCCAGUCCGUGUAGUUGCUGCCAUCGUCUUUCAGCUUGGUUUUCUCUAGGAACGCGUUGAAGUUGAGGACUACGUUGGCCAUUUGAUCUACAAGACAUAUUGUAAAAUAUUUAGACUAAGUUCAUGAUAAUUAAGUUCAUCUAAUCAAAUUAUUCAAUGAACUCCCACUUAGAUAGACAUCCCUCCUGUAAUCUAAGUAUAACAUGAUCCGAGUUAACUAGGCCGUGUCCGAUCAUCACGUGAGACGGACUAGUCAACAUCGAUGAACAUCUUCAUGUUGAUCGUAUCUUCUAUACGACUCAUGCUCGACCUUUCGGUCUUCUGUGUUCCGAGGCCAUGUCUGUACAUGCUAGGCUCGUCAAGUCAACCUAAGUGUUUGCAUGUGUAAAUCUGUCUUACACCCGUUGUAUGUGAACGUUAGAAUCUAUCACACCCGAUCAUCACGUGGUGCUUCGAAACAACGAACUGUCGCAACGGUGCACAGUUAGGGGGAACACUUUCUUGAAAUUAUUAUGAGGGAUCAUCUUAUUUACUACCGUCGUUCUAAGUAAACAAGAUGCAAAAACAUGAUAAACAUCACAUGCAAUCAAAUAAUAAUAGUGACAUGAUAUGGCCAAUAUCACAUAGCUCCUUUGAUCUCCAUCUUAGGGCUCCAUGAUCAUCUUGUCACCGGCAUGACACCAUGAUCUCCAUCAUCAUGAUCUCCAUCAUCGUGUCUCCAUGAAGUUGCUCGCCAACUAUUACUUCUACUACUAUGGCUAACACGUUUAGCAAUAAAGUAAAGUAAUUUACAUGGCGUUUCUCAAUGACAUGCAGGUCAUACAAAAAAUAAAGACAACUCCUAUGGCUCCUGCCGGUUGUCAUACUCAUCGACAUGCAAGUCGUGAUUCCUAUUACAAUAGCAUGAACAUCUCAUACAUCACAUAUAUAUCAUUCAUCAUUCAUCACAACUUUGGCCAUAUCAUAUCACAAAGCACUUGCUGCAAAAACAAGUUAGACGUCCUCUAAUUGUUGUUGCAUGUUUUACGUGGCUGAAGUAGGGUUCUAGCAAGAACGUUUUCUUACCUACGUGAAAGCCACAACAUGAUUUGUCAACUUCUAUUUACUCUUCAUAAGGACCCUUUUCAUCGAAUCCGCUCCAACUAAAGUGGGAGAGACAGACACCCGCCAGCCACCUUAUGCAACUAGUGCAUGUUAGUCGGUGGAACCGGUCUCACGUAAGCGUACGUGUAAGGUUGGUCCGGGCCGCUUCAUCCCACAAUACCGUUGAAGCAAGAUAAGACUAGUAGCAACAAGAAAGUUGACAACAUCAACGCCCACAACAAAUUGUGUUCUACUCAUGCAAGAGAACUACGCAUAGACCUAGCUCAUGAUGCCACUGAUGGGGAACGUUGCAGAAAACAAAAUUUUCCUACGGUUUCACCAAGAUCCAUCUAGGAGUUCAUCUAGCAACGAGUGAUCGGAUUGCAUCUACAUACCUUUGUAGAUCACGCGCGGAAGCAUUCAAAGAACGGGGAUGAGGAAGGCGUACUCGACGUGAUCCAAAUCACCGGAGAUCCUAGCGCCGAACGGACGGCACCUCCGUGUUCAACACACGUACGGUCAGCAUAACGUCUCCUUCUUCUUGAUCCAGCAAGGGGGAAAGAGAGGUUGAGGAAGAUGGCUCCAGCAGUAGCACGACGGCGUGGUGGUGAUGGAGCUGCAGUACUCCGGCAGGGCUUCACCAAGCACUAUGGAGGAGGAGGAGGUGUUGGAGAGGGAGAGGGAGGCACCAAAGGCAAGGGUGAGAGGUCCUCCCUUCCCCCCACUAUAUAUAGGGGGCCUAGGGGGGGGGGCGCCAGCCCUAGGAGAUCCAAUCUCCUAGGGGGGCGGCGGCCAAGGGAGGAAUCCCUCCUCCCAAAGGCACCUAGGAGGUGCCUUCCCCUUCUAGGACUCUUCCUUUAGGGUUUCCCCCACCCUAGGCACAUGGGCCCUAGGGGGAAGUGGCGCCACAGCCCACUUUGGGCUGGAUCCCUUCCCACUUCAGCUCAUGGGGCCCUCCGGGAUAGGUGGCCCCACCCAGUGGACCCCCGGGACCCUUCCGGUGGUCCCGGUACAAUACCGGUGACCGCGAAACUUGUCCCGAUGGCCGAAAUAGCACUUCAUAUAUAUAAUUCUUUACCUCCGGACCAUUCCGGAACUCCUCGUGACGUCCGGGAUCUCAUCCAGGACUCCAAACAACAUUCGGGUUACUGCAUAUACAUAUCCCUACAACCCUAGCGUCACCGAACCUUAAGUGUGUAGACCCUACGGGUUCGGGAGACAUGUAGACAUGACCGAGAUUGCUCUCCGGUCAAUAACCAACAGCGGGAUCUGGAUACCCAUGUUGUCUCCCACAUGCUCCUCGAUGAUCUCAUCGGAUGAACCACGAUGUCGAGGAUUCAAGCAACCCCGUAUACAAUUCCCUUUGUCAAUCGGUAUGUUACUUGCCCGAGAUCUGAUCGUCGGUAUCCCAAUACCUCGUUCAAUCUCGUUACCGGCAAGUCACUUUACUCGUACCGUAAUGCAUGAUCCCGUGACUAGACACUUGGUCACUUUGAGCUCAUUAUGAUGAUGCAUUACCGAGUGGGCCCAGUGAUACCUCUCCGUCAUAUGGAGUGACAAAUCCCAGUCUUGAUCCGUGUCAACCCAACAGACACUUUCGGAGAUACCCGUAGUAUACCUUUAUAGUCACCCAGUUACGUUGUGACGUUUGGUAUACCCAAAGCACUCCUACGGUAUCCGGGAGUUACACGAUCUCAUGGUCUAAGGAAAGGAUACUUGACAUUGGAAAACUCUAGCAAACGAACUAUACGAUCUUGUGCUAUGUUUAGGAUUGGGUCUUGUCCAUCACAUCAUUCUCCUAAUGAUGUGAUCUCGUUAUCAAUGACAUCCAAUGUCCAUAGUCAGGAAACCAUGACUAUCCGUUGAUCAACGAGCUAGUCAACUAAAGGCUUACUAGGGACAUGUUGGUGUCUAUUAUUCACACAUGUAUUAUGAUUUCUGGAUAAUACAAUUAUAGCAUGAAUAAAGACAAUUAUCAUGAACAAGGAAAUAUAAGAAUAAUGAUUUUAUUAUUGCCUCUAGGGCAUAUUUCCAACACUUUCGGUCUCUUGUGUUCCGAGACCAUGUCUGUACAUGCUAGGCUCGUCAAGUCAACCUAAGUGUUUCGCGUGUGUAAAUCUGUCUUACACCCAUUGUAUGUGAACGUUAGAAUCUAUCACACCUGAUCAUCACGUGGUGCUUCGAAACAACGAACUAUCGCAACGGUGCACAGUUAGGGGGAACACUUUCUUGAAAUUUUAAUGAGGGAUCAUCUUAUUUACUACCGUUGUUCUAAGCAAAUAAGAUGCAUAAACAUGACAAACAUCACAUGCAAUCAAAUAGUGACAUGAUAUGGCCAUCAUCACUUUGCUCCUCUUGAUCUCCAUCUUCGGGGCUCCAUGAUCAUCAUCGUCACCGGCAUGACACCAUGAUCUCCAUCAUCAUGAUCUCUAUGAUCGUGUCUUCAUGAAGUUGUCUCACCAACUAUUACUUCUACUACUACAGCUAACGGUUAGCAAUAAAGUAAAGUAAUCACAUGACGUUUAUGUUGACAUGCAGGUCAUAAAUAAAUUAAGACAACUCCUAUGGCUCCUGCCGGUUGUCAUACUCAUCGACAUGCAAGUCGUGAUUCCUAUUACAAGAACAUGAUCAAUCUCAUACAUCACAUAUAAUUCAUCACAUUCUUCUUGGCCAUAUCACAUCACAUGGCAUACCCUGCAAAAACAAGUUAGACGCCCUCUAAUUGUUGUUUGCUUGUUUUACGUGGCUGCUACGGGUUUCUAGCAAGAACGUUUCUUACCUACGCAAAACCACAACGUGAUAUGCCAAUUGCUAUUUACCCUUCAUAAGGACCCUUUUCAUCGAAUCCGUUUCGACUAAAGUGGGAGAGACUGGCACCUGCUAGCCACCUUAUGCAACUAGUGCAUGUCAGUCGGUGGAACUUGUCUCACGUAAGAGUAUGUGUAAGGUUGGUCCGGGCCGCUUCAUCCCACAAUACCUUCGAAACAAGAUUGGACUAGUAACGGUAAGCAUAUUGAACAAAAUCAACGCCCACAACUACUUUGUGUUCUACUCGUGCAUAGAAUCUACGCAAUAGACCUAGCUCAUGAUGCCACUGUUGGGGAACGUAGCAGAAAUUCAAAAUUUUCUACGCAUCACCAAGAUCAAUCUAUGGAGAAGUCUACCAACGAGGGAAGGAGAGUGCAUCUAGAUACCCUUGUAGAUCGCUACGCGGAAGCAUUCAAGAGAACGGGGUUGAUGGAGUCGUACUCGUCGUGAUCCAAAUCACCGAUGAUCCUAGUGCCGAACGGAUGGCACCUCCGUGUUCAACACACGUACAACCCGGUGACGUCUCCCAUGCCUUGAUCCAUCAAGGAGAGAGGGAGAGGUUGAGGAAGACUCCAUCCAGCAGCAGCAGAACGACGUGGUGGUGGUGGAGGAGCGUGGCACUGCAGCAGGGCUUCGCCAAGCACCGCAAGAGACGAGGAGGGAGAGGGGUAGUGCUGCGCCAAGAAGGAGAGGAACUCGUGUGUGUUGGGCAGCCCAAACCUCAAGUAUAUAUAGGGGAAGGGGAGGGGCUGCGCCCCCACCUAGGGUUCCCUCCCUAGGGGUGGCGGCAGCCCCCAGAUCCCAUCUGGGUGGCGGCCACAAGGGGGAGAGGGGGAGGCGCACCUGGGGUGGGCCUUAGGGCCCAUCUGCCCUAGGGUUUGGCCCCUUUCCCUCUUGGAGGCGCCUUGGGCCUUGGUGGGAGGCGCCCCAGCCCACCUAGGGACUGGUCCCUUCCCACUUUUGGCCAAUGUAGGCCUCCGGGUCUGGUGGCCCCACUUGGUGGACCCCCGGGACCCUCCCGGUGGUCCCGGUACGUUACCGAUAAACCCCGAAACUUUUCCGGUGACCAAAACAGGACUUCCCAUAUAUAAAUCUUUACCUCCGGACCAUUCCGGAACUCCUCGUGACGUCCGAGAUCUCAUCCGGGACUCUGAACAACAUUCGGUAACCAUGUAUAUCUAUUCCCUAUAACCCUAGCAUCAUCGAACCUUUAGUGUGUAGACCCUACGGGUUCGGGAAACAUGCAGACAUGACCGAGACACCUCUCCGGUCAAUAACCAACAGCGGGAUAUGGAUACCCAUGUUGGUUCCCACAUGUUCCAUGAUGAUCUCAUCGGAUGAACCACGAUGUCGAGGAUUCGAUCAAUCCCGUAUACAAUUCCCUUUGUCUAGCGGUAUUGUACUUGCCCGAGAUUCGAUCGUCGGUAUCCCAAUACCUUGUUCAAUCUCGUUACCGGCAAGUCUCUUUACUCGUUCCGUAACACAUCAUCCCGUGAUCAACUCCUUGAUCACAUUGUGCACAUUAUGAUGAUGUCCUACUGAGUGGGCCCAGAGAUACCUCUCCGUCACACGGAGUGACAAAUCCGAGUCUCAAUUCGUGCCAACCCAACAGACACUUUCGGAGAUACCUGUAGUGUACCUUUAUAGCCACCCAGUUACGUUUUGACACUUGGCACACCCAAAGUAUUCCUAUGGUAUUCGGGAGUUGCACAAUCUCAUGGUCUAAGGAAAUGAUACUUGACAUUAGAAAAGCUUUAGCAUGCGAACUACACGAUCUUGUGCUAUGCUUAGGAUUGGGUCUUGUCCAUCACAUCAUUCUCCUAAUGAUGUGAUCCCGUUAUCAAUGACAUCCAAUGUCCAUGGUCAGGAAACCGUAACCAUCCAUUAAUUAACGAGCUAGUCAACUAGAGGCUUAAUAGGGACAUGGUGUUGUCUAUGUAUCCACACAUGUAUCUGAGUUUCCUAUCAAUACAAUUCUAGCAUGGAUAAUAAACGAUUAUCAUGAACAAGGAAAUAUAAUAAUAACUAAUUUAUUAUUGCCUCUAGGGCAUAUUUCCAACAAGAACUACUUCAGACAGCUCUGGCCCAGCAGGAUGCAUACUCCUAUAGUCGAGACAGGAUUCAUUCAACUCCUCGCCCAAGUCGGAGCCCAAGUUACAGUAGGCACAUGGAGUCUGCAGAGAUGUCAAGUAAUGCUCAACGCCACAACCGGCCAUAUAGGCAUGAGCCGGUGCGGGCUGGAGCCCUUAACCUGGCGGAUCAAGAGAGGAUUCUUCAAGAGGCGGAACGAGCGGCUCAAAUAGCAGCAGAGCAGGCGGCUCAUCAAACCUUUCCGGCUUAUCCAGCAACCUCGGUUGAGGCAGGAGUGGCCACAAGAACCGGAGGCGUACCUUGCUUGGUACCGGCCAUACACAAUGAGCGGUUGCCAAAAGAUUUCAAGGGGCCUCGUAAGGUGCCUAAUUACACGGCUGACCUAUAGUUGGUGGCUUGGAUUGAGAGUUAUGAGAUGGCUAUGGAGCUGUCGGAGGUUAGCGACGCUGCAAUAGCCAAGUAUUUUACCAUGAUGUUGGAUGGAACAACUCGGACCUGGUUGAAGGGAUUGCCACCCAAUUCUAUCGGCUCAUGGGCAGAGUUGAAAGCGCGGUUCAGCCAGAACUUUAAAGACACGUGUAAGUAGCCAAUGUCGAUUGUGGACCUGACCAAUUGUAAGAAGAGGACGGUGAGUCUACAACCCAUUGGGUGCGCCGGGUCAAGGAGAUAAUACAUUCAUCUGAUAAGAUGGAUGCCGGCUCAGCAGUCUUGAUGUUGGAGAAAAAUUGCUGUUUUGAACAUCUGAAGCAGAAGCUGGGGCGACUUAAAUGCAACUGUAAUGACAUGGGAACGUUGAUGGCGGCUCUUGCCAAGUAUGCUGAUUCUGAUACCACCAAGGACCCGGUGUCUGACGAAGAAAAGGCAACAAAGGGAAACAAGAACGGCAACGACAAGGGUCACCAGCAUAACCCGGUGAAUCAGGGAGGUAAUAAACGUAAGGCUGAUGAGUUUGUUGCUAAUACUAAUGCGCAGGGUGGUAAUCAGCGGCGCAAGGGCAGACAGCCCCCUUGGUCAGGCGGGUCAGGUCCCACUCUUGAGCAAUUGUUGAAUGAACCUUGUCCAAAGCACGGCACCCGGGAGAAGCCAGCCACCCACCUGUGGAAAGAUUGCACGAUCAUGAAGGCAUUUAAAAAUUCAAAUGCAUUUGAUGGGGGUCAUGGCCCAGGUGGCGGUUCAGGUGAAGGCGGCUUUCAGGGCCCGGGCGCCGGUUCAGGCGGAGGAGGUUUUCAAGGUCAAGGUUAUCCUGGUCACCAAGGAGGAUAUAAUCAGCAACACGGCCAAGGGAAUCAGCAGCAGCAAUUCGGUUAUCAGAGCAACCCAAAGCAGUUGAGUAGCGGACAGUAUCAUGUCUUUACUACCAGUUUAUGUAAGAGGGACCAGAAACUUCACAAGAGGGCCGUCAAUGCCGUUGAGCCGGCAAUUCCACGGUAUCUACGUUGGUCGGAGCAGCCUAUUGUGUGGAGCAGAGAGGAUCACCCGCCCCGGGUUGAUAAUCCGGGUCACUUGGCUUUGGUAGUGGCACCUCAGGUUGGUGGGUACAAGUUUACUAAGGUGCUCAUGGAUGGAGGCAGCAACAUCAACAUCCUCUACUAUGAGACGUUCCGUCGGAUGGGAUUGAUGGAUAAAAAUCUUAAAUAAUCCAACACUGUUUUUCAUGGUGUGGUGCCUGGUAAAUCGGCAUACCCAGUUGGUAAGAUUGAACUGGAAGUAGCCUUUGGGGAUGAGUAUGACUCCAGAGCGGAAAAAUUAACCUUUGAGGUGGUUAAGAUCAAAAGCCCAUAUCAUGCUCUGUUUGGGCGGCCGGCUUAUGCCAAGUUCAUGGCUCGGCCGUGUUACGUAUAUUUGCAGCUCAAGAUGCCGGGUCAUAAAGGCACCAUUACAGUACAUGGGAGCCGGAAGAUAGCCUUGGAAUGUGAAGAAGGUGAUGCUGCCUAUGCUGAAUCUGUUUGUGCAACAGAGGAGUUAAAAUUUCACAAGGAUCAUGUUGACCCGGCAGACAUGACGUCAUUAAAGAAACCAACAAUAGAGCAUGAGCCGGAGUUGAAAUUCAAAUCAGCUAAUGACAGUAAGAUGGUUGACUUUGUACCUGGUGACUCAUCCAAACAGUUUAUCAUCAGCGCAAACUUGGAUCCGAAAUAGGAAAGCGCACUCAUCGAGUUCAUCCAUGAGAACCGGGACAUCUUUGCAUGGAAACCUUCAGACAUGCCGGGUGUCCCGAGGGAACUCGCUGAGCACACUCUUAAUAUCGAUCCAAAAUUCAAACCUGUCAGACAGUUUCUCUGACGGUUCAAUGAAGAAAGACGCAAGGCCAUCGGGGAAGAGGUGGCCCGGCUCUUGGCAGCCGGGUUCAUUGUGGAGGUCUUUCACCCUGAAUGGUUAGCUAACCCGGUGCUUGUACUAAAAAAGAAUGGCACCUGGCGUAUGUGUGUGGAUUACACAGAUCUGAACAAGGCUUGUCCGACUGAUCCUUUUGCUCUCCCCCGUAUUGAUCAGAUCAUUGAUGCUACGACGGGUUGCGCAUGAUUGAGUUUCUUGGAUGCUUAUUCCGGUUAUCAUCAGAUUAAGAUGGCAGUCAAGGAUCAAGAGAAGACAACUUUUAUAACUCCUUUUGGAGCUUUCUACUAUGUGUCUAUGCCUUUUGGGCUUAAGAGUGCCCAGGCGACUUACCAGCGGUGUGUACAAAAUUGUCUUCACAAUCAAAUUGGGCGCAAUGUUCAUGCUUAUGUUGAUGAUAUAGUGGUGAAAUCCAGGGAAGAGGAAACCUUGGUCACAGACCUGAAAGAGAAUUUUGAUAAUCUCUGGGUUUACAAAAUGAUGCUUAACCCGACCAAGUGUGUUUUUGGAGUGCCAGCCGGCAAGCUCUUGGGUUUUUUGGUGUCUAACCGAGGUAUUAAAGCUAACCCGGAGAAAAUCAAGGCAAUUACAUCCCUAGCCAAACCAACCUGCGUCAAUGAUGUUCAGCGGCUGGCGGGUCGUGUGGCUGCUUUGAGCCGGUUCAUAAGCCGGUUAGGGGAAAAGGCUAUGCCUCUGUAUUAGUUGAUGAAGAAAACGGAUGUUUUUGUUUGGAGUGAUGCUGCGAACGCUGCUUUUGAGGAUCUGAAGGCACAGCUGGCUGAGCCGCCGGUCCUGGCUGCUCUAAUUGAGAAAGUGCCGCUAAUGUUAUACGUGGCUGCCAACUCACGGGCUGUUAGUGUGGCUAUUGUGGUAGAGCACAAGGAGGCUGGCAAAGAGCAUCCAGUUCAGCGGCCGAUUUAUUAUGUCAGUGAAGUGCUAAUUGAGUCUAAGCAAUGAAAUCCACAUUGGCAGAAGCUUGUUUAUGGGGUGUUCAUGGCGAGCCGGAAGCUUAAGCAUUACUUUCAGGGACAUCCAAUCACUGUGGUUAGCUCUGCUCCUUUGGGAGACAUUAUUCAGAACAGAGAAGCCACGGGGCGAGUCGCCAAGUGGGCAAUUGAGCUUGGGUCUCAUGGGUUGAAGUAUGUUCCAGGUACUGCAAUUAAGUCUCAAGCCUUGGUUGACUUCAUCAAUGACUGGACAGAGAUGCAGAUGCCAGAAGAGAAGCUAGACAACACGUAUUGGACUAUUCAUUUUCCUGGAUCCAGGCAAUUGGAAGGCUCGGGGGUUGGAGUCGUGCUAACUUCCCCAUGAGGUGACAAAUUUUGUUAUGUGUUACGGUUGAUGUUUCCUUGCACUAACAACGCAGCAGAGUAUGAAGCCUUGCUCCAUGGUCUUCGAGUGGCAAAAGAGAUGAGCUUGAGCUGGGUCAGAUGUCUUGGUGACUCGGAUCUAGUGGCUCAACAGGUAUCUGGCAAGUGGGAUUCCAAAGACCCUCUCAUGGCGGCUUAUCGCUGAGAGGUUGAUGCUGUUGCAGGAUAUUUUAAAGGUUAUCAGGUGGAACACAUUGACCGUCGAAAGAACAAAGCAGCUAAUGCUUUAAGCUGGCUGGGGUCUCAGCGUAAGCCGGUGCCACCUAACACCUUUUGGAUGUUUUGCAUAACCUCUCUGUCAAGUUGCCCACAGAAGAAUAUUUAGUUGUUCCUGACCCGGAGGUGCAGUUGGUAGCAGCUCUUCAUGUCAUCCCAGAUUGGACGGUGCCGUUCUUGGCUUACAUGACCCGGGGAGAGUUGCCAGCGGAUGAGAACCUAGCUCAACAGAUAACCCGGCGAUCUAAGUCCAUGACGAUUUCGUAUGGAGAGUUAUACCAUCGCAGUGUUUCCGAAGCGUUUCAGCGGUGUGUUUCCCCCCGAAGAAGGUCAAGAAAUCCUUCAUGAGAUCCAUGAAGGCGAUUGUGUUCAUCACGCCGGGUCAAAAUCUUUAGUGGCCAAGGCGUUUCGUCAUGGGUUUUACUGGUUGACGGCUCAUGCUGAUGCAGAAGUUCUGGUCAGUAGAUGCGAUGGAUGUCAAAAAUUUGCACGAUGAGCGCAUGUGCCGGCUCAAGAGCUCCGGAUGAUUCCAAUCACUUGGCCGUUUGCGGUCUGGGGUCUUGACAUGGUGGGACCUUUCAAAAGGUCUAAGGAUAAAAAGACACAUCUCCUGGUGGCAGUUGAUAAAUUCACCAAGUGGGUUGAGGCGGAGCCUGUGAGUAAAUGUGACGCAGCCACGGCGGUUCAGUUCAUGAAAAAAGUGAUUUUCCGUUUCGGGUUUCCACACAGUAUUAUCACUGACAAUGGCACUAAUCUAUCCCAAGGAGCUAUGGAGGAAUUUUGUCAACGAGAACACAUCCGGCUUGAUGUUUCCUCUGUAGCUCACCCUCAAUCCAAUGGUCAAGCUGAGAGAGCCAAUCAGGAAAUUUUGAAAGGGAUCAAACCCCGGCUUAUGGUUCCUUUACAACGAACGCCGGGUUGUUGGGUAGAGGAAUUACCCUCGGUAUUAUGGAGUAUCAAUACUACACCCAAUAGGUCUACGGGUUACACACCUUUCUUCAUGGUUUAUGGAGCAGAAGCAGUAUUGCCCAGUGACAUCCGUCAUGACUCGCCCCAUGUGGCGGCUUAUGUUGAAGCUAAUAAUGAACAAGCCAGACAGGAUGCACUUGACUUGUUGGAUGAAGAAAGAGACUUAGCAGUGGCCCGGUUAGCAAUUUAUUAACAAGACCUGCGUCGUUAUCACAGCCGCCGGGUUAAGUCCAGGACUUUUCCGGAAGGCGACUUGGUGCUCCGGCUCAUCCAGGAUCUUUCAGAUGCACACAAGUUAUCCCCACCUUGGGAAGGACCCUUUGUGGUUCGUAAAAAUUUAAACAAUGGGUCAUACUACCUCAUUGACGUUCGAGAGCAUGCAGACUCACGUAAGUCGGAAGAGGAGACCCGCCGGCCAUGGAACAUUGCUCAACUUCGGCCAUAUUACACCUGAGCCACCGGCUCUCAUCAUGUACAUACGUUCACAUUGUAUAUACUAUGAUAAGCAAUAAAGUAAGACCAUCAGUCUCUUUUCUCUUCACAGACUAUGCAUCUUUAUUAUUUCUUAUUUACAAAUGGCUAUUAAGGAGCUGAUCAUAUUUGAAUCAAGUUUAACCUUUUUGGUCCAGCUUAUGAUCGUAUCCGAAUCUAGCUGCAAAUCUCAUGGUCACUUGGGAGCUUCCUGUUCAAAUUAGGUCGUAUUCGAACCAAAGAGAACAUAGCUGUCAUAACCCUCUUGAUCGGCUCAAGGCCAAAACUCACUGGGGGCUUCUUGAUCGUAUCCGAAUCAUAGCUUAACCCCUUUGAGUCCGACUUGGAUCGUAUUUGAAUCAGGGUUGUUAAAAACCUCUCAAGGUCAUUUGGGGGCUUCCUGUUCAAACAUAGGUCGUAUUCGAACCAAAGAGAACAUAGCUGUUAGUACCCUCUUGAUCAGCGCAACGCCAAAACCACUGGGGGCUAUAUGGUCGUAUUCGAACCUUAGCUCAACCCCUUUGGUCUGGUUUACUGGUCGUAUUCGAAUCAGAAACCCCCAACCUUUCGAAUACAAGAUUAAAAUUAUGCUUGUUAUUUAUUGCUUGCCUUUUAGUUUGUUGUUGUUUCAAUAGUACAAAUAAAUUAGCCUGGUCUUCUUCACCGGCUCAAUUAUUGGACAACACAGCUGCCCGGGUCAUUCAAUCCAGCGGUUCAAGGAUCAAAAGGUAUGAGCUACCAAGGUAUAAUGAUCAUUAAGUAUUAAAGAAGCAUUAGCUUUUCAUAAAUAUUGAGUUAUCAACUUCAAUCACCCGACUUAUUUAAACCGGCGAUCUAAGGAUCAAAAGGGAUCAGGUAUGGUCAUUACUUAUACACGCUUACCUGCUGCGUUAACUAAAAAAGUUCAAAUUUAUAUUUGUCUCUGUUUUUAUCGAGGUAAAUAUAUUGGCUCUUCAUUAGGUGUUUAAACCCGUUUGGUUCUAAACCACCAUGCCAGUCUUUUCUUUGUAUUUACAGGAACAGGGUUCAAACAUUGCAGAGAUAAGCAUUAAGCGAUGCAUAAGCAAGCAUUAAACAUUGGCAUCUGAAACACAGAUGCACAUAUAAGUAUUUUAUGCGCGAUGGCACAAGCAAACAUGCGGUGUUUUAACAGCUAAGCUAUUACAAGGCUUUAUAAGCCCAUGAAGAUGAUCAUUGUCCCUCCCUCGCCGGUUCACCAUCUUGAGUCUGCUGGAAGUUGGGUUUUGACCAAUCAAAGCCGUUCAUGGCGACAAAUUCAGCUUCGUCGUCAAUCAGGCCAACCGGGUCAACCUCAGGGGCAAAUGUAUCUUCUCUCACUGGUGGGAUCAAGUCUGUUACUUUAUGUAACACCCUUGAUGCGACUAUAGCUCCCACGUGUCGAGGCACGACUUAGAGACACAAUCACAUUGAAGGCAUAUGUUGCAAGUUAGGAAAUCUUCACAACAUCCCAAGUAAUAAUAAUAAAAGGGGAGAUAACAUAGUUGGCUUACACUCGCCACGUCAAUCAAGUACAUAAAUAACAUUACAUCAUCCAAACACUCAUGGCCGACUACGGCGCCAAAAUAAAAGAGAACCCAACAUGCGACACGGCCCCAAUCACCCCCAACUGGGCACCACUACUGACCAUCAGGAAAGGAAACAUAGUAACAUUGAGAGUCUUCGUCGAACUCCCACUUGAGCUCGUACACGUCUCCUGGAGCGGAAUCAUCAGGCCCUGCAUCUGGUGUAAUAGUAAUCUGUGAGCCACGGGGACUUAGCAAUCUCGCACCCUCGCGAUCAAGACUAUUUAAGCUUAUAGGUAUGGCAAGAUAAAUAUAAGUGGAGCUGCAGCAAGCGACUAGCAAGUAUGGUGGCUAACUUAUUCGCAAAAGAGAGCGAGAAGAGGAGGCAAAGCGCGAGCGAGAAACUAGAGAGCAACCUGCACAAACAUUACUCCAACACCGUGUCCACUUCCCGGACUCCGCCGAGAAGAGGCCAUCACGGUAACACACUCAGUUGAUUCAUUUUAAUUAAAUUAAGGUUCAAGUUAUCUACAACCGGACAUUAACAAAUUCCCAUCUGCCCAUAACCCCGGGCACGGCUUUCGAAAGUUCAAUCCCAGCAGGGGAGUCCCAACUUAGCCCAUGACAAGCUCUCACGGUCAACGAAGGAAUAGACCUCCUCCCAAGACGUUCCGAUCAGACUCGGUAUCUCGGUAAUUCAAGACACUUCGACAAGUUAAAACAAGGCCAGCAACACCGCCCGAAUGUGCCGACAAAUCCCGAUAGGAGCUGCACAUAUCUCGUUCUCAGGGCACACUCAGAUAGGUCAAGCUACGAGUAAAACCAACCCUCAAGUUUCCCCGAGGUGGUCCCGCAGGCUACCCGGUUCGGACCAACACUCAGAGGGAGCACUGGCCCAGGGGGGGGGGGUUAAAAUAAGAUGACCCUUGGGCUCCGGUAACCCAAGGGAAAAAGAGGCUAGGUGGCGAAUGGUAAAACCAAGGUUGGGCAUUGCUGGAAAAGCUUUAAUCAAGGUGAACUAUCAAGGGGUUCCCAUUAUAACCCAACCGCGUAAGGAACGCAAAAUCCGGGAACAUAACACCGAUAUGACGGAAACUAGGGCGGCAAGAGUGGAACAAAACACUAGGCGAGAGGCCGAGCCUUCCACCCUUUACCAAGUAUAUAGAUGCAUUAAGAUAACACGGCAAUAUAAUGAUAUCCCAACAAGUAAAUAAGAGAUGUUCCAACAAGGAACGACCUCCAAUCUUCACCUGCAACUAGCAACGCUAUAAGAGGGGCUGAGCAAAGCGGUAACAUAGCCAAUCAACGGUUUGCUAGGACAUGGUGGGUUAGAGGUUUGACAUGGCAAUUUGGGAGGCUUGCAAGCAAGUGGUAGGCAUCGUAGCAAUGGCAUAGAAAAGGAGCGAGCAAACUAGCAUAGCAAAGAUAGUAGUGAUUUCGAGGGUAUGAUCAUCUUGCCUGCACAGUUGUCAGAGUUGACUGGAUCCUCAAAAGCAAACUCAACGGGCUCCUCAUUAGCGAACUCGUCUCCCGGCUCUACCCAAACAAGACAAACAAGCAACAAGGAUACAAUCAACCAGGUGCAAACUCAAACAACAAGAUGCAAAGAUGAUAUGCUAUGCGGGAUGCGAUGCGGGAUGCAAAAUGCAAGAUAUGACAGGAAAUGCAUGAACCUGGCCUCAACUUAGAAUUCCAAGGGUGCCACUGGAAAGAUGAGAUGAAAUCGCUCUAAAACGAUAUAAAGAACGCCGGAAUCGGAGUUACGGUUUGGAAAUGGCAAGCGUUUCAAAAAUGACACCGGUCUGCGAUUUACAGCAAGUAGGCAUCUAAAUGCAAUGAGAUGAACAUGCUACAGCCACCAAACAUGGCAUCAAAAUACAUGGCAGGGAUGCCCACAAGAUUCUUAACAAAAGUCUAGCACUGAGCUACGGCCAAAUCAUCCAUUAACAGGUUCAAACAAGCAUGGCAAAAACGCAAAUGACAAACAAAUCUCAGACUUAGUGAAAUUAACACUUGUCUGGAAUUUCAGAUCAUAUAGCCCUCUUCGGAGCAACAAAACAACAUGCUACAGGACCUGAACAUGAUAAAGAAAGACAUGGCAAGGAGCUACUCAACAAGCUUAACAAAAGGCCCUUAGUGACCUUGAGCCAAAAGGGAUCACAAAAUAUACUAACAAGCACACGAACAUAGCAAAAACAUAAUCAGUUUUCAGACUUGGUGAAAACUGGGACAUGCUGAAACAUAACUCACGGAGGCAUGUUUACGAGCUGGAUGCACUCACUACGGUGCAAGUCAUGGCAAGACAAGCAUACAUCCCUUAAGAAGGCACAAAAUGCAAGCUAGACAUGGCAAGAACAAUGGCAUAGCAUGCACGGAACAACUACAAUAACAUCGGCAAAAUCGCAAACAAGUUGACGAUCUGCCCAGAUUCACAACGAAGCAAAAGUAGAGCUCGAUUGACUCAAGCUAGGGUGCUCCAUAAUUGCAAACAAAGACAUGGAUGGAUAGAGCACUACAAUAUUAACAAAACUCCCUUACUGAUCAUCCUCAAAAGAGGCACGGAUCACUAGGAAACAACAAGAACAUAUGGUAUCAUGAGAUGAACAAUCCCAGGACUUAGUGAAAUCACAAAGUCCCUGAAAACAGAAUUAGCAAGUGCACCACUUUGCAAGCUUGCACAAGUCACCACACACAUCCUAAAAAUACAUGGGUUGCACCUCUGGAUAAUGAAAAAACCCUUAACAAAACAUAUGAAGAACUCACGGGCAUAGCAUGCACACAAUAAUCAUGGCAAAAAUGACAAAAGUGCUAAACGGAGUAACAGAUCUGACAAUUAACUCAAGUAGCCCUCUUCUAACAGCAUUUCGGGCAUCAAGAUGAGCUCAAAUGAAAAUGAUGCAAUGGAAUGAAAUGAUGUACUCUCUGAGAUGAACAUUUUGAUAUGCUAUACGCCCAAAUCGGAGCUACGGAUGCAAAGUUACGGAGCCUCGAACUGGAGCACUUGAACUAAAAAUUCCGGGGACUUGGGAAAAAAUCAACCUCCGGAUCUGGAUCUAGGGUUUGCACGGAAACCGAGGCGCGGCGCGGCACUGUAGCUGUUCGAGGACCGUCGGAAGAAAAAGAGCCGCGGCGGCCGGAGCUCUCGCCGGAGAGGCCGCCGGCGACGAGGAGGCGGGGCGGCGGAGCUUCACGGAGGCGGGGCGCGGGGCAGCCCGGUGACGAGCUUGGCGGCGGGGGCGGCNNNNNNNNNNNNNNNNNNNNNNNNNNNNNNNNNNNNNNNNNNNNNNNNNNNNNNNNNNNNNNNNNNNNNNNNNNNNNNNNNNNNNNNNNNNNNNNNNNNNNNNNNNNNNNNNNNNNNNNNNNNNNNNNNNNNNNNNNNNNNNNNNNNNNNNNNNNNNNNNNNNNNNNNNNNNNNNNNNNNNNNNNNNNNNNNNNNNNNNNNNNNNNNNNNNNNNNNNNNNNNNNNNNNNNNNNNNNNNNNNNNNNNNNNNNNNNNNNNNNNNNNNNNNNNNNNNNNNNNNNNNNNNNNNNNNNNNNNNNNNNNNNNNNNNNNNNNNNNNNNNNNNNNNNNNNNNNNNNNNNNNNNNNNNNNNNNNNNNNNNNNNNNNNNNNNNNNNNNNNNNNNNNNNNNNNNNNNNNNGAAGGCGCGAGGGCGCGGGCGGCGCGGGCCGGGGAGGGUCGGCCGCAGGCCGCGUCGGGCUGGCGGUGGAGGCCGCGGGCGCAGCCAACGGGGCGGCGCCACGUGGCGGCGGCGGGCGGUGGCGGACACGUCCGGCCCGAAUCGGAUGUGUCCGUCGGCAGGAGGAGCAGUUUUAGGGUUUCGGGGAGGACGAAGAUCCGAAAACGGAGGGGUGUAUGUAUAGGCCUAGAGGGAGCUAGGAGAGUCCAAAUGAGGUCCGGUUUUCGGCCACGCGAUCGUGAUCAAACGCUCUAGGACAUGGAGCAGAGUUUGGUGGUUUUUGGGCCAAAUUGGAGGGAUGUUGGGCUGCAACACACACGAGGCCUUUUCGGUCCCUCGGUUAACCGUUGGAGUAUCAAACGAAGUCCAAAUGGUACGAAACUUGACAGGCGGUCUACGGUAGUAAACCAAGGCCGCUUGGCAAGUCUCGGUCCAAUCCGGAAAUGUUUAAUCCCCACACACGAAAGAAAGCUAGAAAUGACCACCGGAGGAGAACGAAGCGCCGGAACGCAAAACGGACAACGGGAAAAUGCUCGAAUGCAUGAGACGAACACGUAUGCAAAUGCAAUGCACAUGAUGACAUGAUAUGAGAUGCAUGACAAAGACAACAACACACGGAGACAAAACCGGAACCCGAGGAAAUAAAUAUAACUUAACGCCGGAAACGGCAAGAGUUGGAGUACAAAUAGGGAAAGUUACAUCCGGGGUGUUACACUUUAUAUGAGGGAGGGGCCAUCUUCUUAUUAUCACUAUCAAAACCCGGCUGGUACUUGUCCACAUUGGUGUCAUCUCCAAGACUAGUUGCUUGAGGCCGAACUUCGCGGACGCAGGCUAAGAAGUCAUCCUGAUCAAAAGGAGACCCGUCCUCCUUCACGGUAGGAUAGCCCCUUGCCACGUCCGUCGGGUCUAGGUCUGGCACCCAAGGCUUGGAGCGGCUUAGGGCAGUCAAAGCUCCGGCUCGCGCGCAGGAGCGUUUUACUUCUUGGAACCUGGCAGGAAGGAUGGAUAACUUCUUCAGGACGUCACUGAGCCGGUUAGGUCCUUGAUUAGCAGGAGAGAUGGCAGCCAGAGCCCGUUGUGCACCGAUAUACAAUUGUUCAACUAAAGUGUAUACUGCCUUCAGCUUAAUCAACGGGUCUUGGCUCAGAUUCUUACUUCGCGGACCUGCAUAUAUUUUUAACAGAGUCAGUUGGCGGAUUAUACUCCGGUUUGGCAAAAAAUAUAUGAAAGGUCAAAUCAGGCAGCUUACCAAAGAUAGCAGCGACCAUCUGAGACACCCUGCCCUUUAAACUGUUCAGCUCUGUUGAAAUUUCUUUCAGAGCUGUUUCGGCUGUCUCAGCUCGUCGGGUCAGAAGUGUUUUCUCAUUUUCCCAAGUCUUCUCCUUGGCAGCAAAGCUGGUCUUCAAAUUUUCCGUUGCAGAAAGGCUUAUUUGCAGUUUGGAGGUGGAAGAUUUGAUUUCUGACUCCUGACUCGCUAGCCGGGUCUUUGCGUUAGUCAAUUGAGAGUUCAAUUCAGACAAGGCAUUGUGUGAAACGUUCCGAUAAGUCAAGACUUGGUUUCAAAUUCAAAUAUCCAAAUUCAAGAUUCAAGUCUCAAGUACUUUACGAAUAAACCACUUGACACUUGGGGGCUAAUGUAUGCCAAAUCAAAUUUUUAUGACUCUACAAACAUAUUUAAAGUCCCAAGUCCCUUACAAAGUAACAUCACUUGGCACUUGGGGGCUAAUGUACGCAGUUCAGCAAGUUUAUCAAGGUUAAACUAGAGUGUUAAGUACUUUGAAGACGGUUUUAAAUUCUAAAGUACCAAUUCAUUAAUGAUCAAAAUAAACCGGUCCUUGGGGACUAUAGGUGAAGUUUUGUUCUAUCAAUAUCAGGCAAAGAUUCAGAGGUAAAAAUCUCGGCCUAUAUUUUAAGUCUACAGGUUAUUCCGUUUCUCUUAUAAUCUGAAGACUUGGGGGCUAAAGGAAUAUUAGUAAACCAGAAACAACGUACCUCAUACUUCAACUGAAGCUGCUUGACCAUCUCGAUCUCAGACUCAUGACUGGAGUGUACAUGACUGAGAUAGCCGGAUAAGAUAUCACUAGCAUUGAGACAGUCAUAGUUGGCAACAUCAAAGCGAACCUUCUGCCUCUCCAAUGCUUCUUGCUUUGCUGUGCACCGAGCCAGCACUGUUGGGUUCCCUGGCUCAACAAAGCGACUCCCAGUAAUUUGAACAUCUUGAGCAGGUGGAGACGGCGGGUUGGUUGAGCUUGACGGUCCAGCUGUAGAAGGAUUCAUAAUGGCUUCGUCAAAAGUCGGCUCAGGAGGGUUUGCCUCAUUAUCAAUAGGCGGGUGUUCUGGAGCGUUAGCCAAUGGAGAAGGCGGCCUAGCCGGUUCAGAUGCUAGCACUGGCGGGUCUUCCACUGGUUUAGCCGCCUUCGUCUUCUUGGAUUUAGCCUGACCACUAAGGAAAAAUAUUGCAAGAUUGUCAGCAUAAAGAUACAAUUGAGCAACCCGGAAGAAAGGAGGAUUUCUGAUUACCCAGGAGCAUUCUUGAAAGCCGGAAAUUGUGUUUGUGAUGAGUCUCCUGAAGAACGAGACACCUCUUGAAAGGAUAAAAUAAAAGAGUUAAAAGAAAUACAAGGAGCAGGAUUCAUUAAAACGAGUUAAAGACAGUAAUAAGUAAACCUCGUUCGGGCGUUUCCGAGGGGUCUGUUGAAGGACGACAGCCGGUUCAUCUUCAGUCCCAACUUCAUGUCGGCUUUCAUGUUGCUGCUUUUUCAAAUGAAAGUUGGGAUCCAAGUGAGCUAAGGGGUUAGAAAACCUUAUUUAUGGACCACUCGUCGAACUUUGUGUCUUGGUAAGGGAUCUGAGUCGGAGGAAAUGAUAGUUACGUCUGCUUCCCGGCCUGACUGGCCCCAGUGUCAUCCUGGUAAGGAUCAGUGUCAAUAAGAUUGUUAAAAAAUUGGCCAAGGGAAUCAAGGGCUACCUCCGAGUCAGACGUGUCAUCAAGUUUCAUUAAAUCUUCAGCAGUGGUUUUCUUUUUCUUCUUCGAUCUCCGGGUCGAUUUCUUGGCGUUCAUGGCGGCGAGUUUCGCCUUCUUGGCAGCUUCGUGAUCAUAUUUCACUUUCCAAAAGUCAGAGUUGGCCUACAAAGACAAGAGGAAGGAUCAGUGAUAAACAAUACGGCUGGACAAAAUACAAAGGAAAAAAGAUCAGAAUAUCCUUACUUCUGGUACCGGAUUAAGUUUACAGAAGGGAUUUAACCCAACAACACUGCAAUCUUCAUACUUCACAUUCACCAGAAGGUUUGACAUUGAGACAAUGUCCUCCUCGGUUAGUUGAACCGGGGUAUGACGAAGAGAGUCGUCCGGGUCUCCACCAUAUUCAUACAUCAAUUUUGAACGAUGGCUUAAUGGAAUAAUCUGCCAUGAGAUCCAGCAGCGGGUUAGAUCAACUCUGGUUAAACCGUUCCCCAACAAACCAUUGAUUCUUCUAAUAGAUGGAAGCAGCUUCUUGCGUUCAGCAAUGGUAAGUUUAUCUGGCAGUGCGAACUUGGAGUCAAGACGAUCGGGGCGGUAACCCGGCAGUGGCUUCUCAUUGGCGGGUGAGAUGUCCUGACAGUAAAACCAAGUUUGGUUCCAGUCCUUUGGGUGACUUGGUAAAACUAUGAGAGGGAAGACAACACCCUGCCGACGCUGAAUUGAGAUGCCUCCAAGCUCUAAGCUAAGGCCGUUGGUGCACUCGUUCUGCCGGUUCAGAUAGAAAUAUUCUCUAAAUAGCUCCACACUCGGCUCUUGCUAAAGAUAUACCUCACAUAGCACUUGGAAGUUACAAAUAUUGGAUAUGGAAUUGGGCCCAAUAUCCUGAGGAUGGAGUUUGAAAAAGUGAAGAACUUCUCUGAAGAACUUUGAACCGGGCGGUGAGAAGCCACGGUUCAUGUGGUUAGUAAAGACGAUCACUUCGCCGUCUUUCGGAUUGGGUCACUCUUAUUCCGGGCCAGGAGCACGAUAAGACAUGAUGCUUUUUGAGGGCAGAAACCCAAUGAGGAAGAACUCUUUUAAACCAUCCUCGGUUAUGGUUGAGGGGGCCCAAUUACAGAUGAUGGGUGUCUUUGACGGUAUGAUGUGCAAGGAACUGAAAAAGAAAUAACAACAUGCCGAUUCAGUUUACGGUCAGGAUAACAGUUAAAGGCCGAAGAUGUAAAACAAGUAAUGGCGGCUUAACUAAGGGCUAAUGACAUAUAAGGAAAAGAAAGCCGGAGCAGUAAGCCACCAUGACUACAAUUGUUUUCAGAAAGCAGAUUCAGCUAAGUGUUGGCAUAAACAAGUUUUACCAACCUGUCAUUAUUAUUUUGGAUCAAAUGGCCGUUCUGAAAAGAAAAAUAUUCUAGACCUAAAAAUCUAGUACAAAUGAGUUCGUCAGCUAUAACGAAGCAUCUAUACAGGAAAAAGGGAUCUUCUGCUAUAAAAAAUGGACGCAAAACAACUACCGCACGAGUUAUAUCUCCUCUUUGGAUCAAGAGAGGCCGCGGAGGAAGAACUACUAAGAAGGUUCAUGAAGAACGGUGAAGAACACCGAUGAACUCGCAACCCCUAAUGGAGAUCUAAAAAGUUUGAGAAGAUAAGACUUACGGAUGCAGAUUCGCUGUGGAGGGUCGUCGCCGUUUAUCUGGACAGUUCAGGGUGAUGCAGCGGCUAGGCUUGAGGACGACGAUGAGCGUUGCAGUGGCGGCGGAUCUCGAGCAUUAGCGGAGAUGGCGAGAGGAAGAAGAUGAAGAAGAGGGGAGAAUGAGAAAAACCGGCCGCAUGCCUAUUUAUAAGGGCAGAUGCGAACAGACGGGCGCAAAAAUCAAGGGAGAACCAAAUAAUGAUUAUCCAGCUAUAUAGAUGCCUCGAUUCUCGGGAAGCAUUAAAGAUAAAAGAUCCGUUGGAAGAUGACGUCAUUAAAGUUUUUUGUGUUUUCAAAAGAUGACGUCAUGGUGGGUUACAGAGUUUUUCAGACAGAAGAUGGAUUUCAUCGAAGUAUUGAAGAUUGACCAAGAACAAAGUUCAAAGUCAACCUGGGGCCUAAUGUUGGGGAUAUUACUACCAGUAUGACCCGCCCAGGAGGGGCCGGGUCAACCGUAAUGGCGGGUUACAUAAGAAGCCCAAUAUACAUUCAAGAUGAUAGUUUAUUAAAACAUAUAGAAGGCCCAAAGGCCUGGGGCCGGCUUAAGGCCCGAUAUUGUAAACUGCCGUAUGUAAGGAAACACUUGUAAAGAAAGGCAUGCAAAGGAAGUCACCGAGCCAGACACGGUUAUGAGCCGGCCGAGACUCUGUAGGCCACCAGGCGUCAACCCAUGUAUAUAAGGGGACGACCCGAUAGCGGCUUAGGGAAAGAAACAACCAAAUCGAUAACCAAGCCGGCGAGUUGAGCCCCUUGGAGAUGGAAACUUCAGCAAUACCAAUCCCAACUAGAUGUAGGCUUUUACCUUCAUCGUAAGGGGCCGAACUAGUAUAAAAACUCUCUCGUGUGUCCCUUGUCCCGAUUAACCCCUUUAAGCUUCCUAGUGCGAUGGCCCUACGACUAAGUCCUUGCUCCAGGACAUCUGCCGUGUCAACUCCACGACACAUUCCGUUAGCUUAGAACUUGAUCAUUUAGUUAGUUCCUAUUGCUUUCUUCAUGACUUAUACAUGUUCCUAUGACUAUGAGAUUGUGUAACUCCCGUUUACCGGAGGAACACUUUGUGUGCUACCAAACGUCACAACGUAACUGGGUGAUUAUAAAGGUGUUCUACAGGUGUCUCCGAAGGUACUUGUUGGUUUGGCGUAUGAUAACCCACAAGUAUAGGGGAUCGCAACAGCUUUCGAGGGUAGAGUAUUCAACCCAAAUUUAUUGAUUCGACACAAGGGGAGCCAAAGAAUAUUCUCAAGUAUUAGCAGCUGAGUUGUCAAUUCAACCACACCUGGAAACUUAGUGUCUACAGAAAAGUGUUUAGUAGCAAAGUAAUAUGAUAGUGGUGGUAGCGGCAACAAAAGUAAAGACAGCAAAAGUAAUGUUUUUGGUAUUUUGUAGUGAUUGUAAUAGUAGCAGCGGGAAAGUAAAUAAGCGAGAACCAGUAUAUGGAAAACUCGUAGGCACCGGAUCAGUGAUGGAUAAUUAUGCCGGAUGCGGUUCAUCAUGUAACAGUCAUAACAUAGGGUGACACAGAACUAGCUCCAAUUCAUCAAUGUAAUGUAGGCAUGUAUUUCGUAUAUAGUCAUACGUGCUUAUGGAAAAGAACUUGCAUGACAUCUUUUGUCCUACCCUCCCGUGGCAGCGGGGUCCUAUUGGAAACUAAGGGAUAUUAAGGCCUCCUUUUAAUAGAGAACCGGAACAAAGCAUUAGCACAUAGUGAAUACAUGAACUCCUCAAACUAUGGUCAUCACUGGGAGUGGUCCCGAUUAUUGUCACUUCUGGGUUGCCGGAUCAUAACACAUAGUAGGUGACUAUAGACUUGCAAGAUAGGAUCAAGAACUCACAUAUAUUCAUGAAAACAUAAUAGGUUCAGAUCUGAAAUCAUGGCACUCGGGCCCUAGUGUCAAGCAUUAAGCAUAGCAAAGUCAUAGCAACAUCAAUCUCAGAACAUAAUGGAUACUAGGGAUCAAACCCUAACAAAACAAACUCGAUUACAUGAUAAAUCUCAUCCAACCCAUCACCGUCCAGCAAGCCUACGAUGCAAUUACUCAUGCACAUCGAUGAGUAUCAUGAAGUUGGUGAUGGAGGAUGGUUGAUGAUCACGACGGCGACGAAUCCCCCUCUCUGGAGCCCCGAACGGACUCCAGAUCAGCCCUCCCGAGAGGUUUUAGGGCUUGGCGGCGGCUCCGUAUCGUAAAAUGCAAUGAUUUCUUCUCUCUGAUUUUUUUCUCUCCGAAAGCAAAUAUAUAGAGUUGGAGUUGGCGUUGGAGGGUUUCCAGGGGGCCCACGAGGUAGGGGGGCGCGCCCUAGGGGGGGCGCCCCCACCCUCGUGAGAAGGUGUGGGCCCCCUGGUCUUCAUCUUUGGCGAGGAUUUUUUAUUGUUUUUUUUAAGAUGUUCCGUGGAGUUUCAGGUCAUUCCGAGAAUAUUUGUUUUCUGCACAUAAAACAACACCAUAGCAAUUCUGCUGAAAACAGCGUCAGUCCGGGUUAGUUCCAUUCAAAUCAUACAAGUUAGAGUCCAAAACAAGGGCAAAAGUGUUUGGAAAAGUAGCUAUGACGGAGACGUAUCAGCGUAUUUCGAGAUUGGGAUUUGUCACUCCGAUUGUCGGAGAGGUAUCUCUGGGCCCACUUGGUAAUACACAUCACUUAAGCCUUGCAAGCAUUGCAACUAAUGAGUUAGUUGUGGGAUGAUGUGUAACGAAACGAGUAAAAAGACUUGCCGGUAACGAGAUUGAACUAGGUAUUGAGAUACCGAUGAUCGAAUCUCGGGCAAGUAACAUACCGAUGACAAAAGGAACAACGUAUGUUGUUAUGCGGUUUGACCGAUAAAGAUCUUCGUAGAAUAUGCAGGAGCCAAUAUGAGCAUCCAGGUUCCGCUAUUGGUUAUUGACCGGAGACAUGUCUCGGUCAUGUCUACAUAGUUCUCGAACCCGUAGGGUCCGCACGCUAUUGGCGAGGAUUUUUUAUUGUUUUUUCUAAGAUGUUCCGUGGAGUUUCAGGUCAUUCCGAGAAAAUUUGUUUUCUGCACAUAAAACAACACCAUAGCAAUUCUGCUGAAAACAGCAUCAGUCCAUGUUAGUUCCAUUCAAAUCAUACAAGUUAGAGUCCAAAACAAGGGCAAAAGUGUUUGGAAAAGUAGAUACGACGGAGACGUAUCAACUCCCCUAAGCUUAAACCCUUGCUUGUCCUCAAGCAAUUCAGUUGACAAACUGAAAGAAAGAAAAACUUUUACAAACUCUGUUUGCUCUUGUUGUUGUAACUAUGUCAAGCCAGCAUUCAAGUUUUCAGCAUAGAUCAUAACUAACCACAUUAGAAAUAAUUCUCAGGUCUCACAAUUACUCAUAUCAAUAGCAUAAUCAACUAGCAAGUCAUAAUAAUAAAUCUCGGAUGACAACACUUUCUCAAAACAAUCAUAAUAUGAUAUAACAAGAUGGUAUCUCACUAGCCCUUUCUGAGACCGCAAAACAUAAAUGCAGAGCACUUUUAAAGAUCAAGGACUGACUAGACAUUGUAAUUCAUGGUAAAAGAGUUCCAAUCAUAGUCAUACCCAAUAUAAAUUAACAGUGAUGAAUGCAAAUGACGGUCGUGCUCUCCAGCUAGUGCUUUUUAAUAAGAGGGUGAUGACUCAACAUAAAAGUAAAUGGAUAGGCCCUUCGCAGAGGGAAGCAGGGAUUUGUAGAGGUGCCAGAGCUCGGUUUUGAAAUAGAGAUAAAUUGUAUUUUGAGAGGUAUACUUUCAUUGCCAACGUAACAACUAAGAGAUGGCGAUAUCUUCCAUGCUAAACACAUUAUAGGCGGUUCCCAAAAACAAUGGUAAAGUUUAUACUCCCCCUCCACCAACAAGCAUCAAUCCAUGGCUUGCUCAAAACAACGAGUGCCUCCAACAUACAUCAGGUCCUAGGGGGAGUUCUGUUUGCAAUUAAUUAUGAUUUAGUUUGCAUAAAGCAUGGGACUGGGCAUCCCGGUGACCAGCCAUUUUCUCGUGAGUGAGGAGCGGAGUCCACUCCUCUUGAGAAGAACCCGCCUAACACGGAAGAUAAGGACAUCUUUUGUUGAUACAUGAGCUAUUCGAGCAUACAAAACAGAAUGUUUAUUUGAAGGUUUAGAGUUUGGCACAUACAAAUUUACUUGGAACGGCAGGUAGAUACCGCAUAUAGGAAGGUAUGGUGGACUCAUCUGGAAUAACUUUGGGGUUUAAGGGAUUGGAUGCACAAGAAGUAUUCCCGCUUAGUAACAGUGAAGGCUAGCAAAAGAUUGGGAAGCGAUCAACUAGAGAGCGACAACAACCAUGUACAUGCAUUAAAAUUAAUAAACAUUGGAUGCAAGCAUGAGUAGGAUAUAAUCCACCAUGAACAUAAAUAUCGUGAAGGCUAUGUUGAUUUUUUUCAACUACAUGCGUGAACAUGUGCCAAGUCAAGUCACUUAAACCAUUCAAACGAGGAUACCACCCCAUCAUACCACAUCAUAAUCAUCUCAAUAGCAUGUUGGCAUACAAGGUAAAUCAUUAUAACUCAUAGCUAAUCAAGCAUGGCACAAUCAACCAUGAUCUCUAAUUGUCAUUGCAAACAUGUUUAUUCAUAAUAAGUUGAAUCAAAAACGAGGGACUCAUCAUAUUUACAAAAACAAAAGAGGUCGAGUUCAUACCAGCUUUUCUCGUCUCAGUUAGUCCAUCAUAUAUCAUCAUAAUUGCCUUUCACUCGCACGACCGAACGGUGUGAAUAAUAAUAAGAGUGUACGUGCAUUGGACUAAGCUGGAAUCUGCGAGCAUUCAAUAAACAGGAGAAGACAAGGCAAUAUGGGCUCUUGGUUAAAUCAACAAUAAUGCAUAUAAGAGCCACUUCAACAAUUUAAUUAUGGUCUUCUCCUACCGACCCCCAAAGAAAAGAAAAGAAAUAAACUAUUUACACGGGAAAGCUCCCAACAAGCAAAAGAAGAACGGGAAAUAUUUUUGGGUUUUCUUUUUAAUUAUUACUACUACAGCAGAAAAAUAAACUACUACGAUUUUUUUCUUAAGGUUUAACAAACACACAAGAAGAAAACAGGAAAAAGAAAAUAAACUAGCAUGGAUAUUACAGUGAAAAAGUAUGAGUACCGACAUCUACCAAUGAGUGUGUGUGAACAUAAAUGUAAUGUCGGUGAGAAAUACGUACUCCCCCAAGCUUAGGCUUUUGGCUUAAGUUGGUCUAUGGCCACGGCUGGCCUGGCGGAUAUCCAUAAUAAUAGUUGUUGGGGUCGUACUAUGAUGAGGAGGAAUAGUUGGGAUCAUACUGUGUUGAAGAAGAAGACUCUGAUUGCCACUGGCUGACAGUCAUCUCUGGAUCCCAAGAAUAAACAGAUUGUCGUGGAGGCUCAUCUUGUGGCUCCUGUCCCGUGGCUGGUGCAGGAUUCUUGUAAGCUUGGACGGCAGCCCAUGUGACGAGGUAGGGUCCUACAAAAUUAAACAAAGAAGGAGCAGGCAGGGUAAUAGUCUCAGGAUGAUGUUUGUUAAAGAACAAUUGAUAUUUAAGCUCUCCUGCCCUAUUCUUAACAAUAAAAUCAUGUGCCACCAUACUUUUAUGAUCUAGAUAAACACGGGGCAGCACCUUUUCUUCCUUCUCAGCAUGCCUAAUAGGUAUGUUAAAAUGUGCAGCUAGGCGUGUGGCAUAGACGCCUCCAAAGAUGGGACCCUUAGUACGGUUCAUACUUGACCGUCUAGCAAUAAUACCGCCCAUACUAAAAGUGUUAUUACUGUAUAAACCAUGGUGCAAAAUAAUUAUAUCAGGGAUACUCAGGUUUCCACUGUUUCCGUGUCCAAUUAAACAACGACGAGCAAAUAAUGCAAAGUAGCAUAAUACAGGAAAAUGUAUGCUAGUGAUUCAUGCAUCGGAAACCUUUCUAGUUUCUCCUACAGUGAUAGUAUCAAUAAACCCAGUCACAUCAUCAUGAUGUGGCUCUUCUGUCUUGCCCUCAAAAGGGAUUAGAAAAAUCCGACAGAAAUCAUAAAGUGACAUCUCCUAAUGCUCAUCAUAUAAAUGAAACUCCACCGUAGGUGGUGAGUUCCUAGAAUGAAAAUGAAAGUUUUGCACGAAAGUAUUUGUGAGCAAGAGAUACUGAUCGCAUUGGUCGUGGAGGAAAGCGGUGAGGCCUGCAUUGUGAGCCAAUUCGUGAAAAUCUUCAUAGAUACCGGCUGCUCUCAAGAAAUCUUCAGAAGGUCAUUCACACGCCUGAAUCUCCGCGGUGCGCGGCAAAUUAUACUUAGGCUUCGGUACCUUUUCCUUCGAGCUUUGGCUCGACGAGCCCCUCAAAAAUCUCCUCAUUAUUUUUCUGAAACAAUCUGAAAUUUUUAGUAACUUCAAACAAAAAUGAACCAACAUCAAUAAUAUUGAUAGCAACUACUCCUACAAGUGCCUAGAGCCUAUAUCAAGCAUUAGAACUACUUGGAACCAUAUAAAUUUGACAUGCAAGCUCAAGAACAUGGUCACCUACGCAUCACAAAUCUGCAAAGAAUAAAGCACUAGAACAAAAACUAAUUGGACCAAUGGAGGAGUCACUUACCAAGGAACAAUCUCCCCAAGUGGUUUUGCGAGAGGUGCUUUGAGCAAGGAGAUCGAAAAUCGCAGCAAAAGUGGCUGGAACUCGUGUUUGAGUUGGUUUUUCGGGUUUGUGUGAGAUAGAGGAAGAAGAUGGGUGCUGGCAUAAGUGGAGGAGGGCCACCAUGGGCCCACGAGGCAGGGGCGCGCCCUAGGGGGGCGCCCACCACCCUCAUGGCCAGGUGGCAGCUCCUCCCGCGGUAAUUUUUGCACAGUAAAUCCUCAAAUAUUCCUGAAAAAUCAUAUUAAAUUGGCAUGGCAUUCUGAGGACUUUUAUUUUCGGGAUAUUUUUAUAUUGCAUGGAUAAGUCAGGAAACAGACAAAAAAAAUACUAUUUUUACUUUAUUUAAUAUAAAUAACAGAAAGUAAAAGUGGGGUAUAGAAGUUUGUGCUUCUAGUUUCAUCCAUCUCAUGCUCAUCAAUAAUAAUCCACUAACAAGGUUGAUCAAGUCUUGUUAACAACUCAUUCCGAUAAUCAUGAAACCGGAGAAAUUUCGAAUAACACUAAGUUACCUCAACGGGGAUAUGCACAUCCCCAAUAAUAAGAAUAUCAUAUUUCUUCUUGACAGUAGGGAGAGGAAAUUCAAAACCUCCAAAUAUAAUCGAUGGAAUUUUCCCAAUAGAAUUGAUACUAUGAACUUGAGGUUGUUUCCUCGGAAAGUGUACCGUAUGCUCAUUACCAUUAACAAGAAAAGUGACAUUGCCUUUGUUGCAAUCAAUAACAGCCCCUACAGUAUUAAGAAAAGGUCUUCCAAGAAUAAUAGACAUACUAUCAUCCUUGGGAAUAUCAAGUAUAACAAAGUCCGUUAAAAUAGUAACGUUUGCAACCACAACAGGCACAUCCUCACAAAUACCGACAGGUAUAGUAGUUGAUUUAUCAGCCAUUUGCAAAGAUAUUUCAGUAGGUGUCAGCUUAUUCAAGUCAAGCCUACGAUAUAAAGAGAGAGGCAUAACACUAACACUAGCUCCAAGAUCACAUAAAGCAUUUUUAAUAUAAUUUCUUUUAAUGGAGCUAGGUAUAGUAGGUAUUCCGGGAUCUCCAAGUUUCUUUGGUAUUCCACCCUUAAAAGUAUAAUUAGCAAGCAUGGUGGAAAUUUCAGCUUCCAGUAUCUUUCUUUUUUUAGUAAUGAUAUCCUUCAUAUAUUUAGCAUAAGGAUUUGGAGAGAGCACAUCAGUUAAUCUCAUACGCAAAAAGUUAGGCCUAAUCAUUUCAGCAAAGCGCUCAAAAUCCUCAUCAUCCUUUUUCUUGGAUGGUUUUGGAGGAAAAGACAUGGGUUUCUGAACCCAAGGUUCCCUUUCUUUACCAUGUUUCCUAGCAACAAAGUCUCUUUUAUCAUAACGUUGAUUCUUCGAUUGUGGGUUAUCAAGAUCAACAGCAGGUUCAAUUUCUACAUCAUUAUCAUUACUAGGUUGAGCAUCAUCAUGAACAUCAUCAUUAAUAUUCUUACUAGGUUCCUGUUCAUUACCAGAUUGUGUUUCAGCAUCAGACAUAGAUAUAUCAUUUGGAUUAUCAGGUGGUUCAGCAAUAGGUUCACUAGAAGUUUGCACAAUUCUAUCAUUUUUCUUCUUCUUCUUUUUAGAAGAACUAGGAACAUCAAUAUUAUUUCUUUGAGAAUCUUGCUCGAUUCUCUUAGGGUGGCCUUCAGGAUACAAAGGUUCCUGAGUCAUUCUACCAGUUCUAGUAGCCACUCUAACAGCAUAAUCAUUUUUCUUACUAUUCAUUUCAUUAAGCACUUCUUUUUGAGCCUUAAGUACUUGUUCUACUUAAGUGGUAACCAUAGAAGCAUGUUUGCUAACAAGUUUAAGUUCACCUUUAAUAUCAGCCAUAUAAUCACCCAGGCGUCUAAUCAUAUAAGCAUUUUCUUUUAAUUGUGUACCAAAAUAAGCAUUGAAGUCGUCUUGCUUAAACAUAAAGUUAUCAAACUCAUCCAAGCACUGACUAGCAAUUUUAGUAGGAGGGACUUCAGCUUUAUCAUAUCUAUAGAGAGAAUUUACCUUUACUACCCGUGUCGGGAUAUUGGGAUCAGGAGGUUCUUUAGUAAAUAAAGAAUUGAGAUGAUAUGUUUCUUCAACAGGCGGUAUAUUAAGACCAUGUAUUUCUUCAAUAGGAGGUAAAUUCUUAACGUCUUCAGCUUUAAUACUUUUUCUUUCAUAGAUUUCUUUGCCUCUUGCAUAUCUUCAGGACUGAGAAAUAAAACACCUCUCUUCUUCGGAUUUGGUUUAGGAAUAGGCUCAGUAAUUGGAGCAGGAGUUGGCUCAGGAGCUGGCUCAGGAGGUGCCCAAUUAUUUUCAUUUGUCAACAUAUUAUUCAAUAGAAUUUCAGCUUCAUCCGGUGUUCUUUCCCUGAAAAGAGAACCAGCACAACUAUCCAGGUAAUCUCUGGAAGCAUCGGUUAGUCCAUUAUAAAAGCUAUCAAGUAUUUCGGGUUUCUUAAGAGGAUGAUCAGGCAAAGCAUUAAGUAACUUGAGAAGCCUCCCCCAAGCUUGUGGGAGACUCUCUUUUUUAAUUUGCACGAAGUUGUAUAUUUCCCUCAAAGCAGCUUGUUUCUUAUGAGCAGGGAAAUAUUUAGCAGAGAAGUAAUAAAUCAUAUCCUGGGGACUACGCACACAACCAGGAUCAAGAGAAUUAAACCAUAUCUUAGCAUCACCCUUUAAUGAGAAUGGAAAUAUUUUGAGUAUAUAAAAGUAACGCGAUCUCUCGUCAUUAGUGAACAGGGCAGCUAUAUCAUUUAACUUAGUAAGAUGUGCCACAACAGUUUCAGAUUCGUAGCCAUAAAACAGAUCAGAUUCAACCAAAGUAAUUAUAUCAGGAUCAACAGAGAAUUCAUAAUCCUUAUCAGGAACACAUAUAGGUGAAGUAGCAAAAGCAGGGUCGGGUUUCAUUUUAUCUCUAAGUGAUUCUUUGUUCCAUUUAAUUAAUAACCUCUUAAGCUCAUAAUCAGAUUCAAUAUUUUCAAUCUCUCUAGCCCUAGCAAGUCGUUCUUCUAGAAAAUCACUAAGUGGCACAGUAGUAUCAGGCAUAAAAGUAGUUUCAUCAUAAGUAUCAUGCAUAGCAGAAGUGGCAUCAUCAAUAACAUGCGACAUAUCAGAACGAAUAGCAGAAGAAGGUGUAGGUGUCGCAAACUUACUCAUAACAGAAGGUGAAUCAAGUGCAGAGCUAGAUUAUAGUUCCUUACCUCCCCUUGUAGUUGAGGGAUAGAUCUUGGUUUUUGGAUCUCUCAAGUUCUUCAUAGUGUCCAGCAGAUAUAAAUCCCAAGUGACUCAGAGAAUAUAGCUAUGCUCCCCGGCAACGGCGCCAGAAAUUAGUCUUGAUAACCCACAAGUAUAGGGGAUCGCAACAGCUUUCGACGAUAGAGUAUUCAACCCAAAUUUAUUGAUUCGACACAAGGGGAGCCAAAAAAUAUUCUCAAGUAUUAGCAGCUGAGUUGUCAAUUCAACCACACCUGGAAACUUAGUGUCUACAGAAAAGUGUUUAGUAGCAAAGUAAUAUGAUAGUGGUGGUAGCGGCAACAAAAGUAAAGACAGCAAAAGUAAUGUUUUUGGUAUUUUGUAGUGAUUGUAAUAGUAGCAGCGGGAAAGUAAAUAAGCGAGAACCAGUAUAUGGAAAACUCGUAGGCAUCGGAUCAGUGAUGGAUAAUUAUGCCGGAUGCGGUUCAUCAUGUAACAGUCAUAACAUAGGGUGACACAGAACUAGCUCCAAUUCAUCAAUGUAAUGUAGGCAUGUAUUUCGUAUAUAGUCAUAUGUGCUUAUGGAAAAGAACUUGCAUGACAUCUUUUGUCCUACCCACCCGUGGCAGCGGGGUCCUAUUGGAAACUAAGCGAUAUUAAGGCUUCCUUUUAAUAGAGAACCGGAACAAAGCAUUAGCACAUAGUGAAUACAUGAACUCCUCAAACUAUGGUCAUCACUGGGAGUGGUCCCGAUUAUUGUCACUUCUGGGUUGCCGGAUCAUAACACAUAGUAGGUGACUAUAGACUUGCAAGAUAGGAUCAAGAACUCACAUAUAUUCAUGAAAACAUAAUAGGUUCAGAUCUGAAAUCAUGGCACUCGGGCCCUAAUGACAAGCAUUAAGCAUAGCAAAGUCAUAGCAGCAUCAAUCUCAGAACAUAAUGGAUACUAGGGAUCAAACCCUAACAAAACAAACUCGAUUACAUGAUAAAUCUCAUCCAACCCAUCACCGUCCAGCAAGCCUACGAUGCGAUUACUCAUGCACAUCGAUGAGUAUCAUGAAGUUGGUGAUGGAGGAUGGUUGAUGAUCACGACGGCGACGAAUCCCCCUCUCUGGAGCCCCGAACGGACUCCAGAUCAGCCCUCCCGAGAGGUUUUAGGGCUUGGCGGCGGCUCCGUAUCGUAAAAUGCAAUGAUUUCUUCUCUCUGAUUUUUUUCUCUCCGAAAGCAAAUAUAUAGAGUUGGAGUUGGCGUUGGAGGGUUUCCAGGGGGCCCACGAGGUAGGGGGCGCGCCCUAGGGGGGGCGCCCCCCACCCUCGUGAGAAGGUGUGGGCCCCCUGGUCUUCAUCUUUGGCAAGGAUUUUUUAUUGUUUUUUCUAAGAUGUUCCGUGGAGUUUCAGGUCAUUCCGAGAAUAUUUGUUUUCUGCACAUAAAACAACACCAUAGCAAUUCUGCUGAAAACAGCGUCAGUCCGGGUUAGUUCCAUUCAAAUCAUACAAGUUAGAGUCCAAAACAAGGGCAAAAGUGUUUGGAAAAGUAGCUACGUCGGAGACGUAUCAGCGUAUUUCGAGAUUGGGAUUUGUCACUCCGAUUGUCGGAGAGGUAUCUCUGGGCCCACUUGGUAAUACACAUCACUUAAGCCUUGCAAGCAUUGCAACUAAUGAGUUAGUUGUGGGAUGAUGUGUAACGGAACGAGUAAAGAGACUUGCCGGUAACGAGAUUGAACUAGGUAUUGAGAUACCGAUGAUCGAAUCUCGGGCAAGUAACAUACCGAUGACAAAAGGAACAACGUAUGUUGUUAUGUGGUUUGACCAAUAAAGAUCUUCGUAGAAUAUGCAGGAGCCAAUAUGAGCAUCCAGGUUCCGCUAUUGGUUAUUGACCGGAGACGUGUCUCGGUCAUGUCUACAUAGUUCUCGAACCCGUAGGGUCCGCACGCUUAAAGUUCGAUGACAGUUAUAUUAUGAGUUUAUGGUUUUUGAUGUACCGAAGGGAGUUCAGAGUCUCGGAUAUGAUCACGGACAUGACGAGGAGUCUCGAAAUGGUCGAGACAUAAAGAUCGAUAUAUUGGACGACUAUGUUCGGACACCAGAAUGGUUUCGGGGAGUUUCGGGCAUAUACCGAAGUACCGGGGGGUUACCGGAACCCCCCAGGGAGACUAAUGGGCCUAUUGGGCCCUAAUGGAGAAGAGGAGGGGCGGCCAAAUGGCAGCCGCGCCCCCCUCCCCCCAGUCCGAAUUGGACAAGGAGGGGGGCGGCGCCCCCUUUCCUUUCCCCUCUCUCUCCUUCCCUCUCCUCUCCUACUCCCACAUGGAAAGGGGGAGUCCUACUCCCGGUGGGAGUAGGACUCCUCAUGGGGCGCGCCUAGGGUGGACGACCCCCUCCUCCUCCUCCACUCCUUUAUAUACGGGGAGGGAGGCACCCCUUGGAGACACAACAAUUGAUCUCUUUGAUCUUUUAGCCGUGUGCGGUGCCCCUCUCCACCAUAGUCCACCUCGAUAAUAUCAUAGUGGUGCUUAGGCGAAGCCCUGCGAUGGUAGAACAUCAACAUCGUCACCACGCCGUCAUGCUGAUGGAACUCUCCCUCAAAGCUCGGCUGGAUCGGAGUUUGAGGGACGUCAUCGAGUUGAACGUGUGCAGAACUCGGAGGUGUCAUGCGUUCGUUACUUGAUCGGUCGGAUCAUGAAGAUGUACGACUACAUCAACCGCAUUGUGCUAAUGCUUCCGCUUUCGGUCUACGAGGGUACGUGGACACACUCUCCCCUCUCGUUGCUAUGCAUCACCAUGAUCUUCCGUGUGCGUAGGAAUUUUUUUGAGGUUACUACGUUCCCCAACAGUGGCACCUGAGCCAGGUUUUAUGCGUUGAUGUUAUAUGCACGACUAGAACACAAGUGAGUUGUGGGCGAUACAAGUCAUACUGCUUACCAUCAUGUCAUACUUUGGUUCGGCAGUAUUGUUGGAUGAAGCGGCCCAGACCGACAUUACGUGUACGCUUACGUGAGACUGGUUCUACCGACGUGCUUUGCACACAGGUGGCUGGCGGGUGUCAGUUUCUCCAACUUUAGUUGAACCGAGUGUGGCUGCGCCCGGUCCUUGAGAAGGUUAAAACAUCACUAACUUGACGAACUAUCGUUGUGGUUUUGAUGCGUAGGUAAGAACGGUUCUUGCUCAGCCCGUAGCAGCCACGUAAAACUUGCAACAACAAAGUAGAGGACGUCUAACUUGUUUUUGCUGGGCAUGUUGUGAUGUGAUAUGGUCAAGACAUGAUGCUAUAUUUUAUUGUAUGAGAUUAUCAUGUUUUGUAACCGAGUUAUCGGCAACUGGCAGGAGCCAUGUGGUUGUCGCUUUAUUGUAUGCAAUGCAAUCGCCCUGUAAUUGCUUUACUUUAUCACUAAGCGGUAGCAAUAGUCGUAGAAGCAAUAGUUGGCAAGACGACAAUGAUGCUACGAUGGAGAUCAAGGUGUCGCGUCGGUGACGAUGGUGAUCAUGACGGUGCUUCGGAGAUGGAGAUCACAAGCAUAAGAUGAUGAUGGCCAUAUCAUAUCACUUAUAUUGAUUGCAUGUGAUGUUUAUCUUUUAUGCAUCUUAUUUUGCUUUGAUUGACGGUAGCAUUAUAAGAUGAUCUCUCACUAAAUUUCAAGAUAAAAGUGUUCACCCUGAGUAUGCACCGUUGCCAAAGUUCGUCGUGCCCAAACACCACAUGAUGAUCGGGUGUGAUAAGCUCUACGUCCAUCUACAACGGGUGCAAGCCAGUUUUGCACACGCAGAAUACUCAGGUUAAACUUGACGAGCCUAGCAUAUGCAGAUAUGGCCUCGGAACACUGAGACCGAAAGGUCGAGCAUGAAUCAUAUAGUAGAUAUGAUCAACAUAAUGAUGUUCACCAUUAAAAACUACUCCAUUUCACGUGAUGAUCGGUUAUGAUUUAGUUGAUUUGGGUCCCGUGAUCACUUAGAUGAUUAGAGAGAUGUCUAUCUAAGUGGGAGUUCUUAAGUAAUAUGAUUAAUUGUACUUAAAUUUAUCAUGAACUUAGUACCUGGUAGUAUUUUGCAUGUCUAUGUUUGUUGUAGAUAGAUGGCUUGUGCUGUUGUUUUGUUGAAUUUUAAUGCGUUCCUUGAGAAAGAAAAGUUGAAAGAUGAUUGUAGCAAUUAGACGGACUGGGUCCGUAACUUGAGGAUUAUCCUCAUUGCUGCACAGAAGAAUUACGUCCUGGAAGCACCGCUGAGUGCCAAACCUGCUGUAGGAGCAACACCAGAUGUUAUGAACAUCUGGCAGAGCAAAGCUGAUGACUACUCGAUAGUUCAGUGUGCCAUGCUUUACGGCUUAGAACCGGGACUUCACCGACGUUUUGAACGUCAUGGAGCAUAUGAGAUGUUCUAGGAGUUGAAGUUAAUAUUUCAAGCAAAUGCCCGGAUUGAGAGAUAUGAAGUCUCCAAUAAGUUCUAUAGCUACAAGAUGGAGGAGAAUAGUUCUGUCAGUGAGCAUAUACUCAAAAUGUCUGGGUAUCAUAAUCACUUGACUCAACUGGGAGUUAAUCUUCCUAUUGAUAGUGUCAUUGACAGAGUUCUUCAAUCACUGCCACCAAGCUACAAAAGCUUCAUGAUGAACUAUAAUAUGCAAGGGAUGAAUAAGACAACUCCCGAGCUCUUCGCAAUGCUAAAGGCUGCGGAGGUAGAAAUCAAAAAGGAGCAUCAAGUGUUGAUGGUCAAUAAGACCGCCAGUUUCAAGAAAAAGGGCAAAGGGAAGAAGAAGGGGAACUUCAAGAAGAACAACAAACAAGUUGCUGCUUAGGAGAAGAUACCCAAGUCUGGACCUAAGCCUGAGACUGAGUGCUUCUACUGCAAACAGACUGGUCACUGGAAGCGGAACUGCCCCAAGUAUUUGGCGGAUAAGAAGGAUGGCAAGGUCAACAAAGGUAUAUGUGAUAUACAUGUUAUUGAUGUGUACCUUACCAUAGCUCGCAGUAUGUAACACCCACGAUGCGGCUAUAUCUCCCACGUGUCGGAGCACGACUUAGAGGCAUAACCGCAUAGUAGGCAUGUCGCAAGAGGGGUAAUCUUUACACAUCCCAUGUACUGAAUAAGAAAGGGAUAAAGAGUUGGCUUGCAAUCGCCACUUCACACAAUACAUAAAUAUAACAUUACAUCAUCCAGAAUACAACCAAGGUCCGACUAUGGAACCAAAUAAAGAAAGACAACCCCAAAUGCAUAGAUCCCUGAUCGCCCCAACUGGGCUCCUCUAUUGAUCGUCCGGAAAGGAAACAUAGUAACAUCCCGAAUCCUCGUCGAACUCCCACUUGAGUUCGGUCGCGUCCCCUGCAUCUGGUUUUGGAAGUAAUCUAAGAGUCACGGGGACUCAACAAUCUCACACCCUCGCGAUCAAGACUAUUUAAGCUUAUGGGUAGGAAAGGUAGUGAAGUGGAGCUGCAGCAAGCACUAGCAUAUAUGGAGGCUAACUUACGCAAAUGAGAGCGAGAAGAGAAGCAAGGCACGGUCGAGAAACUAUAAUGAUCAAGAAGUGAUCCUGAAACUACUUAUGUUCAAGCAUAACACGAGACCGUGUUCUCUUCCCGGACUCCGCCGAAAAGAGACCAUCACGGCUACACACGCGGUUGAUUCAUUUUAAUUAAGUUAAGUUUCAAGUUCUCUAUAGCCGGACAUUAACAAAUUCCCAUCUGCCCAUAAUCGCGGGCACGGCUUUCGAAAGUUCAAUGCAGGGGUGUCCCAACUUAGCCCAUCACAAGCUCUCACAGUCAACGAAGGAUAUUCCUUCUUCCAGGAAGACCCGAUCAGACUCGGAAUCCCGGUUACAAGACAUUUCGACAAUGGUAAAACAAGACCAGCAAAGCCGCCCGAUGUGCCGACAAAUCCCGAUAGGAGUCGCACGUAUCUGGUUCUCAGGGCACACCGGAUGGGCAAGACGUCGGGUUGGCAUAGCCCCUGGUUGCCCAGGGGGCACCAGACAUCGCCCAGGUUGGACCAACACUUAGAGAAGCACUGGCCCCCAGGGGGGGGGGGGUUAAAAUAAAGAUGACCCUUGAGUCCACGGAACCCAAGGGAAAAAUGCUUAGGUGGCAAAUGGUAAAACCAAGGUUGGGCCUUGCUGGAGGAGCUUUAUUCAAGGCGAACUGUCAAGGGGUUCCCAUUAUAACCCAACCGGAUAAGGAAUGCAAAAUCAAGGAACAUAACACCGGUAUGACGGAAACUAGGGCGGCAAGAGUGGAACAAAACACCAGGCAUAAGACCGAGCCUUCCACCAUUUACCAAGUAUAUAGAUGCAUUAAAGUAAACAAGAUAUAAUAAUGAUAUCCCAACAAUAAUCAUGUUCCAACAAGGAACAUACUCCAUCUUCACCUGCAACUAGCAACGCUAUAAGAGGGGCUGAGCAAAGUGGUAACAUAGCCAAACAACUGUUUGCUAGGAAAGGUGGGUUAGAGGCUUGACAUGGCAAUGUGGGAGGCAUGAUAUAGGAAGUGGUAGGUAUCGCAGCAUAGCAAUAGAGCGAGCAACUAGCAAGCAAAGAUAGAAGUGAUUUCGAGGGUAUGGUCAUCUUGCCUGCAAAGUUCUCCGAGUUGACGAAAGCUUGAUCCUCGUAAGCUUACUCAACGGGUUCCUCGAACAUGCACUCGUCUCCCGGCUCUACCCAAAGCAAGAACAUAAGCAAAGGACCAACAAUCAAACACAGCGCAAUGCACAAUCAACAUGAUGCAAAACAUGACAUGACAUGCGGGAUGUGAUAUGCAAUGCAUAUGCGUGCUCCGGAAGGAAAAAUUAUGAUCAAGGCAUCAAAUUGGCAAACCAAGUGUUCCUCUAGAAAGAUGAGUUGAUUUCGGUCGAAAUCGAUAUAAAGAUCACCGGAAUCGGAUGCACGGUUUGCAAAUGGCAACCAAAACAAUAAUGGCACAAUUCUGCGAUUAACAGCACGAUGCCAUCUAGAAUGCAACAAGAAACUAAGGUACUGCACUCCAACAUAGCAACAAAGCACAUGGCAGUGAUCUACUCAAGAUGCUUGACAAAAGAUGAACACUGAGCUAUGGCUAAAUCACACAAUAGCAGGUUCAAACAAGCAUGGAAAAAGUGCAAAAGAUAUCAGCAUCACAGACUUGGUGAAAAUAACAUGCCAGGAAUUAACAUCAGGAAGCAAAGUUUAGAGCAAGAUAACAACAUGCUACAGGAAUAGAACAUAGCAAACAAAGGUAUGGCAUGAAUCUACUCAAAGCAUAUAACAAAAGUCCCUUACUAACCAUAAGCCAAAAAGGAUCAGAAGAUAUGAUGGCACCCAUGUAAACAUAGCAAGUUUCGUUAACAGAUUCAGACUUAGCAGAAAACUGGACAUGGCAAAAACAGAUUUAUGAAGGCCUCUUUGCGAGCUCGAUGCACUGAACACAAGGCAUUGCAUGACAAGAUACGCAUAGACCAGCAAGAAGACAUGUUCAUGAAGCUAAGCAAAGCAAGAACAAACUCAUAGCAUGCAUGGAUCAACUACAUCAACCUUGGCAAAAUUGAUUAACAUGUAAACAAUCUGCCAGAAACAUUUUAUAGCAAAAGUAGAGCAAGAUUGAGUCAUGCUAGGGCACUCCAUAAUUGCAAACAGGGACAUGGAUGGAGAGAGCACAACCAUAUGUCCAAAUCAUCCUUACUGAACAUACUCAAAAGAAGCAUGGAUCUCACUGUAACAACAUGAACACAUGGCAAUAAAAUAACAGCAGGGAAAUGACUUAGUGAAAUUCUAAGUCCCUGAAAUCAGCAAUAUCACGAGAGCUACUUUGCAUGCUUGUGCUAGUCACCAAAUUGAUCAAAAAAAUAUAUGGCAUACACCCCUGUAAAGAUGGCAUGGCAUAUCCCAAAACACAUGUAGAGCUCAUGCUCAUAUGCAGUACACAAUAAAUGUAGCAAAAAUGACAAAUGCUCAUAAUCUGAUAAGAAUCAGCACCUAACAUUUUAUAGCACUCUUGCAUCAGUCAUUUGGGCAUCAAGAUGGACUCAAACAAGCAGGUCACAAUGGAACAAAAUGAAGAGCACAUCCAGAUGAACAUUUUGAUAUAUUUCACGCACAAAAUGGAGCUACGAUCACAGAGUUAUGAUGCAAUGAACAUGGGCUGAAAAUGCAAUAUAAAUGACUUAGAGGAAUUUCGAAGUCAACCCUAGGGUUUGUCUGGACUGGAUCUGGAUCUGAGCCACGCGGAUGACGAGGUUUGCCGGAGAAGGAGAUCACCGGAGUCCUCGCGAUGGCCGGAGCAGAGGAGGGACUUGCCGGAUCCGGGUCGGGGAUGGCGAGCUGCGGCGCGGGCGAGGUUUGCCGGAGUGCGGGUGGCGACUGGAGGCGGUGGACGGCGGGCGGACGCUGACAGCGGCGACCGGACUUGCGGUCUCCGGGCGACAGUGCGGAUGAGCUCCAGGGCGCGCGGGCGGUGGGGAAGGCCGGUUGGCGCGGACGAGACGCUCCGGGCCUGGAAGGCCCCGCAUGGGCCCCGGCGGGCCGGUGCGCGGGUGGCGGCGCGCGGAAGUGGGCGCGUGCAGCGGCGAAUCAGGAGGCGACACGUGGCGGCGGCGAGGGAGCUGGACACAUCCGUUGGUGGGGGUUUUUGUCCGGCGGCGCGAGGUGGAAGGAGGUUAGGGUUUCAUCCGUGAAAUUUUCGGAGGGAGACACAUAUAUAUAGGUAGAGGGGGGGUAGGAAUGUCCAAAUGGAGUGCGGUUUUCGGCCACGCGGUCGUGAUCGAACGGCCGAGAGGAUGGAGGAGGUUUGGAUGGGUUAUUGGACUGUUUUGGAGGGGUGUUGGGCUGCAACACACACGAGGCCUUUACGGUUCCCCGGUUAACCGUUGGAGUAUCAAACGGACUCCAAAUGGCACGAAACUUGACAGGUGGUCUACCGGUGGUGUACCAAGGCCGCUUGGCAAAUCUCGGUCGAUUCCGAGAAAGUUUAACACCCGCACACGAAAAGAGGCAAAAGGGGACGCCGAAGGACAUAGGAGUGUCGGAUUGCAAAACGGACAACGGGGAAAAUGCUCGGAUGCAUGAGACGAACACGUAUGCAAAUACGAUGCACAUGAUGACAUGAUAUGAAAUGCAUGACAUGGACAAAAAGCAAAACAAAGAUAAGAACCCAACCACAAAUAUCAUAACUUAGUGCCGAAAAUGGCAAGAGUUGGAAUACAAAUAUGGAAAGUUGUAUCUGGGGCGUUACACAGUAGCACCUGGGUAUUUGAUACUGGUUCUAUUGCGAAUAUUUGCAACUCGAAACAAGGACUAUGGAUUAAGCGAACACUGGCUAAGGACGAGGUGACAAUGUGCGUGGGAAAUGGUUCCAAAGUCGAUGUGAUCGCCGUCGGCACGCUGCCUCUACAUCUACCUUUGGGGUUAGUUUUAGACCUAAAUAAUUGUUAUUUGGUGCCAACGUUAAGCAUGAACAUUAUAUCUUGAUCUUGUUUAAUGCGAGAUGGUUAUUCAUUUAAAUCUGAGAAUAAUGGUUGUUCUAUUUAUAUGUGUAAUAUCUGUUAUGGUCAUGCACCCUUAAAGAGUGGUCUAUUUUGAUGAAUCUCGAUAGUAGUGAUACAGAUAUUCAUAACGUUGAAGCCAAAAGAUGUAGAGUUGGCAAUGAUAGUGCAACUUAUUUGUGGCACUGCCGUUUGGGUCAUAUUGGUAUAAAGCGCAUGAAGAAACUCCAUACUGAUGGACUUUUGGAAUCACUUGAUUAUGAAUCACUUGGUACUUGCGAACCAUGCCUCAUGGGCAAGAUGACUAAAACGCCAUUCUUCGGAACUAUGGAGCGAGCAACUGAUUUGUUGGAGAUCAUACAUACUGAUGUAUGUGGUCCAAUGAAUGUCGAGGCUCGCGGCGGGUAUCGUUAUUUUCUCACCUUCACAGAUGAUUUAAGCAGAUAUGGAUAUAUCUACUUAAUGAAACAUAAGUCUGAAACAUUUGAAAAGUUCAAAGAAUUUCAGAUUGAAGUUGAAAAUCAUCGUAACAAGAAAAUAAAGUUUCUACGAUCUGAUCGUGGAGGAGAAUAUUUGAGUUACGAAUUUGGUCUACAUUUGAAACAAUGCGGAAUAGUUUCACAACUCACGCCACCCGGAACACCACAGCGUAAUGGUGCGUCCGAACGUCGUAAUCGUACUUUACUAGAUAUGGUGCAAUCUAUGAUGUCUCUUACUAAUUUACUGCUAUCAUUUUGGGGUUAUGCUUUAGAGACAGUCACAUUCACGUUAAAUAUGGCACCAUCAAAAUCCGUUGAGAUGACACCUUAUGAACUAUGGUUUGGCAAGAAACCAAAGUUGUCAUUUCUUAAAGUUUGGGGCUGCGACGCUUAUGUGAAAAAGCUUCAACCUGAUAAGCUCGAACCCAAAUCGGAGAAAUGUGUCUUCAUAGGAUACCCAAAGGAAACUGUCGGGUACACCUUCUAUCACAGAUCCAAAGGCAAGACAUUCGUUGCUAAGAAUGGAUCUUUUCUAGAGAAGUAGUUUCUCUCGAAAGAAGUGAGUGGAAGGAAAGUAGAACUUGAUGAGGUAACAGUACCUGCUCCCUUAUUGGAAAGUAGUUCAUCACAGAAACCAGUUCCUAUGACACCUACACCAAUUAGUGAGGAAGCAAUGAUGAUGAUCAUGAAACUUUAGAUUAAGUUACUACCGAACCUCGUAGGUCAAUCAGAGUAAGAUCCGCACUAGAGUGGUACGGUAAUCCUAUUCUGGAGGUCAUGUUACUAGACCAUGACGAACCUACAAACUAUGAGGAAGCGAUGAUGAGCCCGGAUUCCGCAAAAUGGCUUGAGGCCAUGAAAUCUGAGAUGGGAUCCAUGUAUGAGAACAAAGUGUGGACUUUGGUUGACUUGCCCAAUGAUCGGCAAGCCAUCGAGAAUAAAUGGAUCUUCAAGAAGAAGAUUGACGUUGAUGGUAAUGUUACCGUCUAUAAAGCUCGACUUGUUGCAAAAGGUUUUCGACAAGUUCAAGGGAUUGAAUACGAUGAGACCUUCUCACCCGUAGCGAUUCUUAAGUCUGUCCGAAUCAUGUUAGCAAUUGCCACAUUUUAUGAUUAUGAAAUUUGGCAAAUGGAUGUCAAAACUGCAUUCCUGAAUGGAUUUCUGGAAGAAGAAUUGUACAAGAUGCAACUGGAAGGUUUUGUCGAUCCAAAGGGAGCUAACAAAGUGUGCAAGCUCUAGCGAUCCAUUUAUGGACUGGUGCAAGCCUCUCGGAGUUGGAAUAAACAUUUUGAUAGUGUGAUCAAAACAUAUGGUUUUAUACAGACUUUUGGAGAAGCCUGUAUUUACAAGAAAGUGAGUGGGAGCUCUGUAGUAUUUCUAAUAUUAUAUGUGGAUGACAUAUUGUUGAUUGGAAAUGAUAUAGAAUUUCUGGAUAGCAUAAAAGGAUAUUUUAAUAAGAGUUUUUCAAUGAAAGACCUCGGUGAAGCUACUUAUAUAUUGGGCAUCAAGAUCUAUAGAGAUAGAUCGAGACGCUUAAUUGGACUUUCACAAAGCACAUACCUUGACAAAGUUUUGAAGAAGUUCAAAAUGGAUCAAGCAAAGAAAGGGUUCUUGCCUGUGUUACAAGGUGUGAAGUUGAGUAAGACUCAAUGCCCGACCACUGCAGAAGAUAGAGAGAAAAUGAAAGAUGUUCCCUAUGCUUCAGCCGUAGGCUCUAUCAUGUAUGCAAUGCUGUGUACCAAACCUGAUGUGUGCCUUGCUAUUAUUUUAGCCGGGAGGUACCAAAGUAAUCCAGGAGUGGAUCACUGGACAGCGGUCAAGAACAUCCUAAAAUACUUGAAAAUGACGAAGGAUAUGUUUCUCGUUUAUGGAGGUGACAAAGAGCUCGUCAUAAAUGGUUACGUUAAUGCAAGCUUUGACACUGAUCUGGACGAUUCUAAAUCGCAAAUCGGAUAAAUGUUUUUAUUAAACGGUGGAGCUGUCAGUUGGUGCAGUUCUAAACAAAGCGUCGUAGCGGGAUCUACAUGUGAAGCGGAGUACAUAGCUGCUUCGGAAGCAGCAAAUGAAGGAGUCUGGAUGAAAGAGUUCAUAUCUGAUAAAGGUGUCAUAACUAGUGCAUUGGGUCCAAUGAAAAUCAUUUGUGACAAUACUGGUGCAAUUGCUUUGGCAAAGGAGUCCAUAUUUCACAAGAGAACCAAGCACAUCAAAAGACGCUUCAACUCCAUCCGGGAUCAAGUACAGGUGGGAGACAUAGAGAUUUGCAAGAUACAUACGGAUCUGAAUGUUGCAGACCCAUUGACUAAGCCUCUUCCACGAGCAAAACAUGAUCACCACCAAGGCUCCAUUACUGACUCUAGUGCAAGUGGGAGACUGAAGGAAAUAUGCCCUAGAGGCAAUAAUAAAGUUAUUAUUUAUUUCCUUAUAUCAUGAUAAAUGUUUAUUAUAUAUGCUAGAAUUGUAUUAACCAGAAACACAAUACAUGUGUGAAUACAUAGACAAACAGAGUGUCACUAGUAUGCCUCUACUUGACUAGCUCGUUGAACAUAGAUGGUUAUGUUUCCUGGCCAUAGGCAAAGAGUUGUCAUUUGAUUAACGGGAUCACAUCAUUAGGAGAAUGAUGUGAUUGACUUGACCCAUUCCGUUAGCUUAGCACUUGAUCAUUUAGUUUGUUGCUAUUGCUUUCUUCAUGACUUAUACAUGUUCCUAUGACUAUGAGAUUAUGCAACUCCCGUUUACCGGAGGAACACUUUGUGUGCUACCAAACGUCACAACGUAACUGGGUGAUUAUAAAGGUGCUCUACAGGUGUCUCCGAAGGUACUUGUUGGUUUGGCGUAUUUCAAGAUUGGGAUUUGUCACUCCGAUUGUCGGAGAGGUAUAUCUGGGCCCACUCGGUAAUACACAUCACUUAAGCCUUGCAAGCAUUGCAACUAAUGAGUUAGUUGCGGGGAUGAUGUGUUACAGAACGAGUAAAGAGACUUGCCGGUAAUGAGAUUGAACUCGGUAUUGAGAUACCGACAAUCAAAUCUCGGGCAAGUAACAUACCGAUGACAAAAGGAACUAUUGGAAAUAUGCCCUAGGGGCCAUAAUAAAAUGGUUAUUAUUAUAUUUCCUUGUUCAUGAUAAUUGUCUAUUGUUCAUGCUAUAAUUGUAUUAACCGGAAACCAUAAUACAUGUGUGAAUACAUAGGUCGUAAUAUGUCCCUAGUAAGCCUCUAGUUGACUAGCUCGUUGAUCAACAGAUGGUCAUGGUUUCCUGACCAUGGACAUUGGAUGCCAUUGACAACGGGAUCACAUCAUUAGGAGAAUGAUGUGAUGGACAAGACCUAAUCUUAAGUGUAGCACAAGAUCGUGUAGUUCGUUUGCUAAAGCUUUUCUAAUGUCAAGUAUCAUUUCCUUAGACCAUGAGAUUGUACAACUCCCGGAUACCGUAGGAAUGCUUUGGGUGUAACAAACGUCACAAUGUAACUGGGUGUCUAUAAAGGUGCACUACAGGUAUCUCCAAAAGUGUCUGUUCGGUUGGCACAAAUCAAGACUGGGAUUUGUCACUCCAUAUGACAGAGAGGUAUCUCUGGGCCCACUUGGUAAUGCAUCAUCAUAAUGAGCUCAAUGUGACUAAGGAGUUAGCCACGGGAUCAUGCGUUACGAAACGAGUAAAGUGACUUGCCAGUAACAAGAUUGAACGAGGUAUUGGGAUACCGACGAUCGAAUCUCGAGCAAGUAACAUACCGAUUGACAAAAGGAAUUGUAUACGAGAUUGUUUGAAUCCCCGACAUCGUGGUUCAUCCGAUGAGAUCAUCGUGGAACACGUGGGAGCCAAUAUGGGUAUCCAGAUCCUACUAUUGGUUAUUGGCCGGAGAGAUGUCUCGGUCAUGUCUGCAUGGUUCCCGAACCCGUAGGGUCUACACACUUAAGAUUCGGUGACGCUAAAGUUGUUAUGGGAAAUAGUAUGUGGUUACCGAAGGUUGUUUGGAGUCCCGGAUGAGAUCCUGGACGUGAUAGGGAGUUCCGGAAUGGUCCAAAGGUGAAGAUCGACAUAUUGGACGAAGGGUAUUGGAGUCCGGAAUUGUUCCGGGGGUACCGGGUGACAACCAGCGUGUCCGAAAGGGGUUUAGGAGGGCCGACAAGCAUUGGGGGGCCUUAUGGGCCAAGGGGAGGGGGCACAUCAGCCCACUAAGGGGCUGAGCUCCCCUCCCACCCCAUCUCACGUAACCUAGAGAGGUGGGGGCGCCUCCCCUAGGGCAGCCAGCCCUCCCGGCUUAGGGGCAAGUUUCCUAGGGGUGGGGGCGCCCAAACCCAUCUAGGGUUUCUCCUGUGGCUGCCGCCCCUUGUAGGAUCGAAAGUAUGUCUAGAGGGGGGUGAUUAGACUACUUGACCAAAUAAAAAUCUAGCCUUUUCCCAAUUUUUGUUCUUGGCAGAUUUUAGCAACUUUGGACAAGUCAAGCAAUCUUAACACAAUUCAAGCAAGCAUGCAAAGAGUAUAUGAGCAGCGGAAAGUAAAGCAUGCAACUUGCAAGAAUGUAAAGGGAAGGGUUUGGAGGAUUCAAACGCAAUUGGAGACACGGAUGUUUUUGUCGUGGUUCCGAUAGGUGGUGCUAUCGUACAUCCACGUUGAUGGAGACUUCAACCCAUGAAGGGUAACGGUUGCGCGAGUCCACGGAGGGCUCCACCCACGAAGGGUCCACUAAGAAGCAACCUUGUCUAUCCCACUAUGGCCAUCUCCCAGAAGGACUUGCCUCACAAGUGGUAGAUCUUCAUGAAGUAGGUGAUCUCCUUGCCCUUACAAACUCCUUGGUUCAACUCCAUAAUCUUGUCGGAGGCUCCCAAGUGACACAUAGGCAAUCUAGGAGACACCACUCUCCAAGAAGUAACAAAUGGUGUGUUGAUGAUGAAAUCCUUGCUUUUGUGCUUCAAAUGAUAGUCUCCCCAACACUCAACUCUCUCUCACGGGAUUUGGAUUUGGUGGAAAGAAGAUUUGAGUGGAAAGCAACUUGGGGAAGGCUAGAGAUCAAGAUUCAUAUGGUAGGAAUGUUGGAAAUAUGCCCUAGAGGCAAUAAUAAAAUGGUUAUUAUUAUAUUUCCUUGUUCAUGAUAAUUGUCUAUUGUUCAUGCUAUAAUUGUGUUAUCCGAAAAUCGUAAUACAUGUGUGAAUACAUAGACCACAACAUGUCCCUAGUGAGCCUCUAGUUGACUAGCUCAUUGAUCAACAGAUGGUUACGGUUUCCUAACCAUGGGCAUAUGAUGUCAUUGAUAACGGGAUCACAUCAUUAGGAUAAUGAUGUGAAGGACAAGACCCAAUCCUAAGCAUAGCAUAAGAUCGUGUAGUUCGUCUGCUAAUGCUUUUCUAAUGUCAAGUAUCCUUUCCUUAGACCAUGAGAUUGUGCAACUCCUGGAUACCGUAAGGGUACUUUGGGUGUGCCAAACGUCACAAUGUAACUAGGUGGCUAUAAAGGUACACUACGGGUAUCCCCGAAAGUAUCUGUUGGGUUGGCACGAAUCGAGACUGGGAUUUGUCACUCCGUAUGACGGAGAUGUAUCUCUGGGCCCACUCGGUAGGACAUCAUAAUAAUGAGCUCAAUGUGAUGAAGGAGUUGUUCACGGGAUGAUGUGUCAUGGGAAUGAGUAAAGAGACUUGCCGUAACGAGAUUGAACAAGGUAUCGGUAUACCGGCGAUCGAAUCUCGGGCAAGUAUCAUACUAAUAGACAAAGGGAAUUGUAUACGGGAUUGAUUGAAUCCUCGACAUCAUGGUUCAUCCGAUGAGAUUAUCAUGGAGCAUGUGGGAGCCAACAUGGUUAUCCAGAUCCCGCUAUUGGUUAUUGACCGGAGAGUUGUCUUGGUCAUGUCUAUGUGUCUCCCGAACUCGUAGGGUCUACACACUUAAGGUUCAGUGACGCUAGAGUUGUAGAGAUAUUAGUAUGCGGUUAACCGAAAGUUGUUCAGAGUCCUGGAUGACAUCCCGGACAUUAUGAGGAGUUCCGGAAUGGUCCAGAGGUAAAUAUUUAUAUAUAGGAAGUCCAGUUUCGGCCACUGGGAGAGUUUCGAGGGUCAUCGAUAUUGUACCGGGACCACCGGAAGGGUCCCGGGGGUCCACCGGGUGGGGCCACCUAUCCCGGAGGGCCCCAUGGGCUGAAGUGGCGUGGGAACCAGCCCCUGGUGGGCUGGUGCGCCCCACCCAAGGGCCCAAGGCGCCUAGGGUUGGAAACCCUAGGGGGUCGUUGCCCCCGAGGAGGCAUGCGCCCCCCUGGUUGGAAACCCUAAGGGGGCCGUUGCCCCCCGAGGGCCCCCCCUCUAGAUGGGAUCUCCAAGGUGGCAUGCGCGCCCCUAGCCCCUAUAUAUAGUGGAGGGGAGGGAGGGCAGCCGUACCCUAAGCCCUGGCGCCUCCCUCUCCCUCCUGUGACACCUCUUUCUCCUCCAGUAGCGCUUGGCGAAGCCCUGCUGGAAUCCCGCUACUUCCACCACCACGCCGUCGUGCUGCUGGAUCUCCAUCAACUUCUCCUCCCCCUUGCUAGAUCAAGAAGAAGGAGAUGUCUCCGCUCCGUACGUGUGUUGAACAUGGAGGUGCCGUCUGUUCGGCGCUAGGAUCAUCCGUGAUUUGGAUCACAACGAGUACGACUCCAUCAACCCCGUUCUCUUGAACGGUUCCGCUCGCGAUCUACAAGGGUAUGUAGAUGCACUCCUCUCUUGCUCGUUGCUAGAUGACUCCAUAGAUUGAUCUUGGUGAUGCGUAGAAAAUUUUAAAUUUCUGCUACGAUGCCCAACAUCGGCAUCAUGAGCUAGGUCUAUGCGUAGUUUCUAUGCACGAGUAGAACACAAGUUGUUGUGGGCGUCGAGUUUUUCAGUUUACUUGCCAUUACUAGUCUUAUCUUGAUUCGGCGGCAUCAUGGUAUGAAGCAGCCCGGACCGACCUUACACGUACACUUACGUGAGACAGGUUCCACUGACUGACAUGCACUAGGUGCAUAAGGUGGCUAGCGGGUGUCUGUCUCUCCCACUUUAGUCGGAUCAGAUUCGAUGAAAAGGGUCCUUCUGAAGGGUAAAUAUAAAUUGGCAUAUCACGUUGUGGUUUUGGCGUAGGUAAGAAAUGUUCUUACUAGAAACCUAUAGCAGCCACGUAAAAAUUUGCAACAACAAUUAGAGGACACCUAACUUGUUCUUGCAACAUAUGACGUGUGAUGUGAUAUGGCCAAAAGGAUGUGAUGAAUGAUAUAUGUGAUGUAUGAGAUUGAUCAUGUUCUUAUAAUAGGAAUCACGACUUGCAUGUCGAUGAGUAUGACAACCGGCAGGAGCCAUAGGAGUUGUCUUAAUUUAUUGUAUGACCUGCGUGUCAAUGAAAACGCCAUGUAAUUACUUUACUUUAUUUCUAACCGUUAGCUAUAGUAGUAGAAGUAAUAGUUGGCGAGACAACUUCAUGAAGACACGAUGAUGGAGAUCAUGAUGAUGGAGAUCAUGGUGUCAUGCCGGUGACGAUGAUGAUCAUGGCGCCCCGAAGAUGGAGACCAAAAGGAGAAAAAAUGAUAUUGGUCAUAUCAUGUCACUAUUUGAUUGCAUGUGAUGUUUAUCAUGUUUUUACAUCUUAUUUGCUUAGAACGACAGUAGCAUAAAUAAGAUGAUCCCUCAUUAAAAUAUCAAGAAUUGUGUUCCCCCUAACUAUGCACCGUUGCUAAUGUCCGUUGUUCCGAAGCACCAUGUGAUGAUCGGGUGUGAUAGGUUCUAACGUUCGCAUACAACGGGUGUAAGCCAGAUUUACACACGCAAUACACUUAGGUUGACUUGACGAGCCUAGCAUGUACAGACAUGGCCUCGGAACACGGAAGACCGAAAGGUCGAACAUGAAUCGUAUAUAAGAUAUGAUCAACAUGAAGACGUUCACCGAUGAUGACUAGUCUGUCUCACGUGAUGAUCGGACACGGCCUAGUUGACUCAGAUCAUAUAUCACUUAGAGGACUAGAGGGAUGUCUAUCUGAGUGGGAGUUCAUUAAAUAAUUUGAUUUGAUGAACUUAAUUAUCAUGAACAUAGUCUAAAACUUUGCAAUAUGUCUUGUAGAUCAAAUGGCUCAUGCUAAUGUUGCCCUCAACUUUAACACAUUCCUAGAGAAAACCAAGCUGAAAGAUGAUGGUAGCAACUACACGGACUGGGUCCAUAACCUGAGGAUUAUCCUCAUAGCUGCCAAGAAAGCAUAUGUCCUGGAAGCACCGCUAGGUGAUGCACCUUUUUUCCCAGCAACUCAAGACGUUAUGAACGCCUGGCAGUCACGUAGUGAUGAUUACUCCCUGGUCCAGUGCGGCAUGCUUUACAGCUUAGAACCGGGGCUCCAAAAGCGUUUUGAGCAGCACGGAGCAUAUGAGAUGUCCCAAGAGCUGAAAAUGGUUUUCCAAGCUCAUGCUCGGGUCAAGAGAUAUGAAGUCUCCGACAAGUUCUACAGUUGUAAGAUGGAGGAGAAUAGUUCUGUCAGCGAGCACAUACUCAAAAUGUCUGGGUUGCACAACCGCUUAUCUCAGUUGGGUUUUAAUCUCCCGGAUGAUGCGAUCGUUGACAGAAUCCUUCAGUCGCUCCCACCUAGCUACAAGAGCUUUGUGAUGAACUUCAAUAUGCAGGGGAUGGAAAAGACCAUUCCUGAGGUAUAUUCAAUGCUGAAAUCAGCGGAGGUGGAGAUCAAAAAGGAACGUCAAGUGUUGAUGGUGAAUAAAACCACUAAGUUCAAGAAAGGCAAGGGUAAGAAGGACUUCAAGAAGGAUGGCAAGGGAGUUGCCGCGCCCGGUAAGCCAGUUGCUGGGAAGAAGCCAAAGCAUGGACCCAAGCCUGAGACUGAGUGCUUUUAUUGCAAGGAAACAGUCACUGGAAGCGGAACUGCCCCAAGUACUCAGCGGAUAAGAAGGCCGGCAAUACCAAAGGUAUAUGUGAUAUACAUGUUAUUGAUGUGUACCUAACCAGCGCUCGUAGUAGCUCCUGGGUAUUUGAUACGGUGCAGUUGCUCAUAUUUGUAACUCAAAACAGGAGAUGCGGAAUAAGCGGAGACUGGCGAAGGACAAGGUGACGAUGCGCGUCGGGAAUGGUUCCAAGGUCGAUGUGAUCGCCGUCGGCAUGCUACCUCUACAUUUACCUACGGGAUUAGUUUUAAACCUCAAUAAUUGUUAUUUAGUACCAGCUUUGAGCAUGAACAUUGUAUCUGGAUCUCGUUUAAUGCGAGAUGGCUACUCAUUUAAGUAUGAGAAUAAUGGUUGUUCUAUUUAUAUGAGAGACAUGUUUUAUGGUCAUGCCCCGCUGGUUAAUGGUUUAUUCUUAUUUAAUCUCGAGCGUGAUGUUACACAUAUUCAUAGUGUGAAUGCCAAAAGAUGUAAGGUUGAUAAUGAUAGUCCCACAUACUUGUGGCACUGCCGCCUUGGUCACAUUAGUGUCAAACGCAUGAAGAAACUCCAUGCAGAUGGACUUUUGGAGUCUCUUGAUUAUGAAUCAUUUGACACGUGCGAACCAUGCCUCAUGGGCAAAAUGACUGACUCCAUUCUCCGGAACAAUGGAGCGAGUAACCAACUUAUUGGAAAUCAUACAUACUGAUGUGUGCGGUCCAAUGAGUGUUGAGGCUCGUGGUGGUUAUCGUUAUGUCCUCACCCUCACUGAUGACUUAAGUAGAUAUGGGUAUGUCUACUUGAUGAAACACAAGUCUGAGACCUUUGAAAAGUUCAAGGAAUUUCAGAGUGAGGUUGAGAAUCAACAUGACAUGAAAAUAAAGUUCUUACGAUCAGAUCAUGGAGGGGAAUAUUGGAGUCACGAAUUUGGCACGCACUUAAGGAAAUGUGGAAUUGUUUCACAACUCACGCCGCCUGGAACACCUCUACAUAAUGGUGUGUCCGAACAUCGUAAUCGCACUCUAUUGGAUAUGGUGCGAUCUAUGAUGUCUCUGACCGAUCUACCGCUAUCAUUUUGGGGUUAUGCUAUAGAGACUGCCGCAUUCACUUUAAAUAGGGCUCCGUCAAAAUCCGUUGAGACGACACCGUAUGAAUUGUGGUUUGGGAAGAAACCUAAGCUAUCGUUUCUGAAAGUUUGGGGAUGCGAUGCUUAUGUCAAGAAACUUCAACCUAAAAAGCUCGAACCCAAAUCGGAAAAAUGCGUCUUCAUAGGAUACCCUAAAUAAACUAUUGGGUAUACCUUCUACCUCAGAUCCGAAGGCAAGAUCUUUGUUGCCAAGAAUGGAUCCUUUCUAUAGAAAGAGUUUCUCUCGAAAGAAGUAAGUGGGAGGAAAGUAGAACUUGAUGAAGUAUUGCCUCUUGAACCGGAGAGUAGCGCACCUCAAGAAAAUGUUUCUGUGGUGCCUGCACCGACUAGAGAGGAAGUUAAUGAUGAUGAUCAUGAAACUUCAGAUCAAGUUGCUACUGAACUUUGUAGUUCCACAAGGACAUGUUCCGCACCAGAGUGGUACGACAACCCUGUCCUGGAAAUCAUGUUGUUAGACAAUGGUGAACCUUCAAACUAUGAAGAAGCGAUGGCGGGCCCGGAUUCCGACAAAUGGCUUGAAGACAUGAAAUCCGAGAUAGGAUCCAUGUAUGAAAACAAAGUAUGGACUUUGACUAACUUGCCCGAUGAUCGGCGAGCCAUAGAAAAUAAAUGGAUCUUUAAGAAGAAGACAGACGCGGAUGGUAAUGUAACCAUCUAUAAGGCUCGGCUUGUCACUAAGGGUUAUCGACAAGUUCAAGGGGUUGACUAUGAUGAGACCUUCUCACCCUUAGCGAAGCUAAAGUCUGUCCGCCGCAUUCUAUGAUUAUGAUAUAUGGCAAAUGGACAUCAAAAUGACAUUCCUUAAUGGUUUCCUUGAGGAAGAAUUGUAUAUGAUGCAGCCGGAAGAUUUUGUCGAUCCUAAGAACGCUGACAAGGUAUGCAAGCUCCAACGCUCGAUCUAUUGGCUGGUGCAAGCAUCUCGGAGUUGGAACAUUCAUUUUGAUGAGAUGAUCAAAGCGUUUGGGUUUACGCAGAUUUAUGGAGAAGCCUGUGUUUACAAGAAAGUGAGUGGGAGCUCUGCAGCAUUUCUCAUAUUAUAUGUGGAUGACAUACUAUUGAUGGGAAAUGAUAUAGAACUCUUGGAAAGCAUAAAGGCCUACUUGAAUAAGUGUUUUUCAAUGAAGGACCUUGGAGAAGCUGCUUACAUAUUAGGCAUCAAGAUCUAUAGAGAUAGAUCGAGACGCCUCAUUGGUCUUUCACAAAGCACGUACCUUGACAAGAUAUUGAAGAAGUUCAAUAUGGAUCAGUCCAAGAAGGGGUUCUUGCCUGCAUUGCAAGGUGUGAGAUUGAGCACGGCUCAAUGCCUGACCAUGGCAGAAGAUAGAGAAAAGAUGAGUGUCAUCCCCUAUGCCUCGGCCAUUGGGUCUAUUAUGUAUGCCAUGUUGUGUACCAGACCUGAUGUAAACCUUGCCAUAAGUUUGGUGGGAAGGUACCAAAGUAAUCCUGGUAUGGAACACUGGACAGCGGUCAAGAAUAUCCUGAAGUACCUGAAAAGGACUAAGGAUAUGUUUCUCGUUUAUGGAGGUGACGAAGAGCUCGUCGUAAAGGGUUGUGUUGAUGCUAGCUUCGACACAUAUCUGGAUGACUCCAAGUCACAAACCGGAUACGUGUAUAUUUUGAAUGGUGGGCAGUCACCUGGUGCAGUUGCAAGCAAAGCAUCGUGGCAGGAUCUACAUGUGAAGCGGAGUACAUGGCAGCCUCGGAGGCAGCACAUGAAGCAAUCUGGAUGAAGGAGUUCAUUACCGACCUAGGAGUUAUUCCCAAUGCGUCGGGCCCGAUGACUCUUUUCUGUGACAACACUGGAGCUAUUGCCCUUGCCAAGGAGCCCAGGUUUCACAAGAAGACCAGUCAAAUCAAGCGUCACUUCAACUCCAUUCGUGAAAAUGUUCAAGAUGGAGACAUAGAGAUUUGUAAAGUGCAUACAGACCUGAAUGUCGCAGAUCUGUUGACUAAACCUCUUCCAUGUGCAAAGCAUGAUCAACACCAGAACUCUAUGGGUGUUCGAUUCAUCACAAUGUAACUAGGUUAUUGACUCUGGUGCAAGUGGGAGACUGUUGGAAAUAUGCCCUAGAGGCAAUAAUAAAAUGGUUAUUAUUAUAUUUCCUUGUUCAUGCUAUAAUUGUGUUAUCCGGAAAUCAUAAUACAUGUGUGAAUACAUAGACCACAACAUGUCCCUAGUGAGCCUCUAGUUGACUAGCUCGUUGAUCAAUAGAUGGUUACGGUUUCCUAACCAUGGACAUAGGAUGUCAAUGAUAACGGGAUCACAUCAUUAGGAUAAUGAUGUGAUGGACAAGACCCAAUCCUAAGCAUAGCACAAGAUCGUGUAGUUCGUCUGCUAAAGCUUUUCGAAUGUCAAGUAUCCUUUCCUUAGACCAUGAGAUUGUGCAACUCCCGGAUACCGUAAGGGUACUUUGGGUGUGCCAAACGUCACAACGUAACUGGGUGGCUAUAAAGGUACACUACGGGUAUCCCCAAAAGUAUCUGUUGGGUUGGCACGAAUCGAGACUGGGAUUUGUCACUCCGUAUGACGGAGAGGUAUCUCUGGGCCCACUCGGUAGGACAUCAUCGUAAUGAGCUCAAUGUGAUCAAGGAGUUGUUCACGGGAUGAUGUGUUACGAGAACGAGUAAAGAGACUUGUCGUAACAAGAUUGAACAAGGUAUCGGUAUACCGACGAUCGAAUCUCGGGCAAGUAUCAUAUCGAUAGACAAAGGGAAUUGUAUACGGGAAUGAUUGAAUCCUCGACAUCGUGGUUCAUCCGAUGAGAUUAUCGUGGAGCAUGUGGGAGCCAACAUGGAUAUCCAGAUCCCGCUGUUGGUUAUUGACCGGAGAGUUGUCUCGGUCAUGCCUACAUGUCUCCCGAACCCGUAGGGUCUACACACUUAAGGUUCGGUGACACUAGAGUUAUAGAGAUAUUAGUAUGCGGUUAACCAAAAGUUGUUCGGAGUCCCGGAUGAGAUCCCGGACAUCACGAGAAGUUCCGGAAUGGUCCGGAGGUAAAUAUUUAUAUAUAGGAAGUCUAGUUUCGGCCACCGGGAGAGUUUCUGGGGUCAUCGGUAUUGUACCGGGACCACCGAAAGGGUCCCGGGGGUCCACCGGGUGGGGCCACCUAUCCCGGAGGGCCCCAUGGGCUGAAGUGGUAUGGGAACCAGCCCCUGGUGGGCUGGUGCGCCCCACCCAAGGGCCCAAGGCGCCUAGGGUUGGAAACCCUAGGGGGUCGUUGUCCCCCGAGGGGGCAUGCGCCCCCCUGGUUGGAAACCCUAAGGGGGGCGUUGCCCCCCGAGGGGCCGCCGCCCCCCUAUAGAUGGUAUCUCCAAGGAGGCAUGCACCCCCUAGCCCCUAUAUAUAGUGGAGGGGAGGGAGGGCAGCCGCAUCCUAAGCCCUGGCGCCUCCCUCUCCCUCCCGUGACACCUCUUCCUCCUCCAGUAGUGCUUGGCGAAGCCCUGCUGGAAUCCCGCUGCUUCCACCACCACGCCAUCGUGCUACUGGAUCUCCAUCAACUUCUCCUCCCCCUUGCUGGAUCAAGAAGGAGGAUAUGUCUCCUCUCCGUACGUGUGUUGAACGCGGAGGUGCCGUCCAUUCGGCGCUAGGAUCAUCAGUGAGUUGGAUCGCGACGAGUACGACUCCAUCAACCCCGUUCUCUUGAACGCUUCCGCUCGCGAUCUACAAGGGUAUGUAGAUGCACUCCUCUCUCCCUCGUUGCUAGAUGACUCCAUAGAUUGAUCUUGGUGAUGCGCAGAAAAUUUUAAAUUUCUGCUACGAUCCCCAACAAGGAAUGGAAUUUCUUGGUCUCAACACAAGUGUAGCUGGUUCUCUCUCAGAAAAAGUAAGUUGGAAGUGUAGGUUCGUUCUAAUGGCUCUCUCCACGAAUGAAGAGGUGGUGGAGGGGUAUAUAUAGCCUCCACACAAAAUCUAACCGUUACACAUAACUUCCCAAACUCGGUGGGAUCGAAUGCUUAAACUUGGUCGGACCGAUUUAGAAAAGCUAGUGACCGUUAGGGUUUUCGGUGGGACCGACAUGCAACUCAGUAGGACCGAUAUGAUUAGGGUUAGGGCAUAACAUAAUCUCGGUGAGACCGAUUACACAAACUCGGUAAGACCGAUUUUGGUAAUAAGCUAACCAAAGAGUUGGUCAGGUAAACUCGGUGGGACCGAUUGCUCAUUUCGGUGAGACCGAAACGUUACGAAGGGAAAACAGAGAGUUUACAUUGCAAUCUUGGUGGGAUCGAUCGCUCAUCUCGGUGAGACCAAAAUGUUACGAAGGGAAACAGAGAGAUUACAACCCCAUCUCGGUAAGACCGAGAUCCCUAUCGGUGAGACCGAUUUGCCUAGGGUUUGUGGUAGUGGCUAUGACAUUUGAAACUCGGUGGCGCCGGAUAGGAAGAAUCGGUGGGGCUGAGUUUGACUUUUGGUUUAGGUCAUAUGUGGAUGUGAGAAAGUAGUUGAGGGUUUUGGAGCAUAUCACUAAGCAUUUUGAGCAAGAACCUCAUUAAGCAACACCUCAUCCCUCCUUGAUAGUAUUGGCUUUUCCUAUAGACUCAAUGUGAUCUUGGAUCACUAAAAUGGAAAAUGUAGAGUCUUGAGCUUUGAGCUUGAGCCAAUCCUUUGUCCUUAGCAUUUUGAGGGGUCCACUUUUCUCAUUCAUGUCAUGCCAAUCAUUGAGCUUUCCUGAGAUAUUAAUCUUGAAAUAGCAUUAGCUCAAUGAGCUAUAUGUUGUUAGGAAUUACCAAAACCACCUAGGGAUCGUUGCACUUUCAAUCUCCCCCUUUUUGGUAAUUGAUGACAAAAUAUAGAUCAAAGCUUCGACAAAUGAUAAUAAGAGUGAAAAACAUUGUCGCUCUGAGAAGUAUGUGAAAAGCAAGAGCCCCCCCUAAAUUUGUGCAUAGUUUAAGAUUUGCUUUGGACUGCAAAUGCACAAAGAGUUAGUAUCAUGGGUUACUCUUCCAUGUCACAUACAUCUUGGUGGAGCGCUUAGAAUGAUAAUAAUUAAAAUAUAUGCACUCAUCACCAAGAAAAGUGAGUGAUCAUAUAAAAGGAUAAUGUCAUCCAACAAGCAUUAAGGUAGCAUAUGAUCAAACACAUGAUGAUCUAAGCAAGCACAAAGUAUGAAGUAUCUCAACCAAGCAAAUAAUAAAGUUCAACCACCAAGGAGAAACGCAAGAGAGAACAAAAGCAACACUCUCUCUCGAAGCCUACGAUCUAUACAUGUUCUCCCCCUUUGGCAACAAGUUACCAAAAAGUUCAUAAAAAUGCAUAGUGCUAAAUCGUCACUCAGGCUUGGUCUUCAGGUGGUGGUGUAGGCAUAACUCCAAGGACGAAGGCGUCAGUCGAUGUAGAUGGAGCUGGUGGAGUAGGUGCUGGAGCUGGUGGCACUAAAGCUGUAGUUGGUGCAGAUGAAGUUGCUCUGGUGUCUGUGACAGGCAUAGCAGCAGACCUCUGACCUCUGGGCACUCUAGCAAAAGCAUCAGUGGUUGUCUUGCCCUUCUUCUCCUGCACUUCCUCCUGAAGUUGCUCAACAACAGACUGUAUCUCAGUAACCUUCACAUAUAAGUCAUAGAACUUCUGCUCCACGAUCCUCUCCAAGCUCUCCUAGUUUUGAGUCAGGGUAGCCAGUCCCUUCUCAAUCCCCAGAGUGGAGGCAAUCAAGUAGCCAAGCUGAUCUUGCUUGCUCUUCAGAAGAUACUGACAUGCCUCAUCCAUGGUUGGCAUCUUUGCAGCCUUUUCAGCCCUUGCCUUCUCUUUCCUGGCUUGUGUGUGCACAGAAUAUGGUUCAUUUUCAUCCAUCACCACAGUGUUGUCCUCAAAGUCUGGGUAGAUGGGCAGGUGCUCUUUGUCCAGCAGAUAUUUGCCAGUGCCCAUCUUGGAGUUGAUCAGCUCCCGGAUCUGUGGGGCAUACCCACAACUUCUCUUCUGAUCUGUAGCUGUCCUCUUUAUGGUUUCCACAAUUACGCUCAUGACCUUGAACUUUUGAGGAACAUAAAAAAUGUGCAGCAAGUUGAUGGAGUGACCUCUGGUCAUCUUGUGAUCACCUGACUUUGGCAAGAGAGUGUGCCUGAGGAUUCGGUUGAUUGUUGGCAAGCCUGACAGAAGGUAAUGUACUGAUCCAAACUUGUGUGUCUCAAGAGCAACAUCUGGGAUCUCUUUGUACAGGUGCGCCAUGGUGUUGUGAUCCUUCUUCUUCUUCUUGGCAUAGACAUCCAAGUCAUCUUCUUGUUCUUCUGGGGCAUUGAUCAACUGAGCCCAUUCUGUAACUGUUGACUGGUACCUAGUGCCUUCAGACAUCCAGACAAUCCUUCCAUCUGGGUAGAAGUGAGCUGUGGAGUAGAACUGCAUGAUGAGCUCAUCAUUCCACUUUGUGAGCUUCUGAGCCACAAACUCAUCGACUCCACACGCCUUGAAGCUGUCAUAUACACCAGGGAAGUGAUCCUCAUUUUCCUCAAUGAAUUUCUAAUCAAUCCAUCUCAUGUCACACACUAUGGGCUUCUUGUCAAGUAGGACAAUCUCAUAGAAGUCCUGUUGUUCCUUGGUAUGGAACAUGUAGUCCACAGCAGUUCUUCUUCUGGUGGCAUAUGGAUCUGACUCUCUCCAUAGCCUCAAUCAUGAAUCCUUACUUAUCUUCAUGUUCUCAGCUACUAGAUGAGCAUCAUUGUGAUGUGGAAUUUUUGGCUUCAACUUCCUCAAGACAUGUGACUCAUCAUCUUCUCCUUCCAUUGCAGCUUCAGGCACUGGGGCCUUGUUCUUCUCCUCAACAGGGAUGUUCCUGGUGCUCCUCUUUGGUUUUGGCUUUGGAGCUGGAGCAGCAGUCUUAGGAGUAGUCUUAGGCUUAGAUGGAACAGCCCCUGCCCUUAUAGCAUCUCCCAUAAGCUUUUGAGCUUUGGGUGCUGGUGCUGCAUUCUCUUCCUCUUCUUCAGAGUCUUUCAUUAUUAAAGAUCUCCCAAGCACUCUGGCAGUGGUCUUCUUGACCCUCUCUUUCCUUUUAUUUUCUGCCACAACCUGCUCUUUGGGUGCAGAUCCCACAGUCUCUUGAGUGGAUGUUCUGGCUUUUGACAUGGGAGCUCUCUUAGUAGGAACCUUUUGCUUCAUCCAUGGCUUAGUGGCAGAAGCUGUGCCAUAUUCCUUUUUCAGGACUUUCCUCUUUGAGGUGGCCUCUUCCUCAGCAGCCACAUAGUCCUCAUCCUCUGAAUCUGAGGUUUUCUUCUUUCUGGUCCUGGUGGCUGCCUUAGGCAAGUUACUGGGUGUGCUCCUGCUUCCAUCAUCUGAGCUACUGGAGGGACUAGUGCCCUCACUUAUGUUAACCUGCUCCUCAGAUUUUUUUUGACUGUCACUCUGAUCUGACAUGAUGCAAACACUGACAGCUGACCCUGUGAAUGGAUUAUAGAUGAGGUAGAGUGGAUGAGCAUCACACAGUGCAGAGGUUUUUGCAAAAGAAUGAAUCAAAAACUUAGUUUUAGUUUUCCACAGAAAGCAUUUCGGAUCUACCGAUUUGAAAUCUCGGUGACAUCGAAGCAGCUGUUGGAACCUAAACUAGUGAACUCGGUCAGACCGAGUCACAGUUCGGUGGCACCGAGACUACUAGGGUUUCACAAAGACUCGAACUCGGUCACACCGAUUUGCAAUUCUCGGUCAGACCGAGAAUCACAUGUGCAAUGGCCUAAGCCAAAUCGGUGUAAGCGAUUUCAACAACUCGGUCGGUCCGAGAUGGUUUCAGCGGAAACCUAACCCUAAAGUUUCAAUCCACAACUAAACUACGGAGUGUUUUCAUUGGAUAGAGUGAUCUCAAUCGUGGCAAGAUACAUGGAAAAAUAGUGUGCUGGGGAAUCGGAGUGAGAACAACACAAAGAUCAAGUCCAUACCCUGGUUUGGCGAUGGACUUGCUACGGUGGCAACGGCGGAGACGAUCCCGUUGACGGCGGCGGAGACCGGCGACUGGAGGCGGCUGGCGAUGAGGAGGACGAUCCGGAGACCCAGGGAGGCAGAGCAGGCUGAGCACGGGCGAAGAGGUUCGGAAAGUUUUCCAAAUUUUGGCCCAUGGGUAUAUAUAGCCUGAUCCUGUCGGUGUGACCGAGUGGAACAACUCGGUGGCACCGAGAUGCAUAACUGCAAGCAGUUACUGCAACUCGGUGUGGCCAAAAAGUUCAAAUCAGUUGCACCGAGAUUAAAAACCUAGAUCGACUUAGUGAUCUCGGUAUGACCGAAAUGAAUGAAUCGGUCAGACCGAAAUGCACAAAGAAGUUUUGGAAGUUUAAGUAUAUGAUGAACCGGGGACUCCGAGUGCUCCUCACACAGAGUGGUUUGAAUCUGACUUGAUCAAACUUUGUGAUGCAACAUGAAUAGAGUUUGAGACGAGAAGAGCAUAGAUAGCUAGAGAAGGUUCUUAGGCAUUCUUGUCCAUCCACUUGGUAAGAGAAAAGGAAACCAAUCAAUCAAAACAACAAGUGGAUGCCCUCGAAUGAGUAAAUUAUGCAACCAACAUGCUCACACAAUAAAAUAACAAGUGAAAUAUGUGGCAAAGCAUGCACAAACAAUUCUAGCAUCUAUCAAGCAAUUGGCGAUGACUAGGUCAUCUAUAUAUGAGUAUAUUGACUUAGGAGUCAAAUGAGAACAUUUGAUCAUAGGUCAUACUCAUCGUUUAAGCACAAGUGGGGUUACCACUUUUACAUAAAGCAUUGUUGUGUUUACACCAUUAGAGUUGCUUUAGCUCAAUUCUUAAAGCAAAGCUCCCCCUAGAUGUGAGAUCCCCCCUAAGAGGGAUGAACUAACCUUGGGUUUUGUCGAUGAUGACUUCAUGUAGGUGUUGAAGAUGUGGAUGCUCUAAGUUGAUGUAGAUCAUUCGGAGCUAUCCUUUGGAGUGAGUUGCACUUUCAAUACCUACACGGGUUAGUCCCACAAGGAACAAACAAGGAUAUCCAUAGACAUAGAGUGAUGUACACACAAUAUGAUGUCUAUGAGAGCAUUGGGUUACCUUGUCCCUUGUCUUACCAACAAGAGGGUUUGUGACUCCUUGAACUAGUGCAAGAUGUGGAAGUUGAUUGCACUUCUUCUUGCCAAAAUUAUAAGAGUGAAGUAUGUUGGCGGAGUCACCCUCAAGAACUCUCUAGUUCUUCUUCUUCGGGAUCCACACCAUCUUGAUGGGAAUCCUCAGAGUUGUAGUUGUACUUGAUGAAGUGGAACUUGAUGUAGUCUUGGGAACCCACUUGACCAAGGCCUUAGGAGCUUCUUCAAAUGCAUCAAUUUCCUCUUGAAGCUUGUCCUUGCCUUUUUCCUUGUGGUCUUGUGGUGGAAGAUCAUCUUGAGCUUGUGUCCCUUUGAAACAAGUAGGAUCAUACUUCUCUUGUUGAGGAACAAAUUUCAUCUUGGGGUAUUGAUCUUCUUCCCACACAACUCCAUUGGCAUUGAACUUUCAUUCAAAACCAAUACCUUGGUUCUUCCGGUGCAUUCCUUGCUUGCGUACAAUUUCCUCAAAUUGCUUACUCCCGGCAAGGCUAUUGUAAGCACCUUUCUCUUUGAUUCCCUUCAAUAAGCUAUUUUCUUGCUCAAGUGUAACUUGGCUAAGAGAACCAUUAGUGGAAUCAAGAGAACUACUAGAAGCAACAAUAUUAGAUUUAGCAUGAUUAUUGUUACUACUAGAGGAAGAAUCCUUCUUGUUCUUGUUACUAGACUUGACUUGAGGCAUGUAAGUGGAUAAGAGUAAACGCUUGGCAAUGUAAGAAGAACUUUUCUUGCGAAGAUCAUCAUUGAUUGCCUUUAAGAACUCAUGCUCUUGCUCAAGAUUGAGCUUCUCAAAACUUAUUUUCUCAUAAGUCCUUAAAAGUUCUCGAUGAUCUCCUAAGAUAGUUUCAUGAGCUAACUUAAGAGUGUUUAGUUCUUUAGUUAGAGACUCAAUCUUCUCCUUAUCAUUGUCAUUCGUUUCAUCUUGAUUAGCAUCAUUAAUUGACGUCUCAUCAUAGUAUUCAUCACUAGAGUUGUCAACAAGUAAAUCAUCAUCACCUAACAAGUCAUCUUCAUCACUAUUGAAAUCAUCAUACUCGGGGUGUGAUACCUUUGGACCUUUGGCCAUGAAGCAUCUUCCAAUUCCUACAUUUGGUGAAUCAAAUAUGUCGUAGGAGUUGGUUGACACAAGUGCUAGACCGGCAACACCUUCAUCUUGAGUAUAUUCGGAGUCGGAGUGAUAGCUUCUCUCGGAGUGAUUGCCGGAGUCGGAGCCGGAUACCCAUUCACCAACAUGAGCUUGAUGUCUUCGUUUUGUGUAGCUCCUUGAUGACUUGUCAUUCCUUUCCGAAUCCUUGCUUCCCCGGGAUGUUCUUCGUUCAUAACGAUCAUCUUUACUCCUUCUCUCUCUUGAUGGUGAUUCUUCUCUUCUACUUCUUCUUUUUGGAGAAUCUUCUCUUCUCUUGUAGGGUGCCGUACACUCAUUGGAAUAGUGUCCAAGUCUUCCACAAUUGUAGCAGUUUCGCUCUCGACUAGAGGAUCUUUUGUCAUUGUAGGACCUUGACUUGGAACUUCUCUCUUUGCUUCUACUCUUGUAGAACUUGUUGAAGUUCUUCACCAUUAGGCUCAAUUCUUCAUUGAAGGUUUGUUUCUCACUUGAUGAUGUGGGAGCUUCACAUGAGGCUUUGUAAGCACCACUUGACUUGUUAUGGAGCUCCUCCUUAUCCUUGAGUGACAUCUCAUGAGCAACAAUUCUUCCAAUGACUUCCGUUGGCUUGAGAUCUUUGUAAUUUGGCAUCAUUUGGAUCAAUGUGCAUACGGUAUCAUAUUUUCCAUCCAAGGCUCUUAGGAUCUUCUUGAUGAUGAAUUUGUCGGUCAUCUCUUCACUUCCUAAGCCGACAAUCUCAUUUGUGAUAAGAGCAAGCCUAGAGUACAUUUCAGCAACACCUUCACCAUCCUUCAUUUUGAACUUGUCAAGUUGACUUUGAAGCACAUCCAACUUGGAUUCCUUGAAAGAGUCUGUACCUUCGUGCAUAUCAAUCAAAGUAUCCCAAAUUUCCUUUGCAUUCUCAAGACGGCUGAUUUUGUUGAAUUCUUCGGGGCACAAUUCCGUUGAAGAUGAUAUCACAAGCUUGCGCAUUGUAUUGUAGCAUCUUCAACUCUUCAGCGGUAGCUUCACGGUUCAGUUCUCUCCCAUCAAAGAAUUUGCCUUGCAAGCCAACACACACAAUAGCCCAAACGAUGAGGUUAUGUCCAAGAAUAUGCAUUUUCAUCUUAUGCUUCCAACUAGCAAAAUUAGUGCCAUCAAAGUAAGGACCUCUACGGUGGUAAUUUCCCUCACUAGACGCCAUACUCUCCUAGGUUGUGAAACCAAGGCUAUGACCACCAAAAGCUAUGGAAAUCAAAGCAAUUGGAGAUCAAGGCUCUGAUACCACUUGUAGGAUCGAAAGUAUGCCUAGAGGGGGGUGAUUAGACUACUUGACCAAAUAAAAAUCUAGCCUUUUCCCAAUUUUAGUUCUUGGCAGAUUUUAGCAACUUUGGACAAGUCAAGCAAUCUUAACACAAUUCAAGCAAGCAUGCAAAGAGUAUAUGAGCAGCAGAAAGUAAAGCAUGCAACUUGCAAGAAUGUAAAGGGAAGGGUUUGGAGGAUUCAAACACAAUUGGAGACACAGAUGUUUUUGUCGUGGUUCCGAUAGGUGGUGCUAUCAUACAUCCACGUUGAUGGAGACUUCAACCUACGAAGGGUAACGUUUGCGCGAGUCCAUGGAGGGCUCCACCCACGAAGGGUCCACGAAGAAGCAACCUUGUCUAUCCCACCAUGGCCAUCGCCCACGAAGGACUUGCCUCACUAGCGGUAGAUCUUCACGAAGUAGGCGAUCUCCUUGCCCUUACAAACUCCUUGGUUCAACUCCACAAUCUUGUCGUUGGCUCCCAAGUGACACCUAGCCAAUCUAGGAGACACCACUCUCCAAGAAGUAACAAAUGGUGUGUUGAUGAUGAACUCCUUGCUCUUGUGCUUCAAAUGAUAGUCUCCCCAACACUCAACUCUCUCUCACAGGAUUUGGAUUUGGUGGAAAGAAGAUUUGAGUGGAAAGCAACUUGGGGAAGGCUAGAGAUCAAGAUUCAUAUGGUAGGAAUUGAAUAUCUUGGUCUCAACACAAGUGUAGGUGGUUCUCUCUCAGAAAAAGUAAGUUGGAAGUGUAGGUUCGUUCUGAUGGCUCUCUCCACGAAUGAAGAGGUGGUGGAGGGGUAUAUAUAGCCUCCACACAAAAUCUAACCGUUACACAUAACUUCCCAAACUCGGUGGGACCGAAUGGUUAAACUCGGUCGGACCGAUUUAGAAAAGCUAGUGACCGUUAGGGUUUUCGGUGGGACCGACAUGCAACUCGGUAGGACCGAUAUGAGUAGGGUUAGGGCAUAAUGUAAUCUCGGUGAGACAGAUUACACAAACUCGGUAAGACCGAUUUUGGUAAUAAAUUAACCAGAGAGUUGGUCAGGUAAACUCGGUGGGACCGAUCGCUCAUUUCGGUGAGACCGAAACAUUGUGAAGGGAAAACAAAGAGUUUACAUUGCAAUCUCGGUGGGACCGAUCGCUCAUCUCGGUGAGACCGAAAUGUUACAAAGGGAAACAGAGAGAUUACAACCCCAUCUCGGUGAGACUGAGAUCCCUAUCAGUGAGACCGAUUUGCCUAGGGUUUGUGGCAGUGGCUAUGACAUUCGAAACUCGGUGGCGCCGGAUAGGAAGAAUUGGUGGGGCCGAGUUUGACUUUUGGUUUAGGUCAUAUGUGUAUGUGAGAAAGUAGUUGAGGGUUUUGGAGCAUAUCACUAAGCAUUUUGAGCAAGAACCUCAUUAAGCAACACCUCAUCCCUCCUUGAUAGUAUUGGCUUUUCCUAUAGACUCAAUGUGAUCUUGGAUCACUAAAAUGGAAAAUGUAGAGUCUUGAGCUUUGAGCUUGACCCAAUCCUUUGUCCUUAGCAUUUUGAGGGGUCCACUUUUUUCAUCCAUGCCAUGCCAAUAAUUGAGCUUUCCUGAGAUAUUAAUCUUGAAAUAGCAUUAGCUCAAUGAGCUAUAUGUUGUUAGGAAUUACCAAAACCACCUAGGGAUAGUUGCACUUUCACCCCUCCCCUAGGGAAACCUAGGGCGCCUCCUCCACCCCCCUUCCCCCUAUAUAUAGUGAGGGAGAGAGAGGGCAGCCGCACCCUUCCGCUGGCGCAGCCCCUCCCCCUCUCCUAUGCCUCCUCCUCCGUAGCGCUUGGCAAAGCCUUGUCGGAGAACCACGAGCUCCAUCACCACCACGCCGUCGUGCUGUCGGAGUUCUCCCUCAACUUCUCCUCUCCCCUUACUGGAUCAAGAAGGAGGAGACGUCCCCGGGCUGUACAUAUGUUGAACGCAGAGGCGCCGUUGUUCGACGCUUAGAUCGGAAUCGACCAUGAUCUGAAUCGAUACGUGUAUGACUCCACCAACCGCAUUCUUGUAACGCUUCCGCAUUGCGAUCUAAAAGGGUAUGAAGAUACACCUCCCUCUCUCUCGUUGCUAGUAUCUCCUGGAUUGAUCUUGGUGACACAUAGGAAAAUUUUGAAUUAUUGUUACGUUCCCCAACAGUGGCAUCAUGAGCUAGGUCUAUGCGUAGAUUCUAUGCACGAAUAGAACACAAAGCAGUUGUGGGUGAUGAUUUGUUCAAUUUACUUACCGUUACUAGUAUUAUCUUGAUCUGGCAGCAUUGUGGGAUGAAGUGGCCCAGACCGACCUUACAUGUACGCUUACGUGAGACUGCUUCCACCGGCUGACAUGCACUUGAUGCAUAAGGUGGCUAGCGGGUGUCUGUCUCUCCCACUUUAGUCGGAUCAUAUUCGAUGAAAAGGGUCCUUAUGAAGGGUAAAUAGCAAUUGGCAUAUCACCGUUGUGGUUUUGCGUAGGUAAGAAACGUUCUUGCUAGAAACCCGUAGCAGGCACGUAAAACAUGCAAGACCAAUUAGAGGAUGUCUAACUUGUUUUUGCAGGGUAUGCUAUGUGAUGUGAUAUGGCCACAAGGAUGUGAUGAAUGAUAUAUGUGAUGUAUGAGAUUGAUCAUGUUCUUGUAAUAGGAAUCACGACUUACAUGUCGAUAAGUAUGACAACCGGCAGGAGCCAUGGGAGUUGUUUUAAUUUAUUUAUGACCUGCGUGUCAAUGAAAAUGCCAUGUAAUUACUUUACUUUAUUGCUAACCGUUAGCCAUAGUAGUAGAAGUAAUAGUUGGCGAGACAACUUCAUGAAGACACGAUGAUGGAGAUCAUGAUGAUGGAGAUCAUGGUGUCAUGCCGGUGACGAUGGUGUUCAUGCUGUGCCUCGAAGAUGGAGAUCAAAGGCGCAAUAUGAUAUUGGCCAUAUCAUGUCACUUUAUGAUUUGCAUGUGAUGUUUGUCAUGUUUACAUAUUAUUUGCUUAGAACGACGGUACCAUAAAUAAGAUGAUCCCUCACUAAAAUUUCAAGAAAGUGUUCCCCCUAACUGUGCACCGUUACGAAGGUUCGUUGUUUUGAAGCACCACGUGAUGAUCGGGUGUGAUAGAUUCUAACAUUCGAAUACAACAGGUGUAAACCAGAUUUACACAUGCAAAACACUUAGGUUGACUUGACUAGCCUAGCAUGUAAAGACAUGGCCUCGGAACACAAGAGACCGAAAGGUCGAACAUGAGUCAAAUAGUAUAUACGAUCAACAUAUGGAGAUGUUCACCGUUGAUGACUAGUCCGUCUCACAUGAUGAUCGGACACGGCCAAGUCGAUUCGGAUCAUGUAUCACUUAGAUGACUAGAAGGGUGUCUAUCUGAGUGGGAGUUCAUUGAAUAAUUUGAUUAGAUGAACUUAAUUAUCAUGAACAUAGUCUAAAUUGUCUUUGUAAAUUAUGUUGUGGAUUAAUAGCUUUCGCUUUAGCUCUUUGUUUUAAUACGUUCCUAGAGAAAGACUAAGUUGAAAGAUAUUGUAAGCAAUUGUGCGGACUAGGGCUGUAGUAUGAGGAUUGUCCUCACUGCUACACAGAAGGCUUCUAUCCUUGAUGCACUGCUCGGUGUGCCAACCCCUCUGGCAUUGUCUGUGGAUGUUGUGAACAUCUGGUAGACACGUUCUGAUGACUACCUGAUAGUUUAGUGCGCCAUGCUUUAUGGCUUAGAGUCGGGGCUCCAAAAGCGUUUUGAACGCCAUAGAACAUAUGAGAUGUUCGAAGAGCUGAAAUUGGUAUUUCAGGCUCAUGCCCGUGUUGAGAGGUUGAGACCACUGACAAGACCUUUG